CAUCCUUGUCUGAGUGCCUUAAAAUUUCACUUUUUCAUUAUUUUUUGGCACACCACAACCAUAUUUACACAUACCAUCAUUAUUUUGAUAUCUCAUUUACAUGAUAGUAUAAUAUAUAUAGACCAGUAAUAAUAUAAUUCAUACCCAAAAAAUUAAUACUUAAGCAUCCAGCAUAUUUGGUCAACAUCUUGGACCAAUUCAAUCCCCGUAAACUUACAACAAGGUUCCAAGCAUGCAGCAAAGGGAUAUGCUGUGUAGAACUAAUCAUGGACCAAGUAGUCCACCAAGCCUAAUAGGCCAACAGAUGCCCGUAGGGAAGGCAACUAAUAGCGGACCAAUUACUUUCCAACUAGACCAUGGCUUAAGCAAAAAUGCACAGUAACACAAAGAUCUGUCCUAAUUGCAACCCCGUCCCACCAUUCUGAAAAUACUCAUAAACUAUCUUAAAAUUCAUUAUAGACUGCCUAGUUUCCAGUGUAGGUCUUGCAAUCAGGCUAAAACAUAUAAGUGUUCGGUGAAAUUAUCCAUAUUCUUUAAAAUAUUACAGUUCCAUCAAGCACAAAACACAACAAAAAGAAGCAACCUACUCAGGAUUUAAUAACUCUAGCCUCACUUGUAAAUCAUGGACGGGAAGGCAAUCUACUGAGAUAUUCUAUGGAAUCAUUAGAUUUAAUAACAGACCCAACCUAUAAACUCGUUUAUUUGGAAAGUACUUUAGCAUUAGGAUGUAAUGAAAAGGAAAAUUAUUUAGGUUGGCGUGAACAUAUGGAAACACAUUGUAAAGACAAGCUAGAUAACUAAUUAGUUUAGUCCAUUAAUUUACCCAAUUCAGCUAUCCUCCAUCUUAAACCAAAAAGUACUAAAGAUAUUUGGCAAAGAUGUCAACUAACAUAAGGAAUGUAACAGCAACUGCCUAAGAACACUUAUCACAACCCUGUAACUCUCUGGAAGGCAACAAGAUCACCCAUGAAACCAUGCACACAAUUUCAUGGUAGAAGUGGCAUUAUGAAUAGAAUGCAAUGUUUAAGGCUAUUUUAAAACAUGAACCAUCAUCAGAAUUAUCACAGCUAUAUAUGCUCUAUUAUUAGCAUCUACUUUUACUAUAGUCUUCUUAUUCUUGCUUAAAAAUAGAUGGAAAUUUGUAACUUCAUACAAGAACAAUAAAAUAAGGGAAGGAUAUUUUAAACUUAAGUCAAAUUAUGUCGAUGGCGUAAUUCAUGAGAUAGUUCCUCAUUUUUAGGAGGCCACACUCAGUAUCAGAUUAAAUUCAAACUUGUAUUAAUUUCUAGGCCCAGCUUGGGCUUCAAAAGGUUUGGAAGGUCAGGACGUGAUUAGAAAUUUAGACCAGCAUACUAAGUAUUGACAGGAGGAUUUCAUGGCCAUAAUGUAGCCAAAGAAUCAUGCCCAAUGGUAAGUCAUCUUGUAAUGUGCAUAUACACCACCAAAAAAUUUUUUGCUUGCUAUUAUGUCAAGUACCUAUCCUCCACCAACUAAGCAAUUAGUUUAUCAGUAAUAGUAACUCUAGUGGCUAAGAUCUUGAUCCAUACCAAUUCAUAUUUUCUGACUCAGCACUAUUCUUCAGUACCCACUUGGCUACGGUAUCACAGUCUACAGGACGGUGAGCUUCCUCUGUACACUGCAACAUAAAAUUUAUGUUGAUGCUGUGUGAAGAAAAUUAAAUAUAAAGGUGGCAUCUAGUGCCUGCAUGCAUCAACGGUUAAGAUGACAAGUACUUUCACCGAAAGGAAUUAGAAGGAAACAUAAAUUUCUAGGCUAAUUCAGGAGGACUUACAUUCCAGCAAAAGCUAUAUGAACAGCGGCAAGUAACAUCAUAGUUUCCACUACCAACAACAAAAUCCACAGCAUAAUCACAACCGGGAGCAGGACACCACUUCGUCUGCACAGUAAAGAGAAGUUUGAAGUGUUGAAGAGGAGGAGAUUAGAGGGGGAAAAAGAAAAACGUCUAAAAAUUUUCCUAGUAUCACAUUUACAUGUAUGAAUUGUAAAAGCAUAUGACUGUUAAGAAUUCCAAUGUAGGCAGACGAACUGGAGGUAAAUCAAUUUCACUCAAGUACAGUUAUAAUUCAAACAGGAUCUUAAUAGGAGAGUAACAAUGAUAUGCUCCAAAAUUGUUGUGAUGCGUACAAUCAUAAAGAAUAUCAUUCUAAAGCAUUUGAAAUAUAAUUAUUCAUAGAAGAAAAUUUCAAUGUGCUGGUUUAUAAAUCUUCAGGACAAUGAACAUAAAGAAAUAGAGUUAGCAAAGGCCACCUCAGUCCGCCGACUCUUUAGACUCGAAUAGAACCCAGACAAAUUAGUGAUACAUUGAAGUCAUCAGCUUGUACAUCUUCCACAAGUAAAAUAAAAGAAUCUCAUACAGCCCUUAUAUACAAUAGACAGAGACUCCUGUGAAUUUUAAAAAAAUUUCAUGGUUCAUUUGUAGACGCGACUGACAGACUAAGGCUAAAACACACAAGUGGUACAAGCAUACAGGAACAGAAAAGAUCUAUUAGUUUUGUCAAAAGUCAAGAAUUUUGUUUUUGACUAGCUCAGUAUUUCAGAACAAAAUUUAUGAGCUAUUAAUGCCAUAAAACAAAUUAAGACUCAUGUGAUUCAAUUAAAUAAGGUGGACAAUGUCUUUAUAUUGAAGAAGAUAGCACCAGGAUUUUUAUUCUAUAUAAAUUCUAUCAUAAUAGACCGCUGAUAGAUCCAUCAUUAUUCCAUUUCGAAAUCCAGAACAACAAACAUUCUAAGGACCGAGUCCUUUCUCUUUUAAAUUUCCAAAAGUUAUUCAAUUAGUUUAUUCCGCAAAUAGAAUUUGAAUUGCUCCUUGCAGUACAUGAAAAGUACUUGAAAAUCUAGCUUGCUAAAUCAAUACGAUUUACAGAUAUCGAACUACUCCAGCAAUGAAAUGUACGUAUAUGCCCACUUUCAACCAAAGUAAUAAAUGUCAUCCUUCGGGAAUGAACUUUUCUUUUACCAGAUAAAGGAACUUGCAAGGGUACCAUUUUCAAUCAGGUGGAGGAGAAAAAUGAAUUGAUGCUACUUCCAGAAGUACUAUUACCUUUCUGUUGUCUUCAACAUAAGACCGAAUGAAAUAACGAUUAUACUUUACUUUAUCUUCAUCAGAAGACAAUAAAUAAAUCAUAUCUUGACCGACAGCAGCACCACAAGAAGGAUCAGGACAUCGCAACAUCAAACACCCAGGACCAUCAUUAAUGGCUGUGCUGAUAUACCCUUAAGAGGAAAGACAAAUGACAACAAAAUUACAAACACAUGAAAUUGAAAUGAAAGCAGAAAUGCUCUUAUCAGGGGAAAAAAGAUGUAUUUAUUGAUAGAAUAUGUAUUACUACAUAUAUUAGCAUAAAUCGUAACAGUGCAGAUUGAAAAGUAUUGCUUUGUACACAAUUGAGAAUCAUCUACAUAGAAAUUUUUCUACCUACUGCAGUUGAGUUUUGGAUUUCAUGAAUAUUAGUGGAACUAGCACAAAAUCCAAUGGCCUAUCUUACUUAAGAACCCAACCCAUCGAUUCUUCAAAUUCCGCAAAAUUAUGGAUAAAAUAGAUCAUACAUCCAUCACCUGCUUCGUCCUCAAAGAAGCAAAUUCUAGGCAUGCAACAGCUAUGCUCAACUCUUUUAAUGCUCUCCAACGCAUAUAUGUCAUUUCUACAUUGUAUAAAUAUAUAUUUCUUAAGAACAAGAGAAUCAGCCAAAAACUACAAACAAGUAGACACGCAGUCAACUAGACAACAAAUUACUAGGAAUCGGAAUCCAUCUCUAGAGUCACUUAAGAAUAGACGCCCAACCCAAUUGGAUUAAAACACACAUAACACAAGAAGGGACACUUAAAAAUUAACCCCAAAAACCCCAAAAAAAAAAAUUCCCAGCACAACAAACCUGUCCAGCAUGAACUACAAAAGGGAUGGCCACAAGCAGCAGCAAGCAAUCUAUCACUCGGAUAAUUUUCAAAGCAUAUACCACAAGUCAUCUGUCAAAACAAAAAAAAUGUAAAAACAUAUUAGAAGAAUGUUGUAGAUUCAAUAUGGCACAGAGCAAGUGCAAUUAACAAGUAGUCAACAACCACAGAAUUUAGGACAAGAUACUUAAAUACUCAAAUUAAAACCAGGUCUUGGCUGCUUACUUCUUCACCAUCUGGAAAUUGAACAGCUGGUUUCUCUAACAAGCCAACAGCCUUUCGAACCCUUUCUUCAUCAGCAAACCAUUCAUCAUGUACUUUACUGACACUCCUGUCAAUCCAAAAGUGAGAUUAAUUCUUCGCACAUUGAGAUGCACAUGCUCAAAUGAGAAACGAUACAUAGUCUGAUGGGCAAUUAAAUUGCACAAGUCAUGUUCAUUUGAACAAAGAAAAAAUCUCAUUAGAGAGAACAUUAUGUCUGUCAAUGUAAUAUUUUACCAAUUAUAAAAGCGGAGCAGGAUGCUAGCUGCAACUUUUGAAAUAGAGAGCACGGUAGAUAUCCUCGUUAUAUCCUCCUCUUGACGCUGACGAAUAUCCGCUUCAGUCAAAACGGUGUAGUUUAGCUAAGAUAGAAAAAGAUACACAUUAGUGUAAAGAAUUACAGCAACAUCAAUGGUGCUAAAGGCCUAAAAGACUAAAUGUUUUUUGCGUUCAUUCGUAUCAUUUAAUGUGUGCUUGAAUUGGACAGUAUGAAGCUUAAGAACCUAUCAAAAUAAAUAAGUAAAACUUAAUCAAAAUAUACACUCAGUGUUCUAUUGGGUUAACUAAACAAGGACCAGUUUAAAAAUAUGAGCAGAAAAACUUGUAUGUUAAACCUACAAGCGUGAAUUAAGAUUUAUCGAGUUUGUUUGAAAAGAAUCAGUUUUCACGGUACAAUAAUUGCCUCAUAAAAUUUAAAAUGAUUGCUAGUCUUGUGAUCACCACCUAAUCAAUCUGAGAUUGACCAAGGGUAAUGACCAGUGUUUACAAUAAACUAUGAAAAGAAAACUAAUCUCGCUCGGUGCAUUUUUAAAUUUUGUAUUUUGCAAAAACUUCCCAACCAUCCCUAUCUGAAAAAUCAAACAAUCUCCAUAACAGCAGAGAGUUAAAGAAAUACUUGAUAUUGAAGUUAAAGAAAGACUUGAUAUUGACAUUGAGAAUAGUACUAAUUCACCCAAACCACAAUAAUUUAUGAAACUGACAGAAAUUUACACUACCACAACAAAAUUUACAUCCCAAAUGCACACUUUUACCAUGCAGACAAACCCAAUUGAACAAUAAUGAUAGAACAACAAAGUAAGGGAAUAAAAAGCAAAUAAAAUACUACGACCCAAUUAACUCGAUACCAUACCAGAAAAUUAGCAUAAGCCAAAAGCCAAUCAUAAGAAGUUUCUAUUCUCAUUAAUGCAGGUAAAAUAACACUACAAUUUCCAAAAAGCUACCAAAAAGCCCAAAUUAUUAAAAAACUAAUCAAAUAACAAAAACUUCACCCAAUAUCCAAAACUUGUUAAACAUGAUAAACAGAAGUAAACAAAAUAGCAACAGAAUUAAUCAAUUAACACCAUCAAAGGCAUUAGCAUAAAUGCAGAUAAAAUUACACCUCAAUUUCCAGUUAAUUACCCCAAAAAAAUCCUAACUUCACAAAGAACUAACUCAAAAAAUCAACAGAAUUCAGCUAAUUCACAAAAAAAUACAAAAAUCAGGAACAAAAUUCAGACAAUUCACAUCAUCGUAGGCCAAAAAGCCAAAAAUUGGAACAAAAUUUCAUCAAAUGAUUAUGAAAUCGUAAGAGCCAACGUACCUGAUGGCGAUUAGAGACGAGAUCAUCAGAAUCAUCGGAAUCAUUGUCGAUGAACUCGUAAUCGGCCACAUCAGCAUCGUCGCUGUCGAAUGCAUAGGCAGGUGCCGCAUCGUCAUCGCCGCCGCUAUAGAAAUCGUCUUCCUCCGCCGAUGCGUUCGCGUCUUGCAUAUCGAAUUCGUCCUCCGAUUCCAUAAUUUGGUUAUUCAAUUAUUAGAAAGAACUCAAAACCCUAGGAAUUUGGACAAAUCUCGUGGUUGAAAUGAAUGGGAAACGAUAGAAGGGUAAAAUGGUAAAUUCAAUGAGAGCACAGACAGUUUGGCUGAAACGGAGGAAACGAAAUGAAAGUGAAACGAAGACAGGAGAUUUUGCUUUUGAAGAGAAAGAGGUUUUUGUCUUGUUUUUUUAUUUUGUUGUUUUUUCCUUAUUGGAAGAAACUCGAAUUGAAGGGAAAGGAAAAGGAAAUUAAAAACUUAUUAUUUAUUACUAUUAUUAAAUAAAAACUAAUUAUUAUUAAGGUCUCCUUAAUUAUGUUGUAACUUUUAUACGAUACCAAUAAUGUAAGAAAUAGGUAUUAUAAGAUCUAAUUAAUGGUACAUAUUAUCUCUAUUAAUAAAAAAUUUUAAUUAUUUGAUUAAUAACAAUUAAAAGAAUGAUUUUAAAAUUAAAAAUAAAAAGAGAUAUUAUAAAAUAAUUUUUAUUACAUAAUGCUAAUUAAUUAAUUAAUUAUAACUAUAUUAAAUAAAUUACUAAAAUUAAAAAAUUAUAUAAUUAUAACUAGAUUCACAACAAUCUCACCACCAAUACUGUAAAAAUACAUACAUUACCAUUGAGAAAUGCUUACUACUAUUAGUAUCAAAAUGACAAUUUGUAUGGAACAUUGUUAUUCGUACCCCUAUGGUCUUGAGAAAUUACAUACCAUUACUAGAAUUUUGCACUUUUCUGUCAUAAUGUAGGUAUGCAAUUAUUCUCCAGCAAGGAUUUUCUUUUUAUCAUUACUAUUAUUAAAUAAGAAUAACAAAAUGAACCACUAGACUUUAAACCAAUGGUUAGAACCCAAAACUCACAAUUGUGAGGUUAUGUAUUCGGACCUCUCACAAUAUAUUGUGGGGGUUUAAUUUCUUUCCUCAAUUUGAGUAAAGGUAAUAUUCUCCCUUUCAAAAUGUGAGUAGUGUAGACGUCUCUCGAAUAUUAGAGAGGUUAAAAAUCUUAGCAGUGCUUUAUAAGAAUUGAUGUAAACUAGUCCCAGUAAUAGUCUGAUUUGUAAAUAUUUGUAAUCUUAUGUAAUAUGAGUGGAGGUGGCCAAUAGGUCGAACGGCACGGGGCACACCACGUGUCCGUACAGCACGACACGAGUACGUUUCGGUAGAGUACGCGGCACGGCACGGCACACACGUGGGCUAGACCUGGCUUAGAAUUUUAAGCACGUAGGCCUUAAAAACACGGCACAAUUAGAGAUGGGUCAAAGUACGGCACGCAAAAAAGUACGCAAUGAAUAUGUUUCAUUUUUUAAUGAAAGUAAACUUAAAAUUUCAUGAUUUUAUAAAAAAGUUGAAAUUGAAUCUUUUAAUAUAUUUUAUUAGCUUAAGUUUUUAAAAUUUAUUUAAUUCUUAGUUUCAAAAAAAUUAUAAUUGAUUUAUUUUUAUAAUUUAUUAAAUAAAUAAUUGAUAUCAUGAUUUUAAUAAAUAAAAUUAUAAAUAUCAUGAUUUUAUAAAUAUGUACUAAUAUUAUUAUAAACUAUGAUAUAUGACUACGUAAUUUUAAGUUAACAAUUAAGUUAACUCUUAAAAAAAUUAUUAUUGUUUUUGUUGUUAAGUACUAAAAAAGAAUUCGAAUACCACAAAUUCAAACUUAGUAACUAAUAUUACGUUCUCUUAUUAUUAUUGAAUAUGGACUUGAGUUUUGAAUUUUUGUUUCUAUUAAAUUUGAAUAUAGGCACAUAAAUCCAAAAAAGUAUAUAGGCUUAAAGAAAUAAGACAACUUGGCAUGCACUCUUAAAAAAAUAAAAAAAAUAAAAAAAUAACUUAGUAGGUUUUUUUUCCUAGACACGGCACGAGCACGCGUGGGCUUCCUUUGAUGAGCCUGGACUGGCACGGCAUGGCCCGUUGCCCAUCUCUAAAUAUGAGUUGUACUCUUGAGCUAGAGGGUACAAAUAUGGGCGGUGCUUCAUAAGAAUUGAUGUAAACUAGUCUCUCUUGAGCAAGAAGGUAAAAAUUUGGGCAGUGCUUUAUAAGAAUUGAUGUAAACUAGUCCCAGUAAUUAUCUGAUUUGUAAAUAUUUGUAAUCUUAUGUAAUAUGAGUUGUACUCUUGAACAAUAGUAUCAUGUAAUUAAAAAAAAUAACAAAAUGAGUCACAGACUUGAUUUGAAUAUUAGAGAUGGUAAAAAUCUUAGUGGUGCUUCAUAAGAAUUGAUGUAAACUAGUCCCAAUAAUAGUCUAAUUUGUAAAUAUUUGUAAUCUCAUAUAAUAUGAGUUGUACUCUUGAGCAAUAGUUUCAUGUAAUAAAAAAAAAGAAUAACAAAAUGGGUCACAAAUUUAAUCCAAUGACUAUUUUCGAGCACAUAACUUUUAGAGUACGAACAAAAAAUUUUUAUUGUAUGAAAGAUAAAGAUGUGAAGACAUGAGGGUUGAGAGUUAUUGAAUAAAUUCAAUUACCACUAUUAUGCUUUAAAUCAUUGUGGAAACCCUAACUGUAGGAUUUAAGUAAUGAUGGAAUCUGAAGUUAUGUUGAUCUUGAGAGUGCAAUUGGAGUGCAUUCAAGGUUUUGAGAUGGUUGGUUUGUUAUUUGGAUGAUGUUUUACUGAAAAAUUAUAGAUAUAGUGAUCUUUGGUUAGACAUGGUGAUCUUUGGUUUAUUAAGAGUCAAAAUAUUAUUGUAAAGUGUAACAAAGAUUAAUUUUUAAUGACUGCUUAUUAGUUAUGAAUAAUGAGGGAUAAGGAUGUUGGAUGAUGGCGAAAAAAAAAAAGAAGGUAGAGGGGUGGGUUAAGAUCAAACUAAUUCUUUAAUCCCUAACCUCUUUUAGAAAUUGAACUUUGAUAAUUGAUUAAGUAAAACUACUUAAAAAUCACUCAGUCAAAUAGCUUAGGCGUGUUGGUUAGGCGUGUUGGACGAUGGCCUUUGACGAUGAGCGUAAUGCAUAAGGAUGUUAUUCAUAAGCUCUAAGGGGUGAGGCUUUCAUGAAAUCCUUGUCAGAUGCUACAAAACCUUAGCCUAUAAAAUAAUUUGGAUACUUCGUUAUCCUUUUACUACAGUACGGCCUACAAAAUAAGAAUUUGACCAAUUCUAUCCUCUGCAUUGUAUGGAGAUUAAAUAAUGUUUUCCUUGAAUGAUAGCAUUUGCGAUCCAAUGGGUAUCUUACUUAGCCUUUAAUUAAGCAAUCUAUCUUAAAUGUGCAAGAUUGUGAUAUCGGAAAGUAGUUUGGGCAAGUCUGAACAAGGGUUUGUUGGAAAUAAACUUUCUAAACGAUCUCUUGGGAUAUUGAUUUUUCACAAACCCGUAUCAUAAUGUAUCUAUCUAUCAAAUCGCUUUCCUAGAUCAAUAGAAAAAUAGAAAUUCCUAUUCGAUAGGUUUAAGUAUAAAAUGUUUAUUGUUACUGGGCUUGUAAUCCAAUGGUACUCAUGUCCUCAAUACAGACUGCAGAGUUGAGCUUCAUGGGACUCUUACUCUUUGAACCCAGUGAUAUCCAUGCCCUCGAUACAGCGUUCCAGCUUUAUGGGGCUCUUACCCUUUACGUAAGGAUUUAUAUCUUCUUGAAUAUUGGUGGGAGCAAAUUUAUGAGCAAUUGUUCAGUAGACUUCUAGAUUAUACUACAAAGUAUAAAGUGAAUGUAUCUCUCAUCCCAAUUAAUUCCAGAUUAUAAAAUGAAAAAUGCUAUGUAGGGAAAAAGUUGAGAGAAAGGUGAGAGAAAUUAUGAAGAAAGAAGUAAAGAGAGAGUGGGUGGGUAAUGAGAGAGAGCUAAUUUCUCUUAACUUUCUUUCUAUUUAGCACCACUCUUGUAAAAUAUAUGUAAGUUACAAAGUUUAACAUGUGCAUUCAAUAAAUCAAAAAAUGUAUUAGACUAUUAGAGCCAUCUUAUCUAACACUUUCUCAUGCUUAAAGUGGUGGCUAACUACGAAAGCAUUGCAUUAAAAGUAUGAAUAGAAAGGACAAAUUAUGCAUAUUUUUUUAAAAUAAAUAUUUUAAAAGAUGUCCGUAUUUUCAUUAGAUACGGUUUUGGAUGAUAAAAAUAGUGACACAUAGUUGUUAAUUAAAUUAAUUUCCAUAGUCAUUGAUUAAAUAGUCACACAUAGUUAUUAAUUAAAUUAAUUUCCAUUUAGGGGUAGCUCAAAAAGUAAAAUAUUCAUUUUGGGCUCGAAAUAUUAAAAUAAUUAUCAAAUAAUUUACAUAAGCAUGUACCACCCGCCACCUAGAUUCUUUUAAUCUUUUUAAGAGAUUGGCCAAAACCAAGUACCACCACUUACGUGAUCCAUUUGUGUUCACUUUCCAACAAUCAAUGCACUUAAUAACCAAAUCAAAUUCUUAUCGCUUAUUUAAUCAUCGUGUUAUGUUUGUGUUUAGAGCAGGUUUGCGAACACGUUUAAUUACACAAAAUAAUUGUCUGGUAUGCCGUAUGCGCAUUAUAUCAAUCCGUUUUUUUUCAUGAAUCUCUGUGUGAUCCACAGUUUUAUCAACAUCACUAAACAGCUGUUUUGAUUUCUUAAGGAUGACUAUCUUGUAGUUUGGCGAAAUAGUUCUAGAGAUCUUGUUUUCAGAAAUGACCACAUUACCCCAAACGAAAUACAGUUAAAACAAGAGUCUCCGCGGCCAUUUCAGGCAGUAAAAAUAAAAACUGCAUAAUUUUUAUUUUCAUUGAUAUUUAAAACCUAAAUGAUUUACAUGCCUAAAUAUCAGAGCUAAAAAAAAAAAAAAAAGAGCACGUAUGGAUAAAUCUGGGAUGGUCUCUACAAGAGAAAUACAAUAACGUCUGUAACUUGUUCUGUAAGUGAACUAUGACCUUUUCUACUGUAUGGGUAGCCGAGGCUUUAGACAAAAUGUGGUUGGUUGAGUCUUAUAAGAAUGAAGAGAAGAAUCCCAGUUUACAGCAUUAUUUGUAUGGAGUUGCAACUAGUUCGUAUAAAUCAUCUCAAAAUGUAUUGAGGGAACCGGCCUCAUGAUCUGUACUGCAAUCGCAUUCCUGAAAAUGCAUUUCAAUUUGGAUUAUCAUAUAAAUAACAGGAUCUUUUUCUUUUUUUCUUUUUUAACAACUAAAUUUUGGCCAUGAGAUGUUUAGAUUCUUGAUUCCACAUAAAUCUAUUACUUUCUCAUUAAAGAGAUGAUAAGUAUUUCAAUGGAGCUUCCAUAUUUUUGUUCACUAGAUUAAGAAGUUCCAAUAGCAUGUAGAUACACAUACCAAAUUUAGGCGAAGUUUAAACGGGAAGAAGCGGAGCUUUCUCCUCAUUUACAGCACGAUGACUUGCCUGUGAAAUGUAGUAAAAAGUGAACUUGUCAUUAUUGCAUUAUUACUCAAUCAUACUCUCAGAAAGCUUAGAAGGAGAUAAUAAUAUAUUUCAAUGAGAAACUGUGAUCCAAAGUUCUUACAUCCUCAUUUGCUCCAGCAGCCAUAUCAAUAAAGGACGUAUCCUUUGACCUAGAAAGAUAAAAAGUAAAUCCAUUGUACAUAUAUAAAUUAGCUUUCAUCUUACUCUCAUUCUUUCACAUUUCCCACUUAAAGGGAUCGAUUAUUCUAAAAUCUUAGUAACACAAGGUAAGCAAAACACAUGUUAGGUCAUCUUAAUGGUGCACAGAAAUUGCAAAUAAAACUAGUGCCUACCUCUUAUUUUUUGGACUGUCCACCAAUUCCAAACUGAUAUUUUUUGGUUCAUCCUUCACCUUUGAAAGAGGUGAAAAGAACUGAACAGAAAAAUAAUAUAAGUCAAAAAAUAAGCCAAGUGUCUAACGUAAGAGAUCAAAUAAUGAAUAAAACAAAGAUCCAUAUUGACAUUACCUGAUGCAUAGAUAUAAACACAAUAGAGAUACCAAGAAUAAAAUUCAUAGUCAGAGUAUGACCAAACAGCGCAGCAGAUGCCAGUCCCGUAAAUAUUGUGGCGACAGUUGAUGAGUACUUUUUCAAAAUUGUAUCUGCAAGUAUCAUUACAAAACUUAAUUGAAAAACAUGAUUAGAAAUGAAGAGAAUUUUAUGAAUUUGAGUGAUCUUAAACGGUUGCAAUUCACAAGAGCUGAAAACUACAAAUGAACUGAGGCAAAGCAGACCUAAACAUAUGCUAGACGAGUCAAACAGCAGAUUCUUCCUUUCUGGGGUGCCAAUGUGCUACAAUGGCUCCACCAUGAUUGCAAGAAUCUCUCGCUACUAUUCUAGCAUAACAGUAGAAUCCCCCUCAGAUAAGAUGCCACCAUAAAUUUACUUCUCUCAAAAGUACUAGGAAGUCAACAAUAAUGCUCAGAGCUAAGUCGCUUAACAAAUCAAAUGUAUUCACAUGGGAAACGGAAAGAGAUAAGGGGGGUGGGGGUGCAGGUGUUCAUAUUCUAAAAACUGCUAGCCGAUUAUGUUAGGAUUCAUAUUUCUCUAGAUCUGUCGAGUAUGUUGAAACCGGGGAGAGAGGAUACAGGAGCCAAUCUCAUUUAGCUCCAUAUUUUUAUUGAAACUUGAGUCAUCAGAAACCUUCUGCUUUUCUUUUGUCUUUAUAUGCCCUUAGCAUAGACACCUCUGAGUUCUCAACCACAAAGUAAAAAAAGGUUUCACAGUCUACAGAAAGAAUUAUAUCUGGUUGUCUAUUGCUCAAGACAAACACGUGAAAUUAGAAGUUCAGAAUUAAGGACAAAAAUUAAGCAGCCAAACUUAGAAGAAUUUAAAUGAAGUACCAUUAUAUAAACAGACAUUAUAAGAGACUAAGAAAAUGUAGCAAUAGAGUGCAAUCAGUCACCUGCAUAUUUGAAGAAAAAUGACGACAAAAUUCCUUGGGCUGCGUUGUUGCAUAUCAAAAGCAUGGUCGCUUUUGAAUGUCCUUGCAGGAUAUCAAAGCUACUAGGACCUAAGAGCAUUGAAACAAAAUAAUUAAAACAACAAAUCAACCUAUUAUAUAUGCAAUCAUUUCAGAAAUGGUUACGCUUUGUCCCAGUAAUUUAGGUAGGAAGUUAAUCUUUUAUAGCACAUUAUAUAUAUAUUAAAAAAUAAAAAAAUAAAAAACAGGUUUACAGUCAAAACAAAUAAUGUCCUAAAAUCUAUUGUCACCACAAUUUUAGUACCCAAAAGCUCUACAUACACUGAGACACACUAAUAAAGCAAUGGUAACGAAAUUGGGAUAAAGAGAACUUCUAAGUAAUAUUUAUGUGCUCCAAGCAAGGGCAUAAUUCUAAAAUAACUUAAACUGCAUAUUUGAUGUCCAUACCUUUAAACAUGGCCGUUAUAACAAUGCCUAAGAAGUUGAAUAUGGCACCAUAUCCAUACAGAAACAAGUUCUGCACGACAAAAAGUAAACUUUCUGGUGAGAGUAAAUACAUAUUAUUCAUUUCAAAUUUUUUGAAGUUCACAACAUAAAGAAACAUGGUUUGCUAAAACCUUUCUACAUUAUGUUAGAUAUUUACAAAGGGAUCUUCGAGGAGGCAACUACAGAGUAAUAAAAAAUAAAAGUGCUAGCAAACACUUCUCAUCCGACCUCUUGCACUAAGCAAUGAGCAUGAGACAUCAUAUCAGUACUUUAAACUCACCUGAUGGUAAAUGCUUGUGUCAUAUUGGCUUUUCAAGGCAUACUCAUUGAAAACCGAUGCCAGAGAUGGAACAGUAACCUGCAUUAAUAUUCUAAAGGUAAAUUUUCAUCAUAUCAUGCCGUCUAGAAUAUCUAGCAUAACAGAUAAGUCAAUAUCAAAUAACUCUACAACCUUUUCUAUGCUUAAUAAUCUUAAGCACUUUGUAUACAAUUGAAUAAAAGAUAAAUGUCUACAUUUGUGUAAAAUAGACGAAAACAACACAGCUGAAGAAAAAAAUCCACAGCCUCAGGAGGAAAUGAAAAACAACAUUGAUUUCAUUUUAAUAACAUAAUUUUCCUGUCCCAGCCAUAUAAAUACAUGCUACUUCCCUCCUUGAAGAGCUAGGUCAGAGACAGUGACUAUUACUGCUAUUAAACUAUAUUUGGUAGACAUUCUAAUAGUUGCAAUCAGUACAGAAAGAGUUUGGUCCCAUCCAAAACCUAGAGACAGCACUGUACCUAUCCAGAUGAUCUUGGCCAAAACCAUGGAAUUUUUCUAUCUUAAAUAUAAUUAAUUUUUUUAAGAAGUUAUUCCUUAAGCAUUAGCACUUUUAAUUACAAGUUCUAGUUGCACAUAGCAUGAAAUUCAUUGUUGCUUAAUCGGGAACAUAUAGCACAUAAUUUUGACUGAUGCUGUUCUUAGGCAUACAUUGAAGCCAUGGCAGUACAGCUGACCAUUCUCCCCACAGAUUAAUUCAAAUAGCUAAGUUGAGUCCAAUUUGACUCACGGGACUCACUAGUGCAUGCAGCAAACUUCUGCUCAUUACAUCAAGGAUAUUUUAUGUUCAAUAUUGAAUGAAUGCACUCAACCACAAAGAAAUUAGGAAAUUUAUCAUAUAGAAGCGAAUUAUAGAUCUAAAGCUAAUAGUGACUGUCUUGGAGCACCCAAUCAUUUCAAAGCUGUUGACACUUUUUGAGGAAUAUAUUUGCAAGCAGAGAUAAACUAGCACAAUGAACCCAGGACAUAAAUCUUUAAAUACUUACAAAUAUCAGUGUGUAUAAGUAAGCCCCUGUUGCAACUGGAAGGCCCAAAGCACUUGUACCCUCUGGUAAGGACCGCAACUGAUUCACACUGAUUCCAAUGAGCAAAAGAGCAAGAGCCUCCCACUGUUACCAAAUAAUGAACCCAUUUCACAUUAGCAAAUUGCCAUGAGCAUUCAAGUUAACAAAAACACCUAUACAAACUUUAGUCAAUGUAAACAAUACAAAUACAGAGAAACUUUACAUGCAAACUACCUGAAUUAUAGAAAAUCGCCGUUUCAUUAUUAUCUUUAACAGGAGGGCUAUUACAAAAACCUGCAUAUAUUUGUGAGCAAAUCAAAUGGUAUCAAAGCUUGCUUAUAAGGAAAAGAAACAACAAAAAACUUCUGCAUAGAUUAUUUUGUCCUUCCAUAAGGAAGAGACAGGAGCAGCUCUAAGAAAAUCACAGCUUUCACUACUUAUCACAAACCUAUCAGUGGAAGUUACAUCAACUAACACACCGAAGAAGUCCAGACUCAAACAUCUAAUUGAUCCAGGAAGAUCAACAUAGAGUUCAAACUUCGAUAAACCGUGUCCUCCAUGGAUAUAUUGAGAAACAAUGAAGGACACUGAUUUUUGCAGUUAUAAGUAUAUCACCAGCAGUAAAUGUUUUCAAAACGCAUAAAUCAAGCCCCAAAGGUAUAUCAUUAUUGAUUCAGAGCAAUUGUUAGUAAAUACCUUCAGGUUGCUCAGCAUCUUCACAGUCGCAGGAUUAAAAUAAAGCUGCAAAAUGAGUAAAUAGAUGCUUAAAAUGUCAACUCUAAUAAAGUACCAAGCUUUAAAAUAUCCAUGACAUAUUAAGCUUUAAGUAGAUAUUCAGCAGAAUAAAAUCCAAUUUACUAUAAUAGGAUUUUCUUUUUACCAAAAAAGAAAAAAGGCAAAAUAGAGAUCAUAUUUGAGUACACGUCGCAGGAAUAUAAAGGGAGGAAAAUAUCAAAUGAGCAAGAAAUUCAUACCUGCAUGAUAAACUUUAAAUAAUUAUUGAUAGCAUAAAGGAAAGCAGGAACGGCAAGAAGCACAUUGUUUCGAGCAGCCUGCAAAAGUAUAAAAGAAAUAACAGGCAUCUGAAGAUAAAAAAGUACCAUUCUGUAUAAGUUAGCAGUUCUUGGCAUGUACAGCAAGAAAGUAGGCCAAUAGGCACAAGGUACACAAUUUGCAGUCUAUUUUUCACCGACUUCAGUAGUUAAAACUGUGACAGCAUUGAAGCACAAAAACCAAUAACAUGAUAAGAACUCAGUGUCACGGACUUAAUAAGAAAAAUCCGACAAUAAGGCUAGAAAUGACAUAUCUUCUUAUAAAUAAACUAAAUCUGCAGAGCUAAUCAAUCUCUUACCUGUGCAAUUGUAGAAAAUGAGAGAAGAGAUUUCUCACCAACUUUCUUAUGUCUCGCCUGAAACAUGAUUAAAAGAAAAUUCAUUAAAUAGGAAAAAGGACACAGAACAAGUAUUGCUCCUAUAGUACAGUAGGGCAUCUUUUUAUUUUUUCAUUUUGAAAGCACUCUUACUGACGUCUGCAUUUUCUUAAAAUCAGGAGUAGAAACUCUUUUUAAAAAUAAAUGCUAAAAGAUUGUUCAAAUCUCUAAAAAUGAGUUUCAUAAUCAAAGCAUAUAACUUAGAGAGAGCUAAUGGUCCAGAUUUAAAGAAAACACGGACAUCAGCAUGAGAUAUAUAAUUAUAUAUAAACUACGGGAGUAUUUUCAUAGAUGCUUUUCUAUUGAUGUAAUUUUGCCAGAAAUACAUUAGCAAUUUCAUCGCAAGGAUCUUUGCUCAAAGUAUUUACUUUGUUACACAUUUUCAUCCAGAAAAAUUUUCACAGAUUAAAAACUAAAUAGCAGUACAAAACUUUUUUUAGAAAGGAAAAAAAGAAAAAAGAAAUUACCUGAAGCAAAAGCAUAACAAUAGCAAAAAAAACCUUAACUGCCUCUGUCAAAAAAUUAACACUAACUGGACUAAACUUGAAGCCUCCAUCAACUUUAGUCGUAAACACCAAUAUUGGCUGCAAUUAAAAAAAAAUCCGAAAACAAAAAUAAAAAUCAAUUAUAUUAAAUUUAAAUUUAAAAUACAACUAGAUUACACUAAACAAAUCUAAUCUAAUCUAAUCAAAGCCAAGAAAGUUAAUUAAUUAAUUACUUGCUUAAAUUUGAAAACUUGAUUAAUUGAUUACCUGUAGUCCGACCAAAAUGCAGUCGCCAACGACCAAAGCGACGUUAAGGAAGCGCGUUUUGGACGAGACCUGGUGCCGGUGCCUGUCGUAUGCUCUCGACACUGUUUUGCCGCCAACAGUCUCCAAUUCGAGCGUCGAAUGACAAACGCUGCAUUCUAUCAUCGGUACCAGCUAAAAACGACAACGUAACGCGCGAUCUUCUGAACAAAACGACAGGUUUUUAAUCGCUGCGGCCCUGAGAUCGAAAGCUGGGUUAAAAAUGAAACAGUGUCUUUUCCUUCCUUUCUUACGAGUCUUUUCCUUCCUUUCUUUCUUUCUCAUCGAAAGCUGGGUUAAAAAUGAAACAGUGUCUUUUCCUUCCUUUCUUUCUUUCUCUUUUUUUUUUUUUUCAAAUUAUUGGGUCAUUUUCAGAUGCCUUUUGUGAUUAAUUUUUAUAGAGUUCAGGUCGUCUGGUGAAUUUAUUAUUUUUCCUUCUUUAGUUUAUUGUGGGAGAUUUCAUCAAAUAUGGUAAUAAUAGAUUUAGGCUUAUAAUUUUUUACAUAGUAUUUAUCUAAACAGAGUUUUUAUUAAAAUUAUAAAAUUAUUUCAAUAGAUAAUUUUUUAAAAAAUUAUGUAAUGAAACGAAUGAAAUAAAAUUAUAAUAAAAGUAAAGAAUAUUUUAACAUUUUAACAGUUCAAAACAGAUUUUUAACCUAUACUUCUAAAAAAUUAAAAUUUGACUUUCUUUUCUAUCUUGAUUUACAACUUUCAUGAUAAAUAUUUUAAUAAUUUUGUGAAAGUUAUAAAGAUUUCUUUAUUUUUAAAGAUAGUCAUAUAAAACUUUUGUUUGGAUUAUUAUACUCAACCGAAAUACAUUCAGGUCAUUAUAUUCAAAUGACAUAAUUGUCCUAAAAGGGGUAUGAUCAUUAUUUAAAAAUUAAAAUAAUGAGAUAUUGUGAGCAUUUUACCAAAUUACAGAGUGUGGUUUAAGAGUUAGAUGUCACUGUUUAUUGCUUCUAUGAUAUCAUAUUUGAUUAGUUCUAAUUCUAUCACAUGUUUUAUCAAGAUUCGAUCCCCAAUGUUAUUCAGAGACAUAAUUUUUUGAAUUUAAAAGUAAAUUUUACCCUUUUUAGGUGCAUAUUCUCUUGGAAUGGAUUCACAACAAUUGAUCCUCAUAUAACUCAAAAGAAAAACCUUUAAUAAUUAGAAUACUAAUAAUGAAACAUAUUAAUGUUUUAAGCAUCAUGUUAGAAAAGAAAAAAAAAAUAUUAGGAGUUAUAUUUUAUUUGUAAGAGCUUUAUUAUUAUUAGCGCAUUAACAACUAGCACUUGCCACAUUUGCCAUUUUGCAAUAGAAGUACACAAUUGACAAGAUCUAUAUAUUACCAUGUUCCCAAGGCAUGUUCUUUAUUACUAAAAACAAAAAAAAAAAAAUGUAGAAAUUAAAACAUUAAACAUGCUUAACUUUUACAUAUAAUCUCUUAUUAAUUUGUGCACAUAUUUGGCAUUUAUAUAUUAACAAUAGAGAAAAAUGAAGAAGUAGAUAGUGUUGUAUAAAUAAUACCGUAUAAUAUAAUUAAAAACCGAUUUGAGUGCGAGAAAUAAAAUUCUUAAUUUGAAAUAACAAAAGCUGAAGGAAUUUGAAAUUUUUUUUUUAUUUAAUUGGAUAAAAUGUGAAAAUAAUCAUGAGGAGGACAAAUUUUGAAAAUGUUACCAAGUGUAGACAUCUUUCCUUUUUAUUUUUAUUUAAAAAUAAAAUUUUAUUUUGAAGAGAACAUAUAAAAUUGAUUAUGGGUAAUCGUGACAAUGAAUAGUGAUAUUCAUCGUAACAUCAAUAGUUAGAAGGAGAUUUGACACUUUGUCGCUAUAAUUUUUGAAUUCUACUAUUCAUUUUUUAUAGUUUCAUAAUAUCUUGUUACCCAAUUUGACAUAAAAAUUUUAACAAAAAACAAUUAAUUGUUUUGUGUUGAAAUGAAAUUUUAUGUAAAAAUUGGCAUCAAAGGAUACCGAAGUACUAGAAAACUAUGAGGAAUUAGUUUGUUAAAAUAAAAAUCGACAAUGUAAAUAUAGAAUGAAUCAUAUAAUGCUUUCAUAUUUAAGAGAGAUCUCCUCACACAUUGGAAAGACUCAAAACUCAACAAAAACUAUUCAAUUGGGAAGUAGUGAUGAUUUUGAAAAUUUUGAACAUUGCAACUUUCAUAAUAUAUUCAUGGAACUUAUGAUACCAGAAGCACCUCUCUUUUUCUUUAAAAACCUAGGAAAGCACUUUUGGCUAUUUUUUAUUUUUAAUAGUAAAACCAUGGCACAUGAUGGUGGAAGGUGGACUUAAAAACAUUCAUCAUUUUUCCUCAUUAUAUCUAAAUUCUCUAAGACAACAAAAUAGGGAACUGUAUAUCUACAGUUAAGAUUGAAGAGUCAAAUAAUGGAAGGUGGACUUAAAACAUAUUACUAUUGAAAGCAGACAUAUGAUCAUACAGCUGCCGCUUUGAGAGAAAGAAAAUCCGAAAUCUUGUUGGUGUAGAAAUCUGGUUGUAUGCUGUUGUUCGGACUUUGAAGCAUUGACAAUGAAGUCACACCUAUUAAAAAGAGGAGAAAUAUUCUCGAUUAGAUUAUUUAGCGAGGAUGAAGAAUGGUAAGAGAGCUGCCAUUUACCUGAGAGAACAAGAAGAGUUUUACAGCCACCAUUCUGUCCGAACAGAAUAUCAGUGUCAAGUCUGUCCCCAACCAUGCAUAUCUGCGACUUUUGGAUGCCAAAUCUGUUGUUGAUCAAAUCCAUCAGACUAGAAUCAGUGAUCUGAUAGCCGAUGAGCUGAUAAAUUAUGAAUGAUGAUAUAGAGUAGAUUCGUUUAAUUCUGUAACUCUUUUAAUAUGCCAAGGAGUUUCAAUAUUUGUAAUAAGUCAGAAACUAAGAGUACCUCUGACGUAUUAAAACUUAAUAUCAAAAAUCAAAACUUUUUGGAUUACAAACGAGUCAGGAAUUAGCAAUGUGCAUGAGUCAAGAGUACUAGAAUUAUUGCAAAGAAAAGAGCUCGUGCACGUGUUAGAUACACUUAUAUCUAUUUUUCUAAAAUUUAGAAUGCUUACUUGUUUGCUAAAUAGUCCAUCAUAAAGGUUGAAGGCUUUCCAACAACUAGUGGCUCACGUUGAGUAGAUCCAACAAAAGCACCAACCAUAGACCCACCACCUAAAAUUGAAAUACACAUCACAUAUGCUUCAACACACAUAACACAGAAGAUAAUUAUAUAUGAUGACAAUCAAUUUAAAUACAUUGAGUUCUUAGUGCCACUGAAAGAGAGAUCAAUGAGAAAGAGGUCUUAGCAUAUACAUUUUCAGAAAUGCUAAUGAUGGUGUGCAUGAAACAAUGCAUUUAUCACUUCAUAUAACGAGGUUAAGUCCUCAUCGAACAAUAUACUGGAUAAAUUAUCAAAAUUUCAUAUCCAAGCCACUAAGCAAUAUGAAUUUUUGUUUACCUAUUAAAUGAAAACAAAAUUAAAAUUCUUCAUAAAUAGGGGACCUGACGGUAUUAAAAAUCAAAAUGCAGUAAAGACAGAGGAGAGGAGAACCUGCCCACUCCUGAGCAUCUGUGAGGUGAGUAACAGCAUCACGAUUUGUUGCAAUGAAAAGACAUCCGGGGUUUUCACGUAUGCAAAGUGUUCCAUACCUAUUAUUACGGAAAUGAAAAUGGUUUAAAACAAAAACAAUGGAAAUCACAUAUCUUUAAUGAAACUACAAUAAUGAAAAUGAAUCGAUUCUACAAGAACUUAAAAAGUCACUGGUGUGAAGCUCCUGAUUCUCGUUAACUAACUCUCAACAUUUGUUUUAUAAUAGUAUAUUUCAUGCUUCAUUGAACAAUCCGGUUGCAGAAACAGCACUAAUUUGGGAUAUUCUACCACAUAUGCAUAACAUAGGAGUUGUCUUCUUAAUCAAUGGAGUCUUAGUCCUGCCUACAAGAAAUCAGUUGGGCCAUUUGCUCUAUCUAGAACAAUAUUUGGAAUUUAUGUGUUACCAUUAAUGUUACAUUAAGAAACCAAAAUUUUGAGUUAAUCAAAUUUUGCAUCAAUUUUGGUUUUCAAACUGCCAAUUGAAAAGAUAAAGAAACAGGAGUUCAAUAUAACAUGCAUGGCAUGGGGCAGAAGGGGAAAAAAAAUAUAAAGUACCUAUGUUUAAUAUAAAUAACCAAUGCUGUUAAAUUAUUCUUCAAUAAACUAUGAUCGUCUCUAAUGGAUCUUGAGGGUGAAAAAUGGAGAACUUACUGGACUUUGUAGUAAUUGAAGUAACGAUCAAAUCCAACCACAACAGCCCCCACCUAAUCCAAAAAUGAGAAACUUCUUUAUCAUGAUAAAAGAUUUGGAAAAAGAAAUGUAGAAACAUGAGAGAAGGCAUACGAAGGACGUAUGUUCCGCAUGUUUCAAUUUGUAACAAAUCUAAGUAGAGCAAACCAGAACAAAGGAACAAGAGGCAAGAAAGAAAGAACUUUACAUCCUUAUCAUGCUCCAUUAGGAAACCGGGCUUUAGCUCUAUCUUUUUCCCACCAUCCUCCUGUAUCAUAUUACAUAUACAAUUAAAAACAUAACAUGUCUAUUUUCUAAUUCAAAACAAGAAUAUGCCAAACCUCAUCGCCAUCAAACAUUGUUGUGAAUUAGAAAGGACAUGUGUAGAAAUGUGUAAACGGAGCGAGGGAAGCUUUAUUUACAUUACAUUGUGGACUUACCGUUGAGACUCAUUCAACAAUCAACAUGACCAACUACCACAAACAACCAAGUAUAUUAUAUACUUUGAAAACUUAUGCAAAAUGGAAUUUAUACAUACAGGUCCACCAAGAUACUGAAAUCCAGCAAGCUCAAGCUCCUUCAAAAUGCCAUCUUCUCCAACCACAUAAACCUAAAUCAUGGUCAGCUAUCAGUAAUUACAACAUUAUACAACGGCAUGAAGAAUUUAUAGACAAACCGUUUAAAAAAAGUUUGAAAUUGAAUUGAUCCUAUAUUAAGCUAAAAUUACAGAAGAAUAGAAGAAUAUCUAUAUAAAAUAAUUAUUCGUUUAAAAACAAUUGCUGCUUAUGGGCCACAUGGAUGUCAAACUGCAGUUUUUUUUUCCCAUCAAAGAAAUAACAAUCAUUUUACCUUUUUAUCUUUUGGGAAAUCAAUGGACUUUAAGUAAGCAGCAGCUGCAAAAGAAGAGGCAAAUAUUUCCUCCUGCGAGAAUUCACUUGAGUUAGGACUUGGUAUCUGGUGAAACUUCAGGCAAACAAUGGAGAGAAAAGAGUCUUUAACCUCAGUGACAGUCAACCCAAGUGUCUCAAACUUUUUACCAUACUGUUUCCUUGACUUUGUCGAGUUAUUGGUAACAAAAACUAAUCUCUUUCCCUGAAGAGAAAACAAGAUCAGUAAUCAUCUGAAAGCAUCAAGAAUUUUAAGUCACCUAAACUUUUGUUUCGAUAUUUUAAAUUGUCAAGUUUCUGAGAAAUGUUGCUCAAAGUUGAAUUAAUAUCCGUAAGUAUUCAAGCAAGUCAUGAAUGAAAAGGUAUACAAACCUUGGAUCGGAGCAUAUCAAGGGUUUCAGGGACUCCAUCUAUUAAUUUAUCUCCUUUCCAAAUAACUCCUGCAAAUUAUUAGUUCAUGAGUUUAAAAUCAUAGGUAAGAAACGAAACCUUAUCAAUCCCUCAGGCUCCAACUCACCUGCAACCAGCCAAUUUUCGAAAGCAAGACAAAUUUAAAAGGGAAAAAAAAAGGCGAAACCAAACUAAAUCAUUUGAAUGCUUCUAACUCAAUACAAGAAGCAACUAAAACAAUUCCCAAAAAAUUUUUUCGUGCAUAAUAUAAUAUCAUUCCGCACAUGUCAGUCACUAAGUGGAUCUUCUUCGACUUACAAAGUAGCUUAAGAUAUUCAUAUUUGCAUGAGGUUUCGGAUUUCAUCUAUUUUCUCAAAAAGAAGAUCUUAGAAGGCAAGCCCAUUCAUUCAUUCAAUAAAAACAACAGAACCCAGAAAUUCUGUCAAUGUCUAUUCCAUAAAUCAACCAAAUCAUAGAAAACCAAUCACCCCAAAAACAGUCUCCAAUAAAUUUUUGUCAAAAUCAGAACUCAAAAACUCUCAACACCCAUUACAGCAAAAUCCGUGAAAGCCUCAUUAUACCAAAAAUAAUUACCAUUAAUCAUUGUCAGGAUUCUAAGUUAAACCCCACAUAAGCAGAAUCACUACAAAAUGAAAAUCAAGAAACUAAAAAGAAGUAAGCAGUAAAGAGGAUCACCAACUCACCAUCACAGUCAAAAAUGAAAGUCUCAACAGAGUCAAUAAGCUCAUCAGCAUUCUUCAAUGGCUGAGCUGAAGCUGAAGCUUUGGUCACAAAGCUCUCCAUUCUUGAACAGCUUCUACUCUUCUUCAAACCGUCAGCAUUAAAGCUGCUGUUUUUGCCUCCAAAAACUAAAGAAUCUGAAGAAACAAAAGAGACCCUCUUAAGUCCGAAAAACUUGGAGGUGGUUUUGGGAUUGAGAGUAACAGAGACAGCGGAUGCAACUGCUUUGCUUAGCAUCUCUCCCUCUCUCUGUAUAUCUCCUGCUUUUUCUCUCUGUUCUGUUUUGAUUUUUUUUUAUAUUUUUAAAUUUAAUUUUUAAUAGUUUUUAUUUGGGGUGGUGGUGGUAGUUUCAGUUCAAGUCGUUAUGCUUUGAAGGUUGGGCUGACGACGUGGCAAUUUGAGUGUUCCAAGCUUCUUGUUUUGUCAUCCAAUGACCAAUGUGUUCCUCUCAUGUUUCUUUUUCUUUUAUUAUUUAUUUCAUAUUCAAAAAUCAAAAUUAUUCAUGUUAUUUUUGGCAGUACCCAAAUUAUAUAAAACGAAUUAUGAUGCUUAUUACUUUGUUUCAAACUAUAUAUUUGGGAUUUAAAUUAGAAUUUAUUAUUCUUUCAAAACAAUUUUAGGAUUAAUUGUGAUAUCAACACAAAAUUCUUUUAUGCCAAUUUAACUUUUUUAAUAGAGCUCUUUUAACUUAAAUGUUUGACUCAAAAUUAUGACAUUAUUAAUCUCAUACAAUACAAUGAUAAUUGGUAAAUGUCAUUUGACUUUAAAAAUCUAUCAUGAAAUUAUGUUAAAUCAGUAGUUCAAAAAUUGUGUCAAUAUUCAAAGUUAAAAUAUUCCAAUUCUAUCCAAUUAUGGGAGGUGAGCAAGAGUUUAUGUGACUGCAAAACUCAAACUCACAAUUUGAACUUUUGUUGGGAGGGUUUCACCACUUGAUUUUCACGUUGACACGUGUCAUAUGCUAAAUGGAUGAACGUAUGAUGACUGUAUGCGUCUUUAGGCAUUGGUGUGGCCUAAUGUGCUGAAACUCUGAAUGGCUUUAAGCAAAGAUUAACGAACUAAUCGAAUAAUACGCCAUGCUGGGACAGACGGUGUGGGAGGGAAUUGUACAAAUAAACAAUGGAGAAUAUUGUGAGUGUGGUAGGGUUUGAAAUAGCUGAAAAGCUGAAGUUUUACUACAAUGCAAGAAAAUGAAAAGCAGAAAUAAUGACAUGGCUGAUAAUAUUUUGAGUGCUAAUAACAUUUUGAAAAAUUUUAAGCUCCUACUAAGAUUCUAGCAGUGCUUCUACAUAAAUUGAUCGCCAUCAUAUGGGAUCCUGAUGAAUCACUAGCUUUGCAUUACUUUCAAUGCUAAAUUACUAAUAGUCUGGGUCUCUGGGAAGUAUGAAACUUGAAAUUUCUCUUCUCAUGUUGAGCACAAUCAAUGAGCUGAGCCAUACAGCCUGUGUGGUUAUUAAUUACUCUAGCAUAAAACAGUCAUAUAACUAAAAUUUCAACUAGUGAAAGAGGGUACUUGAGAAAAAUUUAAAACAAUCGUAUAACUAGAAAUUCAAGAUCAUCAUUCAUAUACUGUCAUCUACUUGAAAUGAAAAAUUCAGGGGACUAAAGAAACUUCAAAACAAACUUAGAACUAGCAUUCAAACACUACAUGAAUCAAUAUGGAAAAAGAAACUUAUCAUUUGCAUGGCUGUAUGUAUUAGAAAGUCUUAUCACCUAAACAUGCCUAUUUGAAGUUGGAUCAAUCGGGAAACUGGAGACAACUUAAGACAAUCAUAUAGCUACCAAAUUCAACUGCUACAACAUCAUUAUCACUUGCAUAUCUCUAUGAAAUUAAUCAGUCAGGGUACUAAGUACUAACUAGCAAUUUCCAAUCCCUGCGUGUAGUCAAUAAUGUAAUGUAGUAAAAAAAAUCUUACAAUAAUGUAUCACUUGACUCAACAAAAACAAAAGAAUCUUCCUCCUGUUCCGCCUGUUUCUCCUCUAUGUUCGCUUCAUCAGCUCCCUCCGUCUUCGCUUCAUCAGCUACCUCCUCCUUCGCCUCCAGUUCGAUUGUUUCAGCUCCCUCCUCCUCCUCCGCCUCUAAUUCGCAUGCUUCAGCUCCCUCCUCCUUCGCCUCUGACUUGUUUGCUUCAGCACAUUCCUCUUCCUGCUUCGCCUCUAGAUUAUUUGCUUCAUCUCCGUUGGAAUCUGCAAAAAAGAAAGAAGGGGAAAAGAAAAAAAUGAGUUCAUGGAAUUUAAUCAAAACUGAAGAAAAAGGAAAAAUUGUUAGUGUAAUCUUUAUGUUGUAUCCACCACUCACCAGAAACUUGAUCCUGAGGUGACUGUAUCUGAUCUACCACUGACUGCCGUGCUACAUUUUUUAAGUGCAAGACUGCAAAGAUACCGAUGAGGAAGGGGAUCAUAAGAACUCCUGUCUCCAAGAAGCGACCAUCGAAGAUUGUCCGGACAAGCAGUUGAAAAAGUUGCAGAUGUACAACCACUUGUACAAUCUCCUCCCUUUUUCCCCGAAAAUCUGCUGGAAUGAGUCCGUGGUUAAGCCCAGAGUAGCUUGUGUAUUGAAGGACGAGCACUGACUGGAGGAAUGCGAAGCCAAAUAUCGAGGAUGGGUUAUUGUGUAUCCUACGGUAAAUGAUUUCUUGAAGUAUUACAGCUCCCAUGUGGACCAAAAAUCCCGAGCGAAGACGAUGUUGGACUAUGCAGACAAACAAGACUGAUUGCCGAAGAUAUAAUAUCAGAAACAAUGCCGCGAAUAGCAAAAAUAUCAUCGGACAUUGUAUCAAGACAAAGUAGAUCGUGCUGUAGUGUGACCGCAAUGAAUUCAAAUAUGCAACACUCUUCACAAUCCAUGCGAGUGCCAAGAAAAACCAGGAAGCUCUCCUCCAUUUGUCCACUUUAUUGAAUCUUUCCAGAACAUCUAACACUGCCUUCUUCAGCUUCUUCCCGACGACAUUCUUCCAGUGAAUCAUUUUGAUGAAUGUUUCAGAAGUCACCACUGUCUUCAACAUCUGCUUGACGGGAAAGAAAGAGAGAUUAAGCAAGAAAAAGAACUUGAAAAGAAAAUUGAAAUGUUUCCCAUGUUUACUUGCAACAUCUAUAAUUCAUUCCCACGAUAUGGAUGGGUUAAAAGCCACGGUUCCAGAGGUACCCUUAAAAGUAAGUUUCAGUUUCUCUAUGCGCCUAGUCUAAAAUAUUUUCUCCGGAAUGCGAGUUUCAGUAAUGUACAAGGGUAGAUAUAGAACAAGGCAAUGAGAAGAGAAUUGAGCACCUGUGACAGUUUCUGCCAGUUUUGUGCCAGGAUACACGCUAGGAUAGCAGUAAGAAUGGAUGGCACUCCCAGAUUGACAGUGGUGAGCCCGAAAUAGCCGCAGAUUGAUUGUAAAAUGCCACAAACCAAUGGUAUUCCAUAGAGGCAUCCUGCAGAUAUCUGAGGAAGCAAGAGUGAAAAAAUAAAUAAACAACUAUGAUACAACAGAUAACAGAGACAAGAUAAAAAGAUCAAAAAAAAAAAAAAAAAAACAAUUACAAAUCUAAAAUUUAGUUAUUAUAUACAAGUGACUGUCAAACCUGCCAUCAAAAGUUAAGAUAAUUUAACCCAUGUGUUAAGCUUACUAGAGCUUCGAUUUCACAGCCAAAAAAGCGAGAUAUUACUAAUACAUACGGUCCCAAUACCAAAGCCACAAAGUCAUAUUUGCUAACUACUAUUUAGAAGAGUUGUGACUUUUAUGCCAUGAAGCCACAAUACUAGAAGGAAUUUAAUUAGAUAAUACAUGCAAAACAACUCAAAACAAUAAAACCUCCCAUUACACAUAAUUUCGGACUGUGCCAUAACAGAAUUGACACGAAUGACAAAAAAAAAAAAAAAAAAUUAACAAGCAAUCAAAAGUAUGUUAUCAAUUAGCCUAAAAAAAAUUAGUACCGCAAGUAACUUUUGUUCGGAAUCCAUGGAAUCACUAAAACAAACAGAGAAUCAGCAGAAAUUGCGACGGCAACAAACAAAAAGAGAAAUUAUUUGUAAGAGAGAGCAAAUUAAAUUGUAUUCGGGAACACGAAAGCUUACGGAAAUUCCUCUUUAUUUUAUAUAAUAGUAUGUGUUUGUUUUUGUUCUUUUUCUUAGGGAACAAGGAAUUAGGAGUUUAGUGCAAGUGUAGAAGGAGAAAACUAGAGGAUUAAACGGCCAUAUUACUCUUUUCGAUAUAGUUGCUGGCCGGAAAUAUAGUACCCAGAAUGGCAAUCCAGUAAUUCUGUUGAAUCGUAAGAAUUCUUUUAUAAGUAAAAUCCAAACAAGAAUAUAUUCACCUACAAAUUACUUUGUCAAUAAUUAUCGGAUAUAAAUUGAUGUACAUAUUCGUGUGUGAGUUUAAUAUUAUUGUUGUGAUGGAGUAAUACUAGGUCUCCUAAUAUUCAAGUCUUAAUUUGAAUUUCAAUUAAUGUCGUAUUCAUCGAUUAGAUAAUCGUUAAAUAAUUUUAUAAGUUAUGAAAUCAUUAUAGAUAAACUACACAUAACAUUAGGAUUUAAAUGUUAGGAUCGUAAUAUUAUUGUAUUAAUUACAUUAAAUUUUAUAUUUUUACAUUUUGUUCAUAAAAAAUUCAAAAUUUUAUUAUCCACUGUCACCUUAUUGUUGAAAUAUCAGUCCUCUGCUAAAUUUGGGUAACAUUUUUUUAUUCUUUUUUCUUUAAACAAAAAUAGGUGUUAUUGUGGGGACCUUGGUAAAAAUGUUUUACAGAAUAUAGUACUUUUUGUCAUAUUUAUAAAAUUCCGGGCCACAAGAUAUUAUUACCCCAAAAGGAAGUUUCGACGCAUCCGACUUUUUUUUUUUCUCUCUCUUAAAAACCCUAAAACCAUCCAUUUUCGCUCGCCGAUUAGUUGACUCAGUGUUGUUAUUUCAUCAAUGGCCGAUCGCUCACAGCCGCCGCCGCCGAUGGAGCGUACGGCCUUCGACACGGCGGACGAUGAGACGUCGGCGCUGUCGACAGCGGAGUUCCUGACUCGUUACGAAGUCCUAAAACGGCGAUUGCAGCGAGUGAAACGACUUAAGAAGCUAUACAAGACGCAUUACUGGGCGUUAAUGGAAGAAUUGAGAAGCAGCUACAGAAAGUAUUACUGGGAGUAUGGGAAGAGCCCGUACAAAGAAGAUGAUAAUAAUAAUAAUAAUAACAACAAAAUUAAUGAGAAUAGUAAUAAUAAUAAUAAUAAUAAUAAUGCGGAAAAGAAGGACAUUGAGGAAGGGGGAUUUGUGAAGAAGUGUGGGAUGGCGGGGUGUAAAACGAAGGCGAUGCCGAUGACGAGGUUUUGUCACCUGCAUAUUUUGUCUGAUUCGAAGCAGAAGCUUUACAAGGGCUGCUCUUAUGUUACUAAAAGGUAUUUAAUUUAUUCCAUUUAAUUUAUUUAUUAUUUGUUGUUGAAUUAUUCUGGUAUCUUUAAAACAAGUAUUUAGCGUUCACUUGCAUUUAUUGAAAUUGUUUCGGUUUUGUUUAUUGUCAUUUUUUUCUGAUACGCAAGUAUUUUAGCAGCUAUGAAUUGGUUUAGUUUUUGAAUUUGUAUUGAUAGAAUGAAGGAAACUAACCAACAAAAUUGAAUUUAGUGUAAAUUAUAGGAUUCCUCCAAUUAACUUCGGGGAAUAUUUCUUCUUCGUCUUGAAUGUAAAAGUACUAAAGCCUUGGUUGAUUUGGUUUUUGAAUUUGUUUAGUUUACGUUUUUGCUGAAGUAUUUGAAUGGAUGUUCGCAUGAAUUUCUGAUUUUUUUUCUUUUUAUGAAUUUUAGAAUUUCAUGGUGUGUUCUGUGACUCUCAGAACUAUCUGGGUCGAACUGCCUCGUAGCCAAAAGUUUUAAGAGGACUAAUGAAAUUUGCAUAAAUGCUUAUGGGAUCUGUGCUUUUUGCUUACUUUUCUGUGAGUGGUAUUCAGCAUCUAAUUGUGUCUCAUAGAACUCAUGAUUAAAGUAUUUUGGGAGUUGUGGAUGUUAGGUUGAUGUUAUUGGCCAUUUAAACAUGAUAUACUGCAGUAUGAUUGAUCUUAAUUUAUUGAAGGGGGUUUAGCGCAUGGAGAGGAGUGAAAGGGCUUCAAUUUAAGUCACUGCAAAGACUUUAUUGCAAUCAUUUAUGUAUAUAGAUUUAGCUGGAUCACCUUCUCCACUUGCAUAUAGUACUCAAAAAGAGAUUUUGGGGCUAGAAAAUAGCCAAUAGUCAGGUUUCCAGUGGUCAUAAGCCUAAUUAAUUGUUAUGUUGUAGUAAGAGACAAUGAUUGCAAUCUGCACCACACAUCAUACUCAGUUAGCUAUAUUUGCCCAUAUGAAUUAUUUUGGUGGUUAUAUGACAUACUUGUAUUACACUGGCAUUUAUGUUCACAGUGGCAUCUUGUUUUGGUUACAAUGCCCAAACAGAUGCUAAAUCAUAUUUUCUUUUCCAAAAUAUUUCUCCUAGUGAUAUGAUAAUCUAUAUGCAGUGGGCAGACUGGGCCUAUUCUUUGUGGGAAGCCGAUUCUGAGGUCUACUGUUCCUUCUCUAUGCCCCAUGCAUUUUCAGAAGGCUGAAAGGCAUGUUGCACGAGCCCUGAAAAAGGCAGGUCUAAAUGUCACUUCACCAAGUAAGGUUGCUCCAAAGUUACAUGUUGUAGUUGCUGAAUAUGUGCGCCAAAUUCAAACAAAAAGAAGAGCUGCACAAAAGGCAGCUAUUGCUAAAGUUGAUAUUAAAGAAGAGAAAACUAGUUGAGGCUCUUGAUUGUUCUGUGAUGAAAAUUGUUAAGGUAGAUUUUUGUGCAGAUUUUUUUUUCUCUAUAGUUAGAGAUGUUAGUGGUGUACCAGAUUGAGAUUUCAAAUCUGGGAUCUUUCGAUUGUACUGAAUCGAUGGAGCAGAGUCUUUGGUGGGGUAUUGGACUUAUGCCUCGGGAGACAAUUCUUUGUGCAUACUAAGGUACUUCUUCAUUUUUUCCUCUCAUGAUUCUUUUAUUAUUUUUUAAUGAUUUUUGCUACCAGCUUUGUAUUGUUUUGAUUUGUUUUGCUCAUACAAUGAAUUCCUUAUAUUUUAUAUUUUGUAGAUGAUGAACAAAUGCUUAUAUCAAGUUAGGUUUAUUGAUUAGGUGUGCCCUAGUAUAAGCUUUGAAUAUUUUCAAUUUGUGAUACUUAUUGCAUUUCCAAAGAAAGUAUCAUUUUAAGUCAAGCAUUUGAUGGUUAGAUGUUACGAACAUGGGCUAAAUGGGGUUGUUAUCGCUGCGCACUUAUAUAAUUUGUGGGACAACUUGAGCCUAGUUCAUUGCAUCGUGGUUCUUUAUUGUGUCAAAUUACUCGCUUGUCAUUGUAAGAACUUUUUCUUUUUUAUCCUAAUCUUUAAGUCCAUAUUUAGGAGCAAGUAUGCUUUCCUUUUUUAUUUAUCUUUCUGGCAGUAAAUGCUUCAAUUCAUUGAUAAAACAGACUAUUUUCAAGUAUAUUUUAAUAUUAUAUACUAGUUUUGAAUGCUUUAUGUGACAGAAAAAUUUUUCAUUUGGAGGAACCUUUUCUAUAUAGGACCUUUUGUUACCACUAUAAAAAGAAAAUGUAGUUGAUUGAAUGAAAGUUUACUGGUAAGUAGUUCUUAUAGGUGAACUGUGUUUCUUGUGCUUAUAAAUGAUUACUACCAGAGAGGCAGGUAAAGAUAAGGGACAGUAUUUUAGCUGUCUUCGAUUUUGGGCUCUUAUGGACGGGUUUGUAUUCAUCAAGGUUCUUUAAUGAAGUUAAUUUUACUAGCUGCUAUACAAAAGUCGGUUACUAACUUUAGGACUUCAAUUUCCAUUUUCAUGAGAUUAAGGAAAGUGUGAAUUAGAGAAGAUGUCAUUCUAGAAUUGAGAGCUAAUAUAUUGCUGGCUGCUAGAUCAAAUGCUUGUGUGACAUUUAGAAUCUUAUCUUGCAGACAAUAAUAUAUUAAUCUUGCUUGCAUUUAGCAUUUAGGGCAUUUUUGAGGGACGGGAUUAUUUAUGUGAUUGGACUAUGUUUUGUGGAGAAAUUCUCUAGUACAUUGGAGGUUCCACAUUACAAUCUAAUGUGCAACAACCGACUAAUGAGAGCGGGGCCUCAUAGCAAAUAUAUUGAAAAUUUUUGAAAUAAAAAUAGAGUUUCCCUCCCUUUCCAACUUUUUUGAAUAUUUUCAUAAAGAGAGAGAGAGAGAGAGAGAAACAAUAAUGUUUUUCUCUUUUUCCAUUAACUUGUUCCAAUUCUUUUUAUCUCUCUUCAUUCUUCAUCUCUCUGUUCAACCGAAGUGGCUGCCAUUUUUGAAACGUAGCAAAGAAGAUUUUUGAUGAAUUAAAUGAUUUUGGCCGCCUUUCCUCACCAUGUGCUCCAUCAUUACAGUCCCCGCCUUUUUGACUGGAUUGCACCCAUUGCUUUGCUGGGUUGCCGUUAAGAAAUUGAUAAAAGCGAGAACUCUGACAACGGUGUUCAAGUCAAGGAUUUGAACAAAUGCCGAGUCUAAGUCUUAGGAGAGGAAAACCAUCAUAAAAUCUUUCGCUAUUGUAGUGAAGAAACCUUUUUGCUUUUGGUACAAAAUCAUCAUCAUAAAAAAUCUUCUUCAAUAAGCUUCAAUGGCAGCCACCAAAACAAAGAUGAAGAUCGAGGGGAGAGAGGGCAAAAAUUGAGGUAACGGAGAGAGACCGCAACAUUAAUUUUUUUUUUUUAUUGGAAAUAUUAAAGAAUGUUGGACGGAUAAAGAAGAGAGGAAAACAUAAUUUUUUUUUUAAUUUUUCAACAUGUAUAGCCAUGUGCAAUUAUCAUUAGUUGAUGGUUCAACAUUAAAUUAGGAUGUGGAACCUCCGAUGUACUGUAGAAUUUCCCCAUUUUGUGAUUAAUUUCAGUACAAUGUCUGGAUGACUCAAAUUUGACAAGAGCAGUUGUCCCAUCAAAAUAUUUAUGUUAUAUUUGGGAGCUAGGAGCAAAUGGGAGACUGAACUGACUCAGUAUUAAUUUUUAGCUCAAUGUUUGGGACUCUCUCAUGGUGCCAAUUGAAUUAUCCUAACCUCUAAAAUUGUCACAUAUUUAAGGGUCUCUUGUAGCCUAGUAAUUAUUUGUAUUCAUGUUUAAUAUUGGGGUAAUUAGUUAAUGAUAUGGAUUUGAAUGCAUGGAGAGGAGACGGUGUUUUGGAGCAAAUGAUAUCUGUUUGCUUCCUUUCAAAAGUGAAAAGCAUAGUUGUAUGAGAAUCACUAAUUCAAUAACUUUUGCACAAUGUCAUGUAAUUUUCUCAACCAUGAAAAUAAUGUAUAUCAGUGUCAGUCUUGCUGAUGUCAUGUUAUGUUUUACCAAAAUAUUAGACCAAAAAAUAAAAUCUAAAAUCUUAAUUAUGUUUGAGGAAAUGGGUUCCAUUCCAUGAAUUCAUCAAUCAAGAUUGAUUGAGAAUAUUUCUGGAAAAAAAAUGAAAAAUAAACUUGGGUAUAUCAAACCAAUUCUUAUACGACAUUUAGUCUUAUGAAUAUGGGAUUAAUUUGGAGGAUGAGACUACUAGUUUUGUCCCAUUCAAGUUAUGUUAACAUGGGAUACGUUCGCUUUUCAGGGGUGCAUUGAAACUAAAGAGAAGUCAUGUGAACAUGAGACCAUCACAAAUCACAAUAGUUCCAUGAAAUAGUUCUUUCCUGUUGAUAGAUAGAUUCGACUGUCAAACAUGCCCUAAAUGGCUGACUUGUCCCAGUUCCAAGAAGUAUCAUGCUUGGGAAUUAUUCAUAGAGUUGGGUAUUUUUUUUUUCCUCUGAGAUUGUUGUUCCAGUCCCUAGUUGUCUCAUAUCUGAGAGCUUUAAGGGGCAACUUUAGUUGUUCUGUCAUUCUAAUUAGUCACAUAUUCAUAGGAUUAGUUUGGUUUCACUCAAGUUCCUUGAUAAGUUACAGCUGUUGUAACUUUCAUCCUGCCGUACCCCUAGCCCCACCCUUAUACUCAUAUUUGGGCAGAUUGUAAGUAAAGCAACUGUAACUGAGCCUGCCUUUCAAAUUUGUCUAUAUAAUUCCUGUCAAUUAAAGAUUUGAUGAGUCAUGAACUACUUUAUAGUUAAGGUUAUUUGUAUAUAUUGUGUGGUUUAGGAAAAUAUAACAUGACAAUGGCAAACAGGGACAAUGCCCCAAUGAUAUCCUCGGUUGAAAAAGCUAGAUAAUAUUGUGCAAAAGUAGUUGAAAUAAUUUGUUUUUGUUUAUUAACGGAUGAAGAAAAAUUAUAUUUGCCCCCCAAAAAAAAGGUUGUACAAAAUCACUAAAGACAAAAAAUAUCUCAUUACAAGACAAAAUAUUUCACUACAAGACAAAUUGUAAUUUUUGUUUUGUAGUGAAAUAUUUUUUGUUUUAUAAUAAAAUAUUUUUUGUCUUUAGUGAUUUUUUUCAAAUAUCAAUACUUAGCAUAUGAUAUGCAUAUACUUUUCACUUUUGGUUGGAAGUUGGUGUUUGUUUUGGGGGCUCGGUCAAGUACGUGCUGUCUUCCUUUAUGUGCAUAAUGAUCAUGAUAUCUCCUGUAAUUAAUUUUAAUUAUGUAGUUAUUUUUCAGUUGCAUGAAACUAAAGACCUCAGAUGUAAGGCAUACUCUAGAGUCUCAUAACUUGUCUUCAUCAUCUCAACAAUGCAAGCUUCUGCUAAUGUUAUGUUUUUCCAACCGACAGACUGAGUCAAGAAUGCAAAAGUAUUUAAAAACAUAAUUGCCAAGAUGAAGGCAGGUUCUACUACUCAUUGAUCAAAGUUAGAUUAAGGAUAUUUUUGAGAAAUAUAAGAAUAGUGCAGUUGCCCCUGAAACAUUUGAUCAGAUGCUGAUUGCAUGCUGUUAGGGUCUAACCGAGAGUGAGUCUAACAUAAUGCAAAAGUUAAAUGAAUUUGGAACUUAAAUAUAUCCAGAUAUGAGUGUUGCCGUGGCACUUCAUGGGGGUAACCCUGCCUGGAGGUAGGAGGACCUGUACCCACCAUUUAACGAGCUAUCCAAAAAGCUGAUUGAUCUAUUAUCUGAUUUAAACUUUUACUGCAUUGUACUUUACAGUUUAUUUGUUAAAUUCAUUAAUGCUGGAUUUUUAGAAACAGCAUUUUGGUAAAAAUUUUUUGUUAAAUUCUGUGUUGAACAUGAGUUUCUUUGAAAUACGUGCUCCUACUGACAUUUUUUCUUGACAACAAUUUUUCUUGACCAUCUUCUUUAGUAAUUUUACAAGUCAUUUCUGCUCUCUUAAGAAUUUUUUUCUCCUCCAUAAUUCUAGGGCAGUUGAAGUAUAUCAUGCAUGGUUUCACAUCAUAAAUUCUAGUGGAUUCAACUGACUGCAGAUUUGAGGACCUUUGUUGAGGAGGAAAAUGGGUGAUGUAAAUUCAGAAGAGAAUUCCGCAUAUAUUUGUUAUUGGAUUUCGAUUGUGGAGGAAAAGUAAAAAUCAUCGUUGACAGUUGGAAUAGCUGUGUAGUGUUCAAAUUUUGUUAUGUAUUUCGUACUUUGAUCUGUUGUUCUUGUCAGAAGAUCUAUAACUAAAACAAUUAUAUGUAUGUGUGUGUGUGUAUUUGGUGAAUGAAGAAUCAAAAUUUACUCCCCGUUAUCUUUGUUUAUAUCUCCAUGUCCCAUCAAUGCUCUAGGGCAUUAUGUAUAUACAAACACCUUAUAUCGUGUGACUGUGUGUGUGUGUGUUAAGCUUUCGUUAGGGAUCUGUAGGGCACACAUGGUAGCCACUGGAUAAGGAACCAACCCAACACACCCCCCCCCGCCGAACAACCACACGCACGCAUACGUGUAUAUGUCGUCACCCACUUUUGAGUACAAUAAUUCAAUAAUUUACCCACUUUUGAGUACAAUAAUUUUAGCAUAUGGACUUGGUCCCCAGCUUAUUAUAUAAUUCAUCUACUAUGGUGGCUGUAAUGUUACUCUAAAUGAAAUCAGGACAGAUUUAUUUUACUUUGAUGGCUUUGAUAAUUCAGCAAAGUUUUCUGUUGAAAUUACGCUUUCCUAGACCAGUUUUUCAAGUUAUUAAGACCGGCUUUACGAAGAACAUGUAGUCCCAAGACAGACAGCGAAUGAUAAGAAUGGUUUGAUGGUAUUAAUACAUCAAAACCACACAGCUUGAGUCCCCCCCAUAUUGUAGUACGGAAAAUUUAUCGCUCAAUUAUGAAAUAAUUAAAUAGUUAGUUUUGUCCUUUAGGAAUGUGAAUGGAGUUGAUGUCUCUCAAAUAUUAGUGAAAUUAAAAAUUUGAGCAUUGUUUUAUAAGAGUUAAUAUAAAUUAAUUUUAAUAAUUAUUUGGUUAUAACUAUAUCAAUAAUAAUCUGAUGUAAUAUUAAUGUGUGUAUUAGCUUUUUUUUUUUCAAAAUUAUUUUGCUUAACGACAACCUAAUAGCCUCUCUACUCAUAUGAGUGAGGUUUGAAUUUUAAUUCUAUUAUGUUCAAAAUAAGAGAUUGGCAUUCUUAUUUAAAUAUCUGUAUGUGACAUAUUAUGAGUUCUUACAUUGCAGUCAUCCUAAAUAUAUAUAUAUAUAUUGGUCGAUUGUAUCAUGAACAAAGCAUGCCAAUUCUUCUUAUAAUUAUUAUUUUGAUUUCUUAAAACUUAACAUAAAUAUCCCGAAAUGUAACGCUAAAAGAAGAAACAAGGACUUCAACAUCCCGAUCCGGCGUAAAAAGGAUUUUUUUUUUUUCCUAAGAUGCAAUUAAAGGGAUACUAACAAAGCCGAAUGACAUUUUCUUUUAGUCUUAACUUUCCUUGAAUUUAGUGUUUUCCUGAUUUGAGCGUCAGAUGAUUUACGUUGGUAAUAUCAACCUGAGAAAUUUAAUUUAUUUCCUGUAUUCUCAAGUAAGAUUAUUGUGUUAAAAAAAAUUGUUGAUUAAAUUGGAGAAAUUUUCAGAAGCCUAAAAAUUUUUGGGCGAUUUAUAACUUUGCCAAUUUACCAUCUAUCUCUCUCUUUAAAUAAAGGAAGGGGUAAAAACGUUAAUUUUUUAGUUAUCCAACGGGUAACGACUGGUAAGGGUGAAACCAAAAACUGAAAUUCUGGGGAAUAACUUGUUAUAGAGGCAAUUUUUUUAUGGGUAAAGUUAAUAAAAGAUAAUUACUGGGGAAACGUUUAGACUUAAAAUAUGUACAAAUUCUUGCAUUAGUUUCCUAACAGUCCUCUUAGCUCAUCUCAACGUCCAAUGGUAUCCUCUCCUUCAGGCAACAUGAGCCACCAAAUUAAUCUUUUUUACACUUUAAAAACAUAAUGCGAGUAAAAUAAGGCAAAUGAAAACAACAAAGAAAUUUGAUAUUAUAAGGGUCAGUUUGGUUUUGAAUGGAUGUAUUUUAGAUUCUGUUUAGAAUUAAGGUGCUGUAAAUUUUAAGUUACAACCGUUAUAGAAAAAAAUUGUAAUUAUGAAACAAAAAUUAAUAAUUUAUAGUAAAUAUAAAUUUUAAAUAAUCAUUUUAACAAAAUUAUUAAAUAUAUAAUAGAUUUUCUAUGAUACAAGUGAAAAAUUAUAUCAACAUAACUUUUAAACUACAACAACUAUGUUUACCAAAUAUUUUAAUACUGUGACUUUUAACUUACAGCUGCCCAACUUCAAUUUCAAACGCACUCUUCAAUUAGGACCGGAUGUCAUUAUAUAGUUAGUAGGGUGUAAAUAUCUCUACCUCAAAAAAAAAAAAAAGUGGAGAUAUUUCUAUCUUAUUAUCUGUGUAAACAAUCUGCACUUCCAAAAAAAAUUUACAAUAAGUUCACAGUAUUUUUUAACAAAUAUUUGAGUUUCAUUGACCACUCAAUUUGCUUAACAUAAAUUUUAUUUGACUAAAACGACUUAGGAUUUAAAUAAAGGCUUAAGGAUGGAUCAUGACGCAGACACAACAUGAUUGGCAAAAUAGGUUAUGACGCAAACACAACAUGAUUUACUGUGUUGGAAUUGACAAAUAUUGACACGAGUAAUAAAUAAUUGACAUAACAUAACAUGAUAAAUAAUCGCAUCAUAUUUGUGUUGGAUCACUUCAGUAUGAUUAUAUAUUUAUAACAUGAAUAUUAAUUAAUAUGUGGUAGUAUUAUUGAAAAAAGUAAUUAAUAUAUAUACUAACAUUAAAUUAAUUAUUCAUGUCAUAUUCAUAUUGUGUUAUAAAAUUAUUUAAGUCAUAUUUAUGUCGUGUUAACUUUGUGUAUGACCUAUUUUUAAGAAUAAUAUUGACAUAAUUAUUAUUUUUAAAUUAAUUUUUAAUUUUUUAAGAAAUGUUAAAUAAGUCAACACGAUUAAUCAAUGGGUCAUGUUUGUAUUUGCUUAAAAUUUGACACGACAUAAUUAUACAAAUUGACAUACCUAAUCAUGAUUCUAAUAAAUAAAUUAAAUGGGCGGAGCUAUUCAUAUUAUAAAAAGUACAUUGGAUACUCCACCUUCUUUACGAUUCAAAUUUAAGUGAUCGGCAAAAAAAAAGUUGUUCUAAUAUCACUUGACCUAACCUUCGAGAACAUGCCAACUCAAAUGCCAUGCUAUAAAAGAAUUUAUACAAUCUCAUGUCACGCAUACAUUUAUAACAAGGGUGAAGCUAUUAAAACCUACUAAAAUCUCAUUAAACACAUUUUAAUAAAAAUUAUUUAUUACUAAGAUAUCCAUAACAUAAAUUACGAUUAUAAACAUAUGAUUAAUUAGAAAAAUUAUACUAUUAAUUUAUUCCCAUCUUCAAAUCCUAUAUAUAUGGACUUAUUCAAUUUUAUAAGGCUUUGGCUAAGUUACGUUAAACGUAACUUACGCCAGAUACAGCAACAGUGCUAGUGAUGGGACUUGUCACUAUUGCUGUGCCUGGCGUAAGUUACGUUUAACGUAACUUAGCCGGCUCCAUUUUAUAAUACUCAUUCUUUUUUUAAAUCAUUAGUCAUUAUUAAAUUUGUCCCGUCAUCUACAGUUCUACACCAUCGGAUUCAUCAAAUCUGUUAAUACUUGGAUUAUACUUUGCCAAAAGUUUAUUGCUUGUAAAAAUUUCUCUUGAAUUCAACUAAUAAUUUCUUCUUAGUAAAUUAAUUCUUUCACAUGUUUUUGAAUUUUUCUGUUUUGGUAUUGCAAAUAGGAUGGUUUCCUUAAUCUUUAUAAACUUUAUAGUCGUUUGUGACAAUACUUUAAACGUCAAGGGAAACAAAGCUACUGUAAAAAAAUAAAAUUGAAAAAAAAAAAAAGAAAAAAAAAGGAGGAUUUCAAUAUAAUAUCAUGACGAGAAAAGGACUAGAGAGGAUUGCGAAAGGAAGAGAUGAAGGCGGGACUGAGAAAUUAAGUGGUUUAAAAAAAAAAAAAAGGUAACACUACAAUAAAAAUAAUAUUUUUCAACAAAAAAUUAUUUUAAAAGAGAAAUAUCCUAAAUUAUUUUAAUAAGGGAGUUUUAGGUAUUAUAGGGGAAUUAUAAAAUAAGAGCUGUAAUUUUAAUUAAAAAUUCUCUAUGUGUUUAUUAGUAAAUGGAUUUUGUAAGUAAACUUUAGUCAUUUAGUCUUAAUUAUUUAUGCAUUUUUAUCUAACAACCUUAUGCUAAUCAUAAUAUUUUAUUUUACCAAACAGUAUUAGUUCAACAUGACAGCAUGGGAUAAAUGUUCAUUUAAUCUCCAUAAUUUGAGCUAAUUACAAAAUUAAUCUAUGAAUUUAAAAAAUUAUCCUAAUAUUCAUGUUAUUUAUCUGUUUUUCAUUAAAACCUAUCUUAUAUUCUCAAUUUUACAACUGUAGUAUGUGGGCUUUUUAAUUAGAAUUUUGAUUUAUAUAUAUGUCAAACAAAAAUACUAUAUUGCUCUCAAAAAAUUAAAUUUAACGGCUAUUAGCUGCAAUGAUAAGUGCCUUCUGAGUAAUCCUCAAAAUUACUUGGAUUAACUAAAUAAUUGGCUUCAGCUUCAACAACUAAAGCAGCAUAUAAUUUAAGAUGGUUGCAAGCAAAACCACUUGCAAAAGAAAAAUGAAUGAAAAGAAAGUCCAUUUUUUGAGGCAUGUGCUUUCCUUAAAACACUUCAACUAACUCAAAGAAAAAAAAAAGGACUCUUUUCUGUGCUAUCAUGACUGCAACAAAGCAGUAAAGGGCCAUACUUGAUCGACGGAUUUGCAGGCAGUCCCUUCAAUUAUUAAGAGCAAUGGAAGCCAGUUGCAGUACAGCUGCAAUUUACAGAGAGAGACGAGACUGACAUUGACUUGAUCCUCUUAAUUGAUUACUUUUGGAUUUCUUCCUUUUUUUCAGAAAAUAACGUCUGCACCUCUGACAAGCAGGGAAAUAUGAAGGACUCAGCUACCCUACAACACUAGCAAGUACCACCUAAUUUUAUUUUAUUUUUCAAUCCUUAACCAUUAAAUUCAACAAAAAAAUAAUUUCAAUAAUAAAAAUUUAUUUAUUUAAAUAUUAACAUUAUACUCUUUAUAUUUAUUAAAAAUUCAAAAAAUUUAAAGAGUUAAAUCUCUUAGCACAUAAGUCCCAAUUGUUUUAAAUUUAUGUUGUUUAAUUAGUAGUCUGCUGUACCGUACAUCCGNNNNNNNNNNNNNNNNNNNNNNNNNNNNNNNNNNNNNNNNNNNNNNNNNNNNNNNNNNNNNNNNNNNNNNNNNNNNNNNNNNNNNNNNNNNNNNNNNNNNNNNNNNNNNNNNNNNNNNNNNNNNNNNNNNNNNNNNNNNNNNNNNNNNNNNNNNNNNNNNNNNNNNNNNNNNNNNNNNNNNNNNNNNNNNNNNNNNNNNNNNNNNNNNNNNNNNNNNNNNNNNNNNNNNNNNNNNNNNNNNNNNNNNNNNNNNNNNNNNNNNNNNNNNNNNNNNNNNNNNNNNNNNNNNNNNNNNNNNNNNNNNNNNNNNNNNNNNNNNNNNNNNNNNNNNNNNNNNNNNNNNNNNNNNNNNNNNNNNNNNNNNNNNNNNNNNNNNNNNNNNNNNNNNNNNNNNNNNNNNNNNNNNNNNNNNNNNNNNNNNNNNNNNNNNNNNNNNNNNNNNNNNNNNNNNNNNNNNNNNNNNNNNNNNNNNNNNNNNNNNCAGCAGAUUUUUAAUAUUAUUUAUUUCAUUUAAAAGAAUGAAUUUUUAAUAUUUUUAUUUUAUGAAAAAAUAUUAUUUAAUAUUAUCUAGUCAUAGGCUUAUUGUUAUAUUUAUUCUUUUAGAAAGUUAAAUAAUAUUAAACGAAAUUAAAUUACAUUUUAGAAGGUCACUAGUCAAAGCACAUAAACUUAUAAAUAAAUUAAAAAAUAAAAUAAAAUAAUAUUUUAAAAGGUCAAGAGCCAACGCACAUAAUGUUUAAAUGUUAUAAAUAAACUAUAAAUAAAAAAAAGUAAGGGGUUGAAUAAAAUUUAACAUCACAAAAGACAAAAAUUGGUGUACCUUGCAAAUAUAAAUAUUAUACAAGGACAUAUAAUGUAAUUUAUAUAAUAGACUAACAAUAUUAAAAUAUUUGAAUAAAUUUAAAUUUAUAAAUUAUUAUAUUUAUUUUAACAAGUAUUAAAAUAUUUUUUAAAUAUUGAAAUUAUUUUAAAAUUAUAGAUUAUUACAUUUAUUUUAAUGUUUUAUUUUUAUUAAUUAUAAAACAUUAGAGUCAAUUUCUUUGGAUAAUAGAAGUAAGGGGUAUUAUGGUCAAAGGGAGUUUUAGUGUCUCUUUUUUAAAAUUUAGGAAUAUUGAUGACUAUUUUUUCAAAAUUUUGGAGGUGUAUACGUCAUUUUCUCCUUUUAAAAUGAAGAAAUUAAUUUUCAUAAAAACUAAUUUUGGUACUUUGAGAUUUACAAAAUUUUUUACCGAAUUUUUCGGCUUUAAUGCAAGCAAUUGAUUGAAGUCACUCAAUUUAAAAACACCCAUCCUCAAGUGUACAUCUAGCUAAUAGCUAUCGUAUGAUUUGUGAGUGUAAUUUUUUGUGAUUGUUAUUAGUUUUGGCGUGAUUUUUAUCUAUGACUUUUGUGAAUGUCGCUUUUUUCUUUGACAUUUUCGAAUAAUUUGGUUUAACUAUUGAAAAUUCACUUUCGGGUAGAAUUUUAGGUUUUAUUGGAUGAUUUUUCUUCAGUAAAUCAAUAUAUAUCACUUAUCUUCUUAUUAUGUUUAUAAUAAUUAAUAACCAUUGACAACGUAAUUUUGUAAUACUAUCCUUAUUUUCAAAUAUAUUUUUAUUCUUAUUUAUUAUAAAUUAUAGAAAACAUAUCAAUGAAAAUUAUCCAUUUGGACUGCUGUACGGCCAAGGGCGGAUGUACGGUACAGCAGAAAAAUAUAUAUUUCUAUGUAAAUAAAAAAUUAAUAAUAAUAUAUUUUUCUUAUACUUUUAUUAAUUUUUUUAAUUUUGUAAUAAACAUAUAUUUUAUAUUCUCAAGAUAAAUUAUUAAACAAAUAACACAUUUUACCCCUCUUUUCCUUUAAAUUUUUUAUGUCAAGCAUAUUUUUGAAUAUUAUGAAAGCUAUAAAAAAAGUGAUAUAUAUUAAUUUCAGUAAGAGAAAAUUGACAAUCACUUUUUCUUAUUCGUGUAUUAAAUUUGAUAGAUUUAAUGUCGCUCCAAUGAAAUUUGAUCCCUAUGAAAAUCUCAUCGAGGUUCCAUGAUUAUUUCUCGAGCUAAGUCCUUCCUAAAUUCUAUCAUGUUCCAUUAUUUAUAAUUUGUAAAUUAUCUCAACACCACUUUUUUAUUUUUGUCAUAUGUACAUCUAAUCCUCACAAAAUUUGACAUAUAUUUUGCAUCACCUUUGUUUUUAAACUUGUAUUAAUUACACUUUGACACUACAAAUAACUAUUUUACCCCUAAAUAAAUUAAAAGAUUAUUUUAUUCUACAAAAUUUUAAAAAAUAUAAAAAUUAUAAUUAUAAGAAUACCUCUAAAUUCAAUAAAACAAAUAAAUCUCAAAAUCUAAGAUGAUAAUUUUUAAAUGAAAUUAUAAUUAUAAAAAUACCAUCUUGUAAUUCUAAUUUUUUGUUAAGUAUAAUUUCAUUUAAUUUUUGUAAUUAAAUUAAAUAUAGGAAAGUUUACAAAAAAUUAACAUGAAAAAAAAACUCCCUAUAAUUAUUUUAAGCUUUCCUAUAAUUAAUAUUAAGAAACUCCCUCAUACAAAUUAAAUGAAAUUAUGAAUACAAAAAAAAUUAACAUGAUAAUUUUUAAAUGAAAUUAUAUUUAUAAGAAAGAUUUAUUUAUUUUAUUAAAUUCUGGGGUAUUUUAUAAUUGUAAUUUUUUAUUUUUUUAAAAUUUUGUAGAAUAAAAUGGUCUUUUAAUUCAUUUAGGUAUAAAAUGGUCAUUUUUUAUAUCAAAGUGGUUGAUUGAUAUAAGUUUAAAAACAAAGGUAGUACAAAAUUUUGUAGUUAUUAAAUGUACAUAUGACAAAAGAAAUGUGGUGCAAAUAUAAUCUUUCUUUAUAAUUAAUUAAUAUUUAUAUGAUUAUGAUAUGUAGUUAUGUUCAUUUUCUAUGGCUUUACAGUAAAGCACACACGUUGUUCAUUAAUUAUAAUUAAUGGUAGACACAAUGUUUCUCUCGGCCAAACAAUAUUUGGAGAUCACCAAUACCAAAUAUUGUCCUUAUCAUUUUCUUACUAAAAAGUGACAAUAAAUCACCCAAAACGAUGUCAUUUUGGGUGAGUGUUGUCACCCUUUCGUCACUCUUUAGUAUAAUAAUAAUAUCAAGAAUACUAAUAUUUGAGUUCUAACUUUAAUUUCAAUAUUAUAUGUAACUAAUUUAUUAGAUUAUGAAUUUUAUAGCCUGUAAAAUUACAUAAUCAAUAUUCAAUUGAUAAAUCUCACAUCAGUUAAGAUUCAAAUUAAAAAUUAAAAUUUUGAAAUACCUAUUAUUAUUGUUAUUAUAAAUAUCUACAUGUAAGUAUAAUUAGUACAUAAUGAUAAAAUUAAAAAAAAAAAUAACUGUGACAUAGUUAGGGGUUUAAACUAACACCUUAAUCUUUUAGACUAGCAACUGAAAUCAAUCGUUAUACUUUCUCUUAAAAAAACCUGUUCACGCCCAUUUCAUUCCACCUCACACACAAUCAUAAACCCUAAAUUCAAAUUAAAUUUGAUACUCUUCACAAAUAAUCCAAAGUCUAGGCCUUUUAAUAAUCAUUUUUUUUAUUUUAUCCGUAAUAAAUUAACAAAUUUAAUCUCAUAUUAAGUGCUGAUUUCUAUAACAAAUCUAUAUGCUUAUAAAAAUGUUAGUCACUUAAUGUGUUGAAAAAGAAAUGCUAAAAGUUUGUCUAAUAAAAAAGAAACUUUUAUUUUUAUUUUUAUGAGGUAUCAGAAGAUUAAGAGUUAGUUUGGGAUUAUCAUUUAAAUAGUUAAAAAUGAUUGAUUUAAACUUUGCUUACUCCCUUACUUUUUCGAAUAAUAAAAGUCUAAAAUUAAUUUUAUAUUAGCCCAUCAACAAAUUUACAUGCCUACGGUUGAAAAUAAAUUGUAAUGUUAUUGUUUAAGAGGUAGAUUGAUGAGAUUGGAUUUCAAAAAAAUAAAAAUAAAAAUAGAGUUUACGGUGAAUAAUUGCAACUUGAAUAAGUCUAGCUAAACAGAGUAUCAAUAUAAUAUGUUUUAUAUCAGACAAAAAUACUAUAUUGCUCUUGAAAAGUUGAAUUAUACUGCUAUAGCUGUAACAACAGAGACUUUAAGUAAUCUUUAAAGUUAUGGCUAUAGCCGUAAAAUUUAACUUAGAGUUUAUGGUUUAAGAUGUAGAUUGAUGAGAUUAGAUUAAAAAACAAUUAUGGUGAAUAAUUGCAAAUUAAUUAAGUCUAGCUAAACAGAGUAUCAAUAAUAAUAUGUUUUAUAUCAAACAAAAAUACUAUAUUGCUCUUGGAAAGUUAAAUUUUACGACUAUAGCUGUAACAACAAUGACUUUAAUUAAUUAAAGAGAAAAAGCCAUUUUCACUCCUAUAGUUUGAUACAAUACCCUAUUUCAUCCUUAUUAUUUAAAUAAUAACUUAUUUCCUCCGUACUUUUUAAACAAUAAACUAAAACUGUUAGCCUAUAUGACUAUAUAGCAUUUUGAUUUUGAUAAUAACAAAUCAUGACCUAAUGGGUAAUAUUGGAAAUACUUAUUAUGUUUUUAAAACAAGAAAAUGAAUGAUGAUUUCUCAAAGUUCUUAAAGUAUUUUCUAUAUAUUUUUUAAAGGAAAAUUCUUAUAUGAGAAUGCGAUUUUAUAUUCUAAUUAAAUGCUAGUUUUCGUAAGAUACAAUAUUUUAUUGAUAAACGACAUCCUACUUAAGAAAACCAGCAAACUAGAUUCAGAAAAUGUGCUUAUUGGAGAUAACUGGCUAACCAAAUGUGCAAAACAGAAAACCUGUUACUUAAAUUGAACUCUCUAGAAUCAAACGAGAUACCGAUUACCGAUAAAUGGUAAACUGAUUAUAUCAAUUGAGCUUUUUAGAAUCAAAUGGCAUAUCGGUUAGCAAUAAACGAUAAAUCAAUUAUAUCAACUGAGCUCUCUGGAAUCAAACGACAUCCUUGUUACCAAUAAACGGUAAAACGAUUAUAUCAAUUGAGCUUUUUGGAAUCAAACGGCAUACCGGUUACAAAUAAAUGGAAAUGUGGUUAUUCAAAAUUUAAAUUUCGGCUACAACGGUAAACUCAAGAGGCAAUUUGGUUAGGAAAAAUGACAAACUGAUUAUGAUCGAAAAGUCAAUAACGGCUAGUUUUGUGACUCUAUAUAGAAAUAGUUGAAAAAGACACCAUUGCAAAGAAUGCUGAACGAUUUGGCAAUCUUUAUUUGUAUUCAAAAGUGUUCUAAAUUUACAUCUUGUACACAUACACAUAUUUGAGCUAUCAUUUGAUUAUAUUUAGUUGGGAAUGUGUAUAUCUUUGUUCUUCAUUUCAAUAUAAAAGAUUAAGGGAUUGUAAGUGUGGAAACACUUGGUAAGAGGUGAGAGAUUCAUCUUAAGAUUGUAAAGGUUGAUUGACACCUCAAAAGUCAAUCGUAAAGAUUUUGAAGCCUUAAGGUGUAAGGUUUUGAUGGUGAAAUCCGCAAGCCCGGUGAACUUAGAGACGUGGACAUAGGCGGAGUUUACCAAACCACGUAAAGAUCUCCCAUUCAAUUCUCUUUUUCUUCUCUCUUUAUAUUUUGAUUGUUAAUAUUUAUUUGAUCGUUAUUUACUUAACUUAUUAGAUAUUUGAAUUGAGUUUUGUUUUAAUCACUUAAUAAUUUUUAGAAACCCAAUUCACCCUCCUCUUGGGUUGCAUAGUUAGUAUUUCAGAAACACCCUUCUAUUAAUUUACAGUUUAAUUCAUUGAGGGUAAAGUAGGAUUUUCAAUUAAAGAUAUACAAAUUAUUUUAAAAUAAACUCUCAAGCACGAUUAAAUAACAUCUGACAUUUUGCAUAAAUUUAAAUUUUAAAAAUAACUUAAUGAAUAAACAAUAAAAACACUAAAUAAUAUGUCAAAUAUGUAUUUAGACAAAAUUAAAAAAAAAGAUUUCACAAACACUAGGGUAAGGUUUCUUUUUGUCCUUUAGCUUGUCAUAUGGUCAAAAUAAAUAAAUAAAUAGUUAGUACUAUUAUUUUACCAAAAAAAUACAUAAACUCCUUCAUUUACAUUAAAAAACACAAAUUCAUUUAUUUAUAUAAAAAAAGCACAUACUGGAAACAUAAAAUACAAAUUUAAAAUACUAUAUAAUAGAAUACGAUGCAUUAUAGUGUGCUAUUUUUUUUAUCUUUAAUUUAUUCUUCACUUUAGUAUGGGCAGUAAUAUUUGAUUGGAAAAUUAUUAUUAUUAUUAUAAAAAAAUUAAUUGACUUUAUUAAAAAAAUUUAAGGAACACACGUGGAAUAAAAUUAUUAUUAUUAUUAUAAAAAAAUUAAUUGACUUUAUUAAAAAAAUUUAAGGAACACACGUGCACAUGUGCACACACACACACACAUUUAUUUUAAGAAACUAUAUAUAUAGCGUAUUCUUUAGUGUUUUUUUUUUGUUUCAUUAAGUUAUCUUUAAAUUUUACAUUUAUGGAGAAAGUCAAAUGUAUUUUAUUUUAAACUGAUUUCCAUUUACUUAAUUUAAAAUUUGAUUUUGUCGUCAAUGAUUAUACAGUAAAUAAUUAUAAAUUAAUGAAAAGAUAUUUUACGCUAUUAUUUAAAAAAUAAGAACAAAAGAAGUUAUUAUUUAAAAAGUAAAAAUAAAAUAAAUUAUUGCAUUAAAUUUUAGAUGUGAAAAGGACAUUUUUCGUUAAUUAAAUAAUUGGCUAAAACUACAACGGGUAAAGCAACAUUUUUCCUGACAUGUAAUUUAAAAUGGUUGAAAAACGACUUGCAAAAGAAAAAUUAAUGAAAAGAAAGUUGAUUAUUCGAGCCAUGGGCUUUCCUUAAAACACUUCAACCAACCCAAAGAAAAGAAAAUAAAAAAAUUAAGGACUUUGUUAUGCUAUCCAGUAUCAGAGGAUUUGCAAGCUGAGACCCUCCAAUUAUCGAAAGUAAUGGAAACCAGUAGAGACAGAUAAGAUUGAGAACGACUUGACGCUCUGAAUUAACUUUUUUUGCUUUUUCAAAACUAAUUUUUGUAUUUUGUCUGAGAUCUACAAAAAUUUUUACCAAAUUUUUCGGCUCUAAUGCAAGCAAUUAAUUGCAUAUCAAUGAAGUCAGUUUAAAACACCCAUGUUCAAGUGUCUAUCUAUCGGUAUGAUUUGUGAUUCUGACUUUUCUCUUUGUUAUUAAUUUUGGCGUGAUUUUUAUAUAUGACUUGUGUGAAUGUGACAUUUUUCUUUGACAUAUUCUAAUAAUUUGGACUAGCCAUACAAAAUCGGCUUGCGGCGUAUAAUUUUAGGUUUGAUGGGAUGAUUUUUCUUCAGUCUUAUAUUCUUAUUAUUUUUAUAAUAAUUAAUAAUCACUUGAUAAUAUAAUUUUUAUUUUUAAAUAUAUUUUUAUUCAUAUUUAUUAGAUAUAUAUAUAUAUAUAUAAAAGAAAAAAUUAGCAAUCUCUCUUUCCAAUUCAUGAAUUUAAAGCUAGAACGUUAAAAUUUGAUAGAUUUAAUGUCCGUCCAAUAACACUUGAUCCCUUUGAAAAUUUCAACAAGAUUCCCAUCAUUAUUUCCCAAAGCUAGGUCUUUUCUGAAUUCGAUCAUGUUCCAUUAUUAAUUAUUAAUUAAUAUUUAUAUGAUUAUGACAAAUAAAUAUAUACAUUCUUUAUACUUUAUAGCUUUAGACUAAAGCACAUGCUAGCUAUUCAUUAAUUAAUUAAUGGUAGUCACAAUAGAAGUCGGAAAAACAGUUCAUUGAGUCGUGUUCACGUCAUAUCAGUUUUAUACUGUGUUUAACUUAGACUAACCUAAAAAUAAUUUAUUUAAUAAUCGCGUUAAAAUAUUAAGAUCUAACCCAACAUAAAAAAUAUAUGGGUUACCCAAUAACCUACUUAAUAUUUAUAUUUUUAAUAAAAUUUACAUCAAACGCUUGCAUUCCAUUUAAUAAUCAUGUGUGUGUGUGUAAUAUUACACAUUUACAUUAUUGAAGUUCUAAAUUUAUAUGGAAUUUUAUAAAUAAAACAUCAUGUAUAUGUUCAUCCCCCUCCCCCCCCCCCCNNNNNNNNNNNNNNNNNNNNNNNNNNNNNNNNNNNNNNNNNNNNNNNNNNNNNNNNNNNNNNNNNNNNNNNNNNNNNNNNNNNNNNNNNNNNNNNNNNNNNNNNNNNNNNNNNNNNNNNNNNNNNNNNNNNNNNNNNNNNNNNNNNNNNNNNNNNNNNNNNNNNNNNNNNNNNNNNNNNNNNNNNNNNNNNNNNNNNNNNNNNNNNNNNNNNNNNNNNNNNNNNNNNNNNNNNNNNNNNNNNNNNNNNNNNNNNNNNNNNNNNNNNNNNNNNNNNNNNNNNNNNNNNNNNNNNNNNNNNNNNNNNNNNNNNNNNNNNNNNNNNNNNNNNNNNNNNNNNNNNNNNNNNNNNNNNNNNNNNNNNNNNNNNNNNNNNNNNNNNNNNNNNNNNNNNNNNNNNNNNNNNNNNNNNNNNNNNNNNNNNNNNNNNNNNNNNNNNNNNNNNNNNNNNNNNNNNNNNNNNNNNNNNNNNNNNNNNNNNNNNNNNNNNNNNNNNNNNNNNNNNNNNNNNNNNNNNNNNNNNNNNNNNNNNNNNNNNNNNNNNNNNNNNNNNNNNNNNNNNNNNNNNNNNNNNNNNNNNNNNNNNNNNNNNNNNNNNNNNNNNNNNNNNNNNNNNNNNNNNNNNNNNNNNNNNNNNNNNNNNNNNNNNNNNNNNNNNNNNNNNNNNNNNNNNNNNNNNNNNNNNNNNNNNNNNNNNNNNNNNNNNNNNNNNNNNNNNNNNNNNNNNNNNNNNNNNNNNNNNNNNNNNNNNNNNNNNNNNNNNNNNNNNNNNNNNNNNNNNNNNNNNNNNNNNNNNNNNNNNNNNNNNNNNNNNNNNNNNNNNNNNNNNNNNNNNNNNNNNNNNNNNNNNNNNNNNNNNNNNNNNNNAAAAAAAAUCAUGUUCAAUAAUUGAGUUUUGAUGGCAAGAAUUUACAAAUUAAUCUAAAAUAAAAAAUAUAAUUAUAUCAUUAAUCGGGUAAAUUGGUCAAAUAACUUUAACCCUAACCUAACACCAAAAAAAAAAAAAAAAUUUAUCGACCAAAUUCGGCUAAUUUAAUAAUCGUGUUAAAUUUGAUAAUUCAUACACAUUUAUUCGUGCCUUGAUCGUGUCAAGUAAUCAAGUCGUGUCAUAUUUUACCGGUCGCAAUGUUUCUAUACAACCAAAUAAAAUUUGGUAGAUAAUAGGCCAAUUAUUUUUUUGGAGAUCUCCAAUACCAAAUGUUGUCCUUACGAGUUUUUUAGUAAUUAGUGUACUAAAGAGUGAUAAACAAUCAUCCGAAACGACGUCAUUUGAAAUAAUUAUUUAUCAUCAUUUUGUCAUUCUUUAGUAUAAAUAUCAGUGCUUCAAGUAUGAUUCAAAUAUCUACAUGUAAGUAUAGUUAGUACAUAACUAACGAUAAAAUUCGGAAAAAAUUAUUGUGAUAUAAUUAGGGGUAUUGAUACAUGUAGAUAAAACUAACAACUUAACCCGUUAGACUUACAACUGAAAUUAAUCGUUAUACUUUAUCUUAAAGAAACUGUUCAAACCCAUUUCAUUCCAGCUCACACACAAUCAUAAACCCUCAAUUCAAAUUAAAUUUGAUGCUCUCCACAAAUAAUGCAAAGUCUAGACCUUUCAAUAAUCAUCUUGCAAAGUCUAGACCUUUUAAUAAUCAUCUUAUUCUUUUAUCGGUAAUAGAUGAAAAAAAAUAUUUUCAUAUUAAAUGUUGAUUUCUAAACAAAUCUAUAUGCUUUAGAAAAUUUUGGUUACUUAAUGUGUUAAGAAAAAAAGAAAUGUUAAAAUAUGUCUAAUAAAAAAGACAAUUUUAUUUAUUUUUAGUUGGUUUUGAGAUAAUAAAAGAUUAAGGGUUAGUAUGGGGUUAUAAUUGAUAUAGUUAAAAAAAUAAUUGACUUGUGCUUUGCCCAUUCUCUUAUCUUUUUAAAUAAUAAAAAAUCUAAAAUUAAUUGUAUAUAAGCCCAUCAACAAAUUUCCAUACCUACGACUGAAAAUAAAUUGGAAUGUUAUUGUUAAGAUGUAGAUUGAUGAGACCAGAUAAAAAAAAAUAUAGAGUUUAUGAUAAAUAAUUGCAACUUGAAUAAGUCCAGCUAAACAAAGUAUCAAUAAUAAUAUGUUUUAUUUAGAUACAUAAGAUUGCACUUAAUAUUAAUAUGUAUUAAAAUUUUAGUAAUAUAAAAAUUUGCCAAAAUCAAGAAUAAAUUAAAAUGGGGCUCUCAAAGACUCUUUCUCGAGUGGUUUUUAAAUAGUUUUAUUUAGUUGAUCACCAAGAUCUAGAAAAAUAAAAGAUUAAAAAAGAAUGACACUACUGGCACCUCUUAUACUCUUAUAAAACCCAUUUUUAUUUAUUUUAUGUUUUUACCAAUAGCUAAAACACCAUCACCAAGACUCAAGAUAAUGGCACUAUGUGCCCUAUAUAGAAUGUCAGGUAGGUCAUCAUCUGAGACUUUUCUUGAUUUCUUCGAUGAAGAUGGUUCUCCAAGAGCCUUUUUUAGUCCUUGAUGUACUACAAGUGCUCUCAUCUUGAGCCUCUAAAGAUGAAAGUCAUUUUUCCCUAUAAACUUAUCUACUUCAAGCUUUGACAUUGACAUUUUGAAGAUCUAAAGCCUAAGAGAGUUGCUCUAAUACCAAUUUGUUGUGAUGAAACACGCCAGAUGCUAAGUUAAUCUACUCCAAGACUUAGUCUUAAUGCUUUUAGAUCUCAAAACUCUCUUAAGAACUGAAAACUUUAUCAAAGUGUUUCAGAUUUGUUUAACUGAAAAACAACAAGAAUUAAUCUCAGAUAGCAAACUAAGAAUCAAAGAUUCAAUGCAAAGAGAAUUAAGUGGUUAAGCUAAAUUAAGCCUACAUCCACUAUGUAAAGAGAAGCAAGGUUUCAUUGAUCUCAAGUUUUUAAAAUACAGAGCUUCUGAGAGAUUGUUACCAAUCCACUAACAAAUUACAAAACCCUCUUUAUGUACAGAGAAAUCAGUUUGGAAAGUUCCAUUAGAGGCCAGCUUAUGGUUUUUGAGUUUGUUAACUGAAGAAGCCUGAAACUCCCACUUGAACUAUGGCUUUAACCACUCAAAUUAAAACAGCAAAUGACUCUGUCGUCUAGAGUAAGUGAUGCAUGUGUUGUACCACAUGUACUACUUAUUGAAUUAAUCGGCAAUAAACAAGUGUCAUACAACUCCCAGAAAUCUAGCAACUAAUAUGUAAUACACAACCUCAACCUAAAAAUGACUUGUCAGCUCUAGCCAUAACCCUAGAUUUGAGAUUUACACAUCAACAUUCUCUUUCUUGAACUCAAAUCAACUACUCAUUGUCUUUACUUUUUCAUCAACUCCUGCAAAACUACAUUUUGCAGAUUCCAGCUAAGUUCAAGCAACGCUCAGACUUAGCUCCAUGUAUCGCCUUGGUAAGUACAUCAGCAACAUUGUCAUCAAUGUUUAUUUUCUUCAAGUUCACCACUCUUUUUGAUACUUCAAGUUUGAUGAAAUGAAACUUUAUAUCUAUGUGCUUUGUCUUUUCAUGAUGAAUAUGGUUUUUGCUCAAACAAAUUGCACUUGGACUAUCAUAGAAGAUAGUUAUUUGCUUCUAUUCAUAAUCCAACUCUAUCACCAUCCAUUUUAGCCAUAUUGCCUCUUUUAUUGCUUUUGUUGCAGCAAUAUAUUCUGGUUCAGUUGUGGACAAAACCACAACACUUUACAAAGUAGCUUUCCAAUUGAUAGUGCAGUUAUUAAAUGAUAAUAGAUAGCUAGUGAGAGAUAUCCUUUUAUCCAAAUCACCUGUAUAAUCAGAGUCCACAUAGUUAGUAGUGCAUGCUAAGUAUCUAAGAACCCAAACUAUAGCUUUCCAAUGUUCCUUGCCAAGUUUAGCAUAUAUUUGCUAAUUACACUCAUAACAUAAGAGAUAUUAGGCCUAAUUAACACCAUGACAUACAUUAGACAUCCUACAACACUUAACUAAGGUAUUUGGACAGUCUUAGGGCACUAUUGACAUGAUAAUAGGAAAUAGGCUGCUAAAGGUGUUUGGACAAGUUUGGUUUUGAGCAUUUCGAACUUCUCAAGUACCUUAUGAUUGUAUUUCUGCUGUGUAAAUAAAAGUGUGCCUUUCUUCCUAUUUCUGAUUAAUUUAACCCCCAAAAUUUUCUUAGCUGGUCUAAGAUCCUUCACUUCUUAACUGUUGAUUCAAGAACUCUAUUUGAUACAUAUGUUUGCAUGCUAUCAAACCUUAAAUACCACUGCCUUGGUAAUUGUUUGAGACCAUACAACGACCUUUUAAGACGACACACCCAAUCAUACCUCUCUAGAUAAGUAUAGCCUUCUAGUUGAGACAUGACAAUCUUUUCAUUCAGUUCACUAUGUAAAAAAAAAAAUAGUUUUAACAUCCAUUGUUCAAAAUGUAGAUCUUUUGUUGUAACCAAAGUCAGAAGGAUUCUCAAAGAAGUGUCUUACCACUGGUGAGAAUAUCUCUGUGAAAUCUAUUCCCUCCCUUUGGGUAAAGGCUUUGGCAAUAGUUUGGCUUUAAACCUUUGUGGUUCAACUCCAGGUAUGCCCUCUUUAAUUCUGUAAACGUACUUGUGUCAUACUACCUUUUUAUUUGCUGGUUACUGAAUCAAUUCCCUUGUUUGGUUUUUCAUUAAUGACCUUAUUUCCUCAUCCAUAGAUACAUUCCAAUUGUCUGAAUCAGUAUUUUCAAUAGCCUCACUAUAAGUCUUUGUUCUUUAGUUGACACUUCAUAAGCUGCUAUCAAUGCAUAUGCUAUUAGAUCAAUAUAUACAUACCUUUUUGGUGGCUUGACUACCAUUUUUUGCCCAUCUCUUGCAAGUCGAUAACUUUUCAAAGUUUGAUCAUUAGCUAACUCACUUUCAAGUUAAAAAAAAUCUAUAUCUAAGCUUGAAUUAUUGUCAUGUUCUAAAAAUGAAGUCCCUUUUAAUCCACUACCGGAUAACUCCACCUCAAAUUGAGAUUUUUCAGCUUUAUCUUAUUGUUUUUCAACCUUAUUAUUAGAUGCUUCUUGUUUUUGAAGCAUCUUAAUUUCAUUGAAUACAACAUCCCUGCUUAUGAUUGUCUUUGGUGGCUUCAAGUCAAUACACCACAACUUUUACCCCUUAGCACCAUCAAGGUAUCCAAAAAAUACACAUUUUAGAGCCCUGGGUUCCAAUUUCCUUUAUUUGAUGCGUGCAUAAGCUGGACAAGCAAAGAUCUUCAUGCCUGAAUAAUUUGCUAGUUUUCUUGACCACAACCCCAUUGGUGUCUUGAAAUUUAUACCAGUUGAAGGACUUCUGUUGACUUUACUUUGUCUAUUAAGGUUAUGCUGAUCCUCUCUACAAGCCCUUUUGUGUGGAGUAUGUCUAACUCUCUUGUGUCUUGCAAUUCUACUUUUAGCACAAUAAUCAUCAAAUCUCUAAUUACAAAAUUCUAAACCAUUAUUAGUCCUCAACCUCUUAAUUUUCUUCUCUGUUUCUGUUUCAAUUAAUGUUUUCCAAACUUUGAACUUGUCAAAGGUUUCAUCCUUGUUCUUUAAAACAUAUACCUAAACCAUUCUUGAAAAAUAAUCAAUAAAAGACAUGAGGUAUAUACCUCCACCUAAGGAUGUGGUCUAUACUGGUCCCUAUAGAUCAGAGUGAAUAUACUCGACAGUAACCUUACUUCUAUGAACUGUAGUGUUAAACUUGAUUCUCGAAGACUUGUCUAGGACACACUUCACAGAAUCUUAAUUAUCUACACCUAAGACACCCUGUUUGCUUUGCCCUGACUCUGAUUGGAAAUACUGACUUCACCGGUGAUAGCUGUACCUUUAAGGAUAUAUAAGCCAUUACUCAUUACACCUUUCACUAUCACCAUUGCCUUUCUAACACUUUCAAGGUGCCUGAUUCAAGCUUAAAUAAAUAGCCCAAUUUGUAAAGGAUUCCAAGAGAAAUCAUAUUUCUUUUAAGUUUAAGAACAUGUUUAACAUCAUGCAAUUCUCUAAUCAUGGCAUUUGACAUCUUAAGCCUAAUUAAGCCUUUACCGAUAACUCUACAACAAGCAUUAUUCUCCAUCAUUACUAUCCCACUAUCAUAAGUUUGAUAGUUUACAAACAACGAUUUAUCUGAGCACAUGUGAAAUGAGCAGCAAGAGUCAAUGACCCUAUUAAUUUCAUAUUUGCUAUUAGUAGAUAUCAAAACACCAGAGGAAUUAUAACCAUCAUAAUCUUGAGCUUCUGAUGCAACAGUAGCAUCACCACUUUUCUCUUUUUCAUCUUUAUUCUUGUGUUUUCUUUCUGGGCGAUCUUUCUUGAAAUGCCAUUCUUUAUGACAUUGGAAGCAUUUCAAAUUCUUUGGCCUUGACUUAGACGUAUUUUUCUUGCCUUUGAAAUCAUCUCUCUUCUCUGAUCAACCUCUUGCAACUAAGCCUUCUUCUUGUCUUAAUUCUUUUUAUGUGGCUUGUUUAGAACUCAGGGUAUCCUUUACAUCCAUUGUUGUGAGUGUUUGUCUCCCAUACAUCAAUGUAUCCACCAAAUGCUUAUAAGACCUUGGUAAUGAACACAACAAUUUUAUAGCUUUGUCUUCAUCAUCAAGUUCCACAUUUAUGUUUUCAAGAUUUAAAUGAUCUUAUUAAAGGCAUCGAUGUUAGUAAUUGAUGAUUCUUCUUUUAUUUGUAGAGUGUACAAUUUCUUCUUAGUGGCUAGUCUUUUUGCCAUAGAUUUCUUAUUGUAUGUGUCUUCAAGUUUCUUCCAUAACCCAACUACUAUUUUCUUCCCACCAACCUCUUUGAGGACACCAUCAUCGAGACUUAAGAUAAUGACACUAUAUGCCCUAUCUAGAAUGUUCAUCAUCUGAGACUUUUCUUGGUUUCUUGGAUGAAGAUGGUUCUCCAAGAGCCUCUUCUAGUCCUUGAUGUACUAGAAGUGCUCUCAUCUUGAGCCUCCAAAGAUGAAAGUCAUUUUCCCUUGUAAACUUAUCAACUUCACGCUUUGACAUUGACAUUUUGAAGAUCUAAAGCCUAAAAGAGUGGCUUUGAUACCAGUUUGUUGUGAUGGAACUAGCAAGAUGCUGACUUAAUCUACCCGAAAACUGAAUUUUAAUACUUUUAGAUCUUAAAACUUUCCCAAGAACUGAAAACUUCAUCAAAGUGUUUUAGGUUUAUUUAACCCCAAAACAACAAGAAUUAAUCUCAGAUAACAAAAUAAGAAUCAAAGGUUCAAUGCAAAGAGAAUUAAGUGGUUUGGCUAAAUUAAGCCUACAUCCAGUGUGCAAAGGGAAGCAAGAUUUCAUUGUUCUCAAGUUUUUGGAAUACAAAGCUUCUAAGAGAAAGUAACAGAAAAUCCACUAAUAAAUUACAAAACCCUCUUUAUAUACAGAGAAAUCAGCCUUGAAAGUUCCAUUAGAGAUCAGCUUAUGGUUUAUGAGUUUGUUAGCUGAAGAACCCCGAGACUUCUACUCGAUUUAACGGCCUUACUAGCCAUUCGAAUUAAAACGGCAAAUGAAUAUGUCGUCUAGAGUAAGUGAUGCGCGUGCUAUACCACGUUUAUUACUUAUUGAAUUAGCUAGUAGUAAGCAAGUGUUAUACAACUCCUAGAAAUCUAGCAACUGAUAUGUGAUAUACAACCUCCACCUAGAAAUGGCUUGUUAGCUCCAACCAUAACCCAGAUUUGAGAUUUACACAUCAAUAAUAAGACUCAAAAUACAAACGGCUGAGGUGGCAUAUAAAUUUAAUGGUAACAAGCCCAUUAAAAGGAGGCUCACGUGCACGAAACCAAGUCCAAGAGAGGAGCUUGUUUUGAAAAUCUAUUAAUUCACGCACAAGGGACCAUAAAUCAUGCCCACUAUUUAGUUAUAAAAUUAAGUUUACAAGUCCCUAUCUUUAAAGCUAUAUAUCAAUUAUUUUUAUGGAAUAAAGACUUUGUUGUUUAAAAAAAUUAAUUGUAUAAUCUUACUAACUAAUUAAUGCAAGCCACAUAAUUUGGGAUGAUUUCUUGGGAUAAAAAAUUUGAGAUGUGUAACAUUACUCUUAUAUAUAAACAUACAACAUAUUCGGAAGUUAUGAACUGUAUAUUGGUGGGGUUGUGGAGACUUCCCACGCCAUAUCAAGUAUUCAUGGGGGGAUUGUGGGAUCUAUAGCUCAGCUCCCCUGAUAGAAGCUCGACAGGCUCGUAGUUAGGGCCGGCUUUAGAGUUUGAGGGGCCUUAGGCGAAGUUUUUUUAUGAGACCUCUAUUAUUUUAUAAUUUUAAUACUCAAAGACAUAUAAAAAGGAUCAAAAUUUAUUCCACUUUAAUUCUUGAAUUUCAACAAUAAUAAAAAAAUCAAAAAUUUUAAAAAUAAAACCUAAAAAAUAGUCAAGAAGAUAGAUUUUUUUAUUCCAUUAAAACCGUUAAAAAACAAACAAACAAAUAAAUAAACAUAAUUUUAUUUUCAAAUAGAAUAUUUAGAAUGAUAGAAUAUAAAAAAUUUAAAAUGAUGAAUUGAUGUUCAAAAAUAAAAAUGGACUUUAUAUUUUAAGAAACUAAUUAUUUUAAAUGAACCAAUGAAUAUAAUAAUUUUAUUUGUAGAGAAGAGAACAAGAAAUUUUUUUCAUUUACUAAUUCUUGAGAUUAUGAGGUUUUUAAUAGAAAUUAAAAGAAAUAUUGAAAGUCAAAUAUGCUAACAUUGAAUAAUUGAAAAGGAAUGAACUAAUGGUUAAAGAAUAUAAUUAAUUAUAUUUCUUUAAAAUUAAGGUUCCCAAAUAUAGAUUUUUUAUAAAAAUUAAUUCUUAAUUAUAGAAUAAUUAAGAAUAGAGAGAUAUCUAAUAAACUUUUUGAUUUCUUAAAAUACAUAUUAAAAAUAUUUUAUUAAUUAGAAAAUUAUUAAGUAAAUACUCAAAAAAUAAGGCUUUCUUAAAAUAUGAGGCCUUAGGCGACGUCCUUGUUCGCCUAUACCUAAAGCCACCCCGAGCCGACCCCAAAAAAUUCAGAUUAAGGCUCGAAUUUUAGAAACUUAGGGUCUGCUGUACCGUACAUCCGCCUUGGCCGUACAGCAGCUUCCUUUUCUUUUUUCCUUUUAUUUUCCUUCUUAUCUCGAGCAAGAGGACCAUCAUUUGAUUAUGAUAAAAGAUACUUUAUAUUAAAUAACAAUUAAUGUACGCAUUGUCGGAUGAACCAAUAUCAACAUUUCUUAUUUUAUUGCAAUUAUAGAAAUAUAUCUAGGACCAGUGUAAAUAACCAGUAUAAAUAUUCCUUUUAUUUUAUUAAGAUUUAUGAAAAAAUUAUUAAAAAUUACAACACAUCAAAGACUUUUUUUCAUUGGCUACGUGAACUUUAGCUCAGGCUAGCCUCUCAAAACUUAGCUUCGGCCAACGAAAGAGAAAGAUUUUUGUACAAAACAAGCACAAAUUCUCAAAAUAAAAAAAUGAUGAAUAUAUAUGUCAUAACAGAAUAAUUUUUCUUUUUCUCUUUUCAUAUAUUUUAUUUUUUUAAAGAGUAGAGAGGAGGGCAAAGCUAAAAUUAAAUUUUGUAUACCUUUCGUGAGGAUUAUAACUUUGGUGAUAGUCAGCUAAAAAGAUAAUUUGUCUUAAUUUUUUAUGAAUAUCGUGUCUCUUGAAAAUAUAAAAUACCCAAUGAAAUAAACAUAUAAUUUCCUAUGAAUCUUUCCCUUUUAUUUUUCUGGUUGCUUUUAUAAAUUAUGAUCUAUAGUUAUAAAGUAUUGCAAUAUGCGAUCUUAUCCUGAAAAUCUUGGCUAUGGAUAAGCUUUAAUGCCUCAUUAACUCUUGUGGGUGUAAUUAAUGUGCAACAUAUAUUAGAUAAAUUUAUGCAUAUGGUAUUUGAUUUGAUGGGCAGAGUAAGUUUUUAAUUAAGAAUUUUUAAUUAUAUUAAAAUUAGGGAUAAAUUAAGAAAUACAAAAUCACAUAUUUGAAUAUACCAUUGAAUUAAAUACAAUACAGUGAAACUUAUUUUUUUUUAUUUUUUAAUUUGUUCUUGACUUUAAUACGAUAAAUGUGUGUGUCAGUGUGUGUGUGUCUGUUUUUUUUUUGUUUGUAUUUUUAGUUUGUUUCUAAUUUUAGUAUAGGCAGGUCCCUGAUUGAAGAAUUAUUAUAAUAAUUUUAUAAUUAGGAUUCCUAACUAUAUUAAAGUUAGAGACAAUAUAAAAAGAAAAACAGAUAUUUCAAUAUACUGCAUUAUAGGAUGUACGGUACAGCAGAAUAAGUAAUUUUAUAAUAAAAUAAUCCCUUAUUUUAUACCAACAAAUUAAAAGAUAGAAAAAAUAUAUUUUAACACACUUUGAAGUGUGUGUGUAUCUUUCUAAUUUUUUUAGCUUGUCCUUUAUUUUAAUAGAAUUCCUUCGUUGCAAGAUUACUGUAAGUGUAAUCAUUCAGCUAACCCCUUCCUAAGAAUCGAGUUAAUUCAUCUUCAUAAUUGAGAGAUGUUACCAAAAAAAGAGAGGGAGAAUUGUAUUGAAAAUUUUAUUUGCAGUCCCGUUUCAAUUAUACGUAACAUUAUCAGUCGACUGAGCAAAUUUUUAUAUAUAUGGGAAAAAUGAAAGUGAUAUUUUACGUGGUCAAAUAUAGAUAUAACGUGAUAAGCGAUGCCACACAAAUUUGACAAGUUGUGUAUAAAAAUUGGACUACUGGGGGAUUAGCUGUACCAACUUUGCCUGACAUUAUCACUACCAGCUUGGUCCUGCAGUGAGACCCAUUAUUACUAUAUAUUCAUGAUGUGGAGAAAAUCGAUCUCAAUUUAGCAUCGUUGGCAAUUUCUCCACCUCUUGGAUCAGAAUUCAGAACUCACCACCGAAAAAGCAAGUAAUUAGGGUGAAGGUUUUAAAGCCAAAUUGUUCAGGAAGAGACUUAAAUUACCACACCAAGAUCAUUACCCAAAAAAAAAAAAAAAGAAGAUAGAAAUAUGAGUGCAUAUCAAUUAAGAUUUUCAAACGUAUUAAAUAAGUGCCAUUGUAAUUCGUAUUUCAAGUGUAUCUUUAAGAUAUCUCAUGGGUUUGGACUGAGUAAUUUUUAAGUAAUUUUUUUUUACUAGUUAUUCUAGUUCGAAUCAUGAUGAGUUAGGGGCUAAAAAACAAUGGAAGACUGCCAAUUUCUCUCCUAUUGAAAUCAAUAUAUAUCACUUAUUCCUUUACUAUUUUCAUAAUAGUCAAUAACUCUCUAGCAACAUAAUUCUAUAAUAUUACUCUUGUUUUCAAAUACAUUUUUAUUCAUAUUUACUAUAAAUUAAAUAAAUCAUAUCAAUAGAAAAAAAGUACUAAAAAUAAGAAAAUAUAGUUUCAGUGUGAAUAAAACAUUAAUGGUUAAUUUUUUUAAAAAACUUUUUCUUGAAAUAAAUAUGUAUUUUAUAUUUCUAAAAUAAAUGACCUAUUAACCCCUCAAUUCCUUUAACUUUUUAGAUAUUAUAAAAAUUGUAGGGAAUAAGUGGUGUGUGUUGAUUUCAGUAGAAGAAAAGUUACUAGUAUCCCAAAAUAAUUUGGACUUUGUCCACCUCUUAUUCUUUUAAAAUAAUAGAAAAGUAGAUCUUUUAAGAUGGCCGGGCAAUAUAACCAUUGAGUGUUAGCAAUAAUAUCUCAUUAGAGUUGAGAAUAAUUACAUGCAUGAUUCUUUACCUCAGAGAAAAUUUAAUUAAUGGGAAGGCAUCGCUUUAGAGUAUUUCAAAGACUCGGCUCAACAAAUAAAGUACUAUAUACGUGUAAUAAUGCGCAAAAAUUAAUGUCACAAUCAAUCCCAUGUAAUUUUGUUAUGUAGAUAUGUAUAGGUAUGAGCAGUUCAUGUGAUUCAAUAUAAAUUUGGAACCCCUCCCCUCCUUCAUCAUCAUCAAACCUCACAAUAAUUCUCACCAAACAAUUACAAUGGGCUCUCUUGAUCACCAUCACCAAGAAUCGCCACCACUUCCUCAAGACCUCAAGGUCACAAUUCAACACAGUUCCCUUGUCUUCCCAUCACAAGAAACUGAGAAAAAAUCUUUGUUCUUAUCAAACAUAGAUCAAGUUCUCAAUUUCAGCGUCGAAACGGUUCAUUUUUUUGCAUCUCACAAAGAUUUUCCUCCCCGUGUUGUUGCUGAGAAGCUCAGGAACACAUUGGGAAAAAUUUUGGUGCCAUAUGAUUUCUUGGCCGGAAGAUUGAAGGCUAAUGCUAAAACUGGAAAGAUGGAGAUCGAUUGCAAUGCCGCCGGCGCCGUCUUUAUUGUGGCCUCCAGUGAGUAUAAAUUGGAUGACAUUGGAGACUUGGUUUAUCCCAAUCCAGGUUUCAAACAACUUAUUAUCAAUAGUAGUUUUGAUGAUAAUUUGUUGGAGCAAGAUGAUAAGCCUCUAUGCAUAUUCCAGGUAAGUAAUCCUCUACAUUUUCAAUUAUUAAUGAUUACGUGGCCAAAGAUUCUUAAAUUUUUAAGAGAAAUCAAAUCAGGCAACCAUCGGAAAAUUUAAAAAUGAAAUCACUGUAAAAUGGAUUGCCUUUCACGCUCAAAAUUAGUCAGUGUAGAAGUACAAAAUUUCAUUGUGAAAUUUUCACAGUAGAGCACUGAUAUUCAUACAAAAAAUUUAUGUAAAAUGUUGACAAAAACAAUAUUAAACCAUGCUGAAUUUACAUACUUGAUACAGUAAACUCAACUCGGUGUAUACACUGUUUUUAUCAACAUUUUUUCUCUUUAUUAUUUUUAUUUGUUGGAUUAUAUAUAUCAUUAUUUUGAAUUCUCUUAAAAUUUUUUAUUUUAAAGUGUAGAUAUCUAUGUCUGAGAACUUUUAUUUAUAUUCAUUUUUCUCCUUCUCUCGCUUUAAAAAAAAAAAAAGGACUCCAUCUUAAUUCAUGUGGAAUGCAAGCAAAAGUUAAUUUCUUUUAAAAAUCCACCUAUAAAAAACCUUAACAAUAAAUGUAGUUUCCCUUUCAUAGCAACGACGUCAUUACAGUUGCAUGUUAUCGUAGACUUCUGUGACGUUUAUAUAAACCUAAACAGCUAUAUAUCAUUGUGCAACAUUAAUUUCAUCUCCUCCUUGACAAAAAGGGAAAAAAAAGAGUCAUAAUUUGCUUUCGUUUUCUUCAUAAAAAUUUCAGCACGGGUGGUAGUUAGUAGGAACUACAAAAAGACAAGAAAAAUAAGUGGUGUAGGGCUGGACCUUAAUUCAAGUUACGGCACAAUUUGUGGGAAGCUCUGUUUAAUUACUUUUUUCUUUUUCGGUGAGAGUAUCUAAUUUUAUAAUCAAGAUUGAAAAAUUCUUUAAUAAUAAACCAGGCGCAAUAUGUUUCUUAUAAAAUAUGUAACGAGUCCGUUCAUUUUUUUUUAUUAAAAAUACUCAUAUUCAACAUAUUAAAUUUACAGAAUCUAGAUUUUUCAAUAUAAGAAUUUUACCCUGUAUAAUAUAUUAAUUAUGUGCAAUCACAAAGAAAAGAAAAAAAUUAAUAAAAAGAUAUUAAAGUACGGUUGAGAUAUCUAGCUAUAGAUGUGGCAAUAAAUAAGACAUCCAUUAAAGUCCUUAAAGAAGAGGAUUGUUUUUUCUUUUUAAUUUUUUAUUUUCAGCAUAUGAAUUGAAUAUUGUUUUACAGGUGACAUCAUUUAAAUGUGGCGGUUUUUCAAUCGGCACAUCAACAAACCAUGCAACAUUUGAUGGCUUAAGCUUCAAAGUAUUCUUAGAUAACUUGGCUGCCCUAGCUGCUGACAAGCCUCUGGCUAUCAUCCCAUGCAAUGAUCGUCGUCUACUAGCAGCUCGAUCACCUCCACGUGUCACCUUUGAUCAUCCAGAGAUGCUCAAACUCAAGAUGCCAUUUGGGGAAGAAUCAAACAAUGCUCCAAUAUUUGAUAUUACCCAAGAAGACCUAGACUUCAAGAUUUUCCGGCUGACUCCCGAUGACAUUGCCAAUCUCAAGGAGAAGGCGAAGGCCACCGUUGAGUACGAAAACAGCAGAUACAUCACCGGAUUUAACGUGGUAUCGGCACUUAUAUGGCGGUGCAAGGCAUUGUCGUAUGAUCACGCGAAGGGAAAAACCCCAGAAAGGGAAUCAAGAAUGCUUUAUGCAGUUGAUAUAAGGCCAAGAUUGAACCCUCCAUUGCCGGCAUCAUAUGUGGGGAAUGCAGUGUUAAGUGCUUAUGCCAAUGCAAAAUGUGAGGAGCUAAAAGAGAAGCCAUUUUCAAGAUUGGUGGAGAUGGUAUCAGAAGGAGCAAAAAGAAUGAGUGAUGAAUAUGCAAGAAGUGCAAUAGAUUGGGGAGAAACAUAUAAAGGGUUCCCUCAUGGAGAAUUCUUGGUGUCAUCUUGGUGGAAAUUGGGGUUUUCAAAAGUUGAAUAUCCUUGGGGGAAGCCAAAAUAUAGUUGCCCUGUUGUGUAUCACAAGAAGGACAUUAUCUUGCUCUUUCCUAAUAUUGAUAAUGACAAUGGGGUCAAUGUUUUGGUUUCUCUUCCUAGCAAAGAAAUGGUCGAGUUUGAAAGCCUCUUCAAUAAGUUCUUGGCUUGAAGAAAUCGUCAAUUUUAUUAUAUUUUAGUAGAAAUAACUUAUUAUUAUUAUUAUUUGUUUGCUGUUGUUAUUAUAUAAUAACUUAUUAUUAUUAUUAUUAUUAUUAUUAUUAUUAUUAUUAUAUGUUUGAUAUGGUUUGGAUUGUAAAGCUGAAUAUGGCACAAGAGAAUUCUAAAAAUGUGUCUACGUGUAGUUAAUGGUGAUGUAUUAUAUAAAUCACUCUUUAAAAUGAUGGCUUUUAAUGUAAUGUAUAAGCAUGCACCUAUAGCAAUGGAAUAUUUCUAUAUGUAUCUUGUUUCACCUCCAAAUCAAAUAGAUAUCUAUAUCAUUUUUACGACUCAGUUCAGCGUAAAAUCCAAGUUCAUAAGGUGAUAGAAACACACCUAUGUCAUUACCCAUUUAUGAAUAUUUAAAGAAUAAUGAAUAAUAUACAAUUAAUAAAAAGUAAAUAUAUGGUACUGGAAAAAAUUUAACUAUUUUACAUCUAUAUAGCUUCUUUCACCUCCAAAAUAAAUGAAUUUUUCAUUUUUGGCUAUCUCAAUUUGAUUAACUCAAUUCAGCAUAAGAUCAAAAUUCUUAAGAUUACUCACCUAUCAGUAUGUAAAUGAAUAAUCAUUAAUACAAUUACUAAAUCGUAGUUAUAUAUAAAAUCUUUCUUAUAAUUUAAUUUACUGUGCAUAAAACUAUAAUAAUAGAAAUAUAAAUUAAAAAAUCAAUAAAAUAGUAUAAAAUAUUUAAUGUGAUAAUCAUAUUAUAAAAAUUAUAAGAUAAAAUAUUGUAACUAUUUUUCAUAUCAAUUGUUUGACAUUUUUUCUUUUCUUCUUCUUUUUCUUUUUGAGAAAAUAUUUUUGAAAAAGUUUGUGUAAUUUGAAAUGUGUAUCAUUACUCAUAAUGAUUAAUUUGUUAAUUUGUAUUCACAUCGUUAUUACUUUUCAAUACGGCUCAAUGCCUGGAAAACAACGGCAAGCGAACGCCCAAAGGGAAAGCCCCAUUCUAAUUAUUAUCAUCAAGGCCCUUGUUUUUAGAGGGUAAGAGUUGCCAAAUUGCAAGGCCCCUUUUGAAAAAAUAAAUGAAUUGCAUUAAUGUAAUAAUGUUUUAUACCUAACACAAUUUUUUUUAAUAAUAUUCUCUAUAUUCUAAAGAAAAUUAUAUGAAUAUACUUUCCUAUUAUAAUCUAAACUGAAAACCCUUCUUAGCCACUCUGUUUAAAUGCACCUUUUUAAAUAAAUUAAAAUAUUAUAAGAGUACGUAUUAGGAUUGAAUCAAAGAUUUGAUCAACUAACCUUAAUUGAGUAACGGUCCCUUAAUCAAUCUAGAGCCUAAGCUAACUUAGUGCAUCAAAUCAAAUCUAAGUAGCAUUUUUUUCUUUUUAAAUCUGAAUGGUUAUGAAUUUGAUUGAAGCCUGAAUAAGUCUGAGUACAUAUAUAAUAAGAAAUAAAUUUAUUUAAUGGGGGUAUUAAUGAAAGAGAAUAUUAAAGUUGUAUUUAGAUAUUUUGUUAUUAAGAUAAAAGUUAGAAUAUUUAACUUUUUCCAUUUGGACCCAAACAUUUUAUAACCAACUAAAGGUAUAAAAAGACAAACAAAUUAAAAAUAAACUUUAGACAAAAAACAAACAACCCUUAAAUGAGGUUAUUGAAACCAGCAAGCCCAAUACACUAACCAAAUAACUUGUAAGCUGCCUUAUCAAAACACUUUUUGAAUUUUCAUGUGCUAUUAAUUUCUUUUAUAUUUUAUUUUUUAAAAAAUGAUAGAGGGAUAUAGAAAACUGAAAUUAAUUUUUUUAAUCAAAUGAUCAACCAAAUAAAAUUACUUGAAAAGUAAAAUCCACUCGGCGAGGCCUGGAAAAAAAACUGUUUUCUCAUUUUUUUUUGAGAUUGUGUAAAAUAAAGAGAGUUAGAAAUAAUCAGCAAGUUUGAAAAAAAGAAGAAAAAUAGAGAAAAUAAAAAGGGGAAUUAGAAAGUAGAAAGAAGGAGAUGUUCUGGACACAAUCUUUCAUUGCCCCAUUUUAAUUAUUUUGCAAGAACAGCCAUGAGGCACAUACGAUUAAAAGCCUAAAGGGUGGACCAGAAGUCCAUCUAUUGAAAUAUUUUAAAAUAAAGAAAUUAAUUUUUAAAAUUUUUUAUUCUCAUUCACUAUCUCUUUUUUUUUAAAAAAAAAUUUUAUGUUAUUUUUUUAAGUUUGUUUUACUUAAUAAACUUACAAUAUGGACGACACCCUUCCAUGUCAAAUUAAUUUUUCGUUCAAGGGUUAAUUCUCAAUUUAUUAUUCAUAUAACAUUUUAUUCAAUAAGUUUGUACCCAAAUUUUCGUCAAGUUCAGCUAGUUAUCUCAUAUUCUGUGGUCCAAAUUUUGUUAUACUUUCAGUUAUAGGAACCCUGCUGNNNNNNNNNNNNNAACUCUAUAAUAGAUAGGUAAAAUCUAAAAUAUUGGAAAGUACAAAUUUAUUCCAUCAGAAAUAUUAGAACUCGAUGAAAGGAAUACAAUAACAGAACCGCAACGGAUCCAGGAAAAUUUAUUAAAGGAAGGAAUAUUACUUUGAGAUCUUCAAUCAAUAUAUAAGAAUUUGUAAACAGAAAAAGAAAAGGCAUAUAUAUACUAUUCUCAUUGUUGUCAAUAACCACCUUCUUUUUGUCUUUUUUUUCCCUUUCGGAAUAAAAAAAUGGUUGGUCCAAUGACAAUUGGAAGCUUUGACGUGAUUCAUUUAUCCUAUUGAACGUGUCUACAUUGGCCCGUUUGAAAUUGUUUUUAACAUACUCAAAAGUAAUUUUGAAAGGUCAAAAGUUAAUUUUAGUAUUUAAUAAAUUUUUUCAAAAAUUAUUUUUGUCAAAAUCACUCCAUCAAAACAGAUUUUAAAAAGUAGGAGUAACUUUACAAAUAUGAUUUUAAAAAUUAAUUUUAUAAUUAAAGAAAAUUUUUACACAUCCUCACAAAUAUUAUAAAAAUUCAAAACUAUCCUUACUCAAUUAGGAAAUAAAAUCAUUAUAUUUAAUAAUAAUAUUACCAAUUAUAUGGAGAUAACAAAAUAAAAAAUAAAAUUAAUAAAAUAUAAAUAUUUAUUUUAUUUAUCAAUUAUUACAUAUGCACAUUUAAAUGUAUUAUAUAUACCUAUUUAUACAAGUGUAAAUAAAUAUUAUUUAACAUUCUGUCCAUUUCAGUAAUUUAUAUUUUUACAGUAGUUUAACAGUAAAAUUUAUCAAGCACAUAUGACUAUUUUUAAAAUUCACAACACUUUUAAAAAUAAAUAUUGCCAAACAUUUAAUUAAUUCUUAUUAUAACUUAUUAUUUAUACAACACAACUAACAAAAAUUAUUUUAAAGUUAUGGUAUUACCAAACUAACCCUUUAUGCAUUUUUAAAAUCACUCUUAAAUUUUUUUAAAAAAAAUUAAUUAACUCUCUCAAAUACGUCAAACUAUUUCCAUACUUCUUGAUUUCUAAAAUUUAAUGCGCAAGUCACAAUGUUUUAUUGGGCUAAUGUGCCAUGAUAAUUUCCAUUGUAUAGCUAUGGUGCCCCUGUGACACCAUACACCAUACAAUAUGUGGGGGUACGGUGUCACAAGGGCACCAUAGCUGGACCCAAUAUUGACAUAUUAUUCUCACCAUUUAGCCCGGUUUUACCCCUCUUCUUACUCAACUUUUUUAAAAAGUUAUAAAAAAAAUGGUUGUAUAUACUUUUAAAAAAUUUUCACUUUUGCAAUAGAACCUCCCCCCCCCCCCCCACCAAAAUCCUUUUUCUUAUUUAAGUAAUUUAAUUUUCACUUUCCAAACUUUAAUGGUCCUCCCGACCAACUUGAUAAAUUCGAACAUGAUUCGUGUCACUAAUUGAAUAUGUUAUGGGAAAACACAUGGCAAUAUUUUACUGUAAAUAUUGAUGCCUUAGAUAGAAGAUUUUGAUAGUUGUUAAUCCCUAAUUUGUAGGAUUUGAUUUAGUCUCUAAUUUGUAGCCUUGUGAGGCUCCAUUGGGAAUACUUUUUAUUCAGCCUUCAUUGCUGAUUUUUUUUUUCCAACAUUCUUUUUCCUCCAUUUUUGAGAUUAUUUUCAAAUUCCAACCAUGUCUGAGAUUGUUGAUGAACCCAACCCUACUCAAUUGAGUGACAACCGAAUUAGUGACAUCAUAAAUACUCCCUCAACUAGAGAUUUGCAUAAUAUUCCAGCAACCCAUAGAUUGAAUGAAAAAAAAUUAUUUAAAGUGGUCUCAGUUUGUUUGAACCUUUCUAAAAGGAAAGCAUAAAAUUAGUCACCUACUUGGUAUUGGACCCAAACCAAGGGAUCCUAGAUUUGAAGCCUCGGAUAAAGCAGACUCUAUGGUUAUAUCCUGGCUAUGGAGUUUAAUGGUGCCAGAGAUCAGUGAUAUAUGUAUGUUUCUUACCACAGCCGAGGAAAUAUGGGAAGCUGUUGAAAAAACCUAUUCCAAGGCGGGUGAUGAUGCUCAAAUUUAUGAGAUCAAAACCAAGAUCUCUGCAACUAAACAAGGAGGUCGUUCUAUUCCUAAAUACGCUAAUUUGUUGAAAAGUUUAUGGCAAGAGAUGGACUAUUAUCAAUGUUUUCAAAUGAAAUGUAGUGUUGAUGCUGCCUUGAUGAAAAGGUUUGUUGAAAAAGAGAGGAUUUAUGAAUUCUUAGCUGGACUUAAUGGGGUGUUUGAUCCUGUUUGAGUACGAAUAUUAGGGAAGGACGACUUGCCAUCACUGUAUGAGACCAUUGCUACAAUUCGGGGUGAAGAGUCAUGAUUGAAUCCCAAUUAGUGGAGAGUUCAGACAUGGUCACAAAAAAUGCUAUAAUAAAGAACUCUGGCCCAAGCCAACAAUCUCAUGGUGAAACUGAACAAAUUGAUUUAUCCAAGAUGACAAAUAAUGAUUCUUUGUGGUGUACCUACUGCAAGAAGCCUCAACACACUCGAGAACGAUGCUGGAAGCUACAUGGAAAGCCAUCAAUGUCCAAUAAAAAUUCAAUUGUGCACAAUAGACAGCUAAAGGAACAAGGGCAAGCUCAUAUGACCUCUACAAUCUGGUGACGAGACUAACUCUCAUGAACAUGGCAAGUUUAACAAAGAAGAAAUUGAGAAGCUGAAGAGUUUGUUGGGAGCACUGGAGAAGCCACCAGAAACAUGUACUUGCUCUUUGGAAUUCAAAAGUAAGUUUCCCUCUCUAUAUGCACUAAAUGUCUCUUGUACAACCUUCUCCAACUCUUGGGUCAUAGACUCAGGUGCCACCAAUUAUAUAACCCACUCGUCAUACAAAUUCAUUUCCUAUGACCCUUGUCCAAGUAAUAGGAAAAUAGCCACAGCUGAUGGUUCUCUAUCAACAAUUGCUGGCCAAGGAAAUCUUUUAAUAAAUCAAGCCCUCACACUUAAAAAUAUCUUUUAUGUACCAAAUUUGUCCACUAACCCUUUGUCCAUUCACAAGCUAACAAAAGAUUUGAAUUGUAAUGUUAUUUUUUAUCCUCCAUAUUGUAUGUUUCAGGACCAUAGUACGGGGAAGAUCAUUGGACAUGCUAGAGAGAAAAAUGGGCUUUACUAUCUUGAAAAAUUAAGUGGGAAAACUAGAAUUGGAAACUAUUUACCCCUGUCAUUUUUUUCUGAGUCUUCUAUUUCCAAUAAAGACAAAAUCUGGCUUUAACAUUUCCAUCUUGGGCAUCCUUCAUUUAGCAUUCUUAAAAUAAUAUUUCUAUUAUUAUUUAAAGGGAUUGAUCUAGAAAAUCUUCAUUGUGAUGUUCGUGAACUUGCAAAACAUAAACAUGCUUCUUUUCCAAUUAGAAAUAAAAGAACAUAUAUUCCUUUUGCACUCAUUCAUAGUGAUAUUUGGGGUCCUUCCACAGUUCCUAAUAUCUCAUGAGCUCGCUGAUUUAUUUCAUUAAUCGAUGAUUGUACAAUAAAGCAUCUUUGUCAUUGUUAUGAUGAUCAUCAACAACUACGAGUGGGGGCAAAAUUACUUGAUAAUGCAGUGGAGGUAAUGAUCUUUCCUACACCAUCUGUCAUCUUCUUAGGGCAUCUCCAAUGUAGCACUAAACCUAACACUUACACCAUUUUUGGUGUAAAAUGCUUCUCCAAUGUAACACCAAAAUCAACACCAAAAUGGUGUAAUGAAUAGUAUUGCACCAAAUAUGGUGCAAUACUAUUCAUUACACCAUAUUUGGUGCUAGGAAAAAAAAUUCUCAAAUAUCCUUAUUACUUUAUCUUAUUUACAUAUAUGUCUUAUUUUAUAUAAUAUUUUAAGUUAUUAUUAUUAUUUUUGUUAUUUUUUUAAUUUCAUUUUUUAAUUUUUGAAUAUUAUACUAAUAUUUUAAAUAAAAAAUAUUCAACACAAAAAUUAAUAAUAAAAAUAAAAUGCCAAUAUUUUUCUAUAUUAAUGUAAUGUUUAAUUUUCAUAAUGUACUAAUUUAGUUAAUUAAAUGCAAAUUUAAUAAUUUUCUAUAUUUUUUUUGUUAAUCGAUAUAAAAUUACUUAUUACUUAAUUAUCUAUAUUAAUAGUAAUUUUUAUUGUGUUAAUUGAAUUAAUUCUUGAGAAUUAAAGGAAUAAAAAGAAGAAUAUUCUUUUUGGUGUAAAAUUUGGUGUAAAUGGGUUGGAGAUGAAAUAGUAAUUUCGUGUGAAAAAGGUACAUUUUUGGUGUUGGUGUUACACCAAAAUAGUGUUAUGCAUUGGAGAUGGCCUUAAAAACUUGCUCUUUAAAAACUUGCACUGCAUAAAGUAAUGUUGGUAGAGCUUUAGAAAGCCUAAUAGCGGCAAAUUUCUACUUAAUUUUGAAGUUUUAACUCAAUUGUUUAAUUAUUUUUUAUUGUAAAAAAAUUAAAACUUCUUUGUUAUUAUCCUGCGUGUUACAAUUAAUUUUUUAAAAUAAAAUAAUAUUAUUAUCUGAUAUAACCUAAAAUUCAAGUAAACCUCAUGUGCAAAUGGUAAAAAAAUAGAGAAUAAUUAUUCAAUCAUGUUGUUAUGGAGAAAAAAAUACAAGGACUAAUUAAUACGGUAAUUGGUUCAAACUCUCAAAACUAAACGAGUAUCUACCUGAUAUAUAAUGAUGAUGUAAAAAAUAAUUUGCAUAGACGAUAAAAAAAAUAAUUAUUUAUAUAGAUUUUGAAUUUCUAUAAUGGUUUGUGAUCUAUAAAGCAUCAUAGAUUUUGGACUUUUAUAGUGAUUACUGACCUUUAAGGCAUUAACAUUAUCACUAUUGUUGUUGUAAAGGUCAUGGAUGCGUGCCUCUAUCAAAUGUCUUAUGGAAAACAGAAUAGGGAAGAUGGGUUGGGGAAUUUGGCUGGAGACAGGAUGAGAUGUAAAGUUGUAUGCUUAGUGUGAGAUGGAGAAGCAUUCUGAGUUACGCAUCAAGCUAGUCCUUUCCUCUUGUGUGAGGUUCUUUCUUUGUGGCCCUUCUUUACAAUAUUUAUUUCUCUUUGAAUAAGAAAGUAUUGGAAAAUGACUAGGGCAAUAUACAUGAUACAUCGAAUCAGAUUUAGUCCGUGCAUUGCAUUGGAAUAAAUGUGUCAACCAGUAGCUCUUUUUUUUUUUUUUUUUUUUUAUCUGGUCCUACUUUCUAGUUUUGUUGUUUAUUGGGGAAGAUCUUUUGUUUCAUGCACGGCCCGGUUUAGAGUACUUAGGUUUUGAAGCAAAUUUUUUUAUAAGACUUCUUUUUAUUCUCUAAUUUUAAUAUUUAAAAAAAAUAAAAGUAUUUAAAAUUUAUUUCAUAUUUAAUACUUAAAUACAAAAUAAUAAAAAACAUCUUUAAAAAUUUAUAGAACGGAACCUAAAAAAAAGUAGUCGAUAUAUAUAUAUAGCUGUACGGCCAAGGCGGAUGUACGGUACAGCAGAUUACUUUUACCAAAACUAUCACAAAAACAAACAAACAAAUACAUAAGAAUAAUAUUAUUUUUAAAUAGAAUAUUUAGAAUGAUACCACAUAAAAAGUUAAAGAUGGUGAAUUGAUGAUCAAAUAAUAGAUAUGGACAUUGUAUUUCAAGAAACUAAUUUUUUCUUUUUAAAAUGAAACAAUGAAUCUAAUAAUUUUCUUUAUAGAGAAGAUGACAAUAAAUUUUUUUCAUCAAUUAUUUUUUACAUCAAGUUGUUGAAUCUCUAAAUUCAAGCUAGCUGUUAAUCCUAAAACAACUCGGAUAGAAGACAUCUUCACUGUAAGAGAAAAUAUUUCUUCAAAAUCAACACUUUUUUUCUAACCGAAACUCUUCAUAAUCAAUUUACCCUUGUACCGUUGUUGCGAGUUAUUUCAAUCUUCAACCUGUAAACCUAAUUGUUCUUUAAUGUCCAUUUCCCUUAUGAAGUUUUAGUAAGUCAUAAGUGUGGUUCUCAUUCAAGAAUUUCAUCUCCUUUUGCAUGGCUUUAACCCACUCACUUUUAUGCUAGUGAGACAUAGUUUCUUUAAAACAUUCUGGUCCCCCUCUAUUUGUAAGCAUCACAUACUCAUGUGGAGGAUAUCUAGUGGAAGGUCACCAUUCUUUGGUGGAUCUCCUCAAUUAUGGCUCAACUGAUGGUGUAGGUGGUUCUAGAGGUACUUGCUUAAUUGGUUCUACUGGACUAUCAUUAUUAUUCUCUCCAGCUCCCCCAUAAUCAUCAUGAACUACAAGUGGAGAAAUUGAAGUUGAAAUAAUAGGAAUCUCUAGAGAUGACUAAAGAUUCAUCACUCUUCUCUACAUCACCAACUAUUUGAUCUUCAAAAAAUACAUCUCUACUUUUGAUCAAUUUUCUUGCCAUUAGAUCCUAUAAUAUGUACCCAAAUUCUUCAUGGUCAUAGCCUAAGAAAAUGCAUUCAUUGGCUUUAUCAUCAAGCUUCGAUCUUUUAUCCUUACGAAUGUGAAGAUAUGCUUUGUCUCCAAACAAUUUGAAGUGUUUAUAAGAAACAUCUUUCCCAGUCUAAACUCUCUUAGGUACAUCACCAUUUUAAUAGAGUUGAAACAAAAAGGUUAAUUAAAUCAAAUGCAGUACACAUAACCUUUGCCCAAAAAGAUUUAGGAAGCUUGGUAUCAGAAAACAUACACCUGAUCUUUUCUUCAAUUGUUAUGUUCAUCCUUUCUACAACACCAUUCUGUUGCGAGAUUUUUGGUACAGUCUUCUCAAGUCUGAUUCCAUGGGAUCUGCAAUACUACUCAAAUGGUCCUUUAUACUCACCAUCAUUAUCUACCCUAAGACAUUUUAGUUUUUUCUUCCUGUCCCUCUCUCAACAUAAGCAAGGAAUAUCUUAAAUGUAUUAAGCACAUGGUCUUUAGAUUUCAAAGCAAAAGCCCACACUUUUUCAGAAAAAAUCAUCAAUAAAAGUUACAAAAUAAACUGCACCUCCUAUUGAUUUACUUUGCAUCAUUCAAACAUUAGUGUGAAUCAAAUUAAGGAUAUUCGACUUUCUAGAUAGAGAAAAGCUUUUAAAAGCUACUCUAUGUGCCUUUCCAACUAAGCAAUGAGCACAUGUCUUGAGGGAUGUACUUGCGAAACUGGGUAGAAAUCUUUUUCUGGCACGAGUUUCCAAGACCAAUGUGACCAAGCCUUUUGUGCCAUGUAUUAAUGUUAGAAUCUUUUAUAGCCACAUUCACAUCUUCUUUCCUGAUCUUAGCUUCUAAAGUUAGUACUAGGGAGCUUUUGGCGAGUUUCCAUUUUCCUUCACCAAAUUGAUUAUUAUAGACAUUAUCAUCAAGUUUUCCUGUGUGGAUCAAGUUAAAGUAAAUAUCUGGUACAUGUCUGACAUCUUACAACUUACAACCUAUAUUGGUUUCCAAGCAAAUAUCUCAAAUGCCCACAAUCUUGGAAGCCCCCUCAUUUUCCAUCCCAACAUGGCCAUAAUCACCAUUAACAUAGGAUGUAAAGUAAUCAUGAUGUGCAGUUACAUAAAAUGAAGCAUCUGAAUCAAUCACCCAAUCACUGAAAUGACAAGUAAAAUUUAUAGACCUUUAAUUAUAAGCAAUACCUAUAUCACCAUCAAUUAUGGCUGUAGUGUUCUCUUUGUCAUUUUUCUGAGCAUCAUCAUUUUCUUUUACUUAUUCUGUUUUCCGCAAUCUACACUCCCUUUUAAUGUGACCCAUUUUCUAACAAUGAAAGCACUUCAUAUUUCUCCUCUAGGACUUAGAUCUUUCUUUAGGAUUAUCAUUGUUCUGCUGGUAGGAAUUUCUACUUUGGCUUCUUCCCUACCUUUCUUGCUUUUCUAAAACAAGUACAUCUGACUUAGAGGAAUCUGCUUCAACACUCUUUCUUCUAGAUUUUUCAUUAUGCGGUGUAUUUGUAAUUAUAUCCAAGGUUAAUUUCUCAUUCGGUGCUGAAUUAUUCACUGAUAACAUUAAUGUCUCUUAACUCUCAAGCAAAGAACUAAGCAAUAACGAUACUUGUAACUUAUCAUCUAAAAUAAUUUUCAUAAUAGUUAACUGAUCAACCAAUCCCUGAAACUCACUAAUGUGUUCAAUUAUACUAGCCCCUCCUUGUAUUUCAAGUUAAUAAACAUUUUUAUCAAAUUGGCUUUAUUAUGUACAAUUGGUUGCUCAUAAAUCGUCUCUAAUUUCUCCAAAGAACAUCAGCCCUGAAUUCCUUCGCGACACAGUGUUACACACUUUGAUUAAUCCAUGAUCUAUUAGUACCCAUGGCCUUCUAGUUUAAUCGAUCCCAUUUCUUAUCAUCUAAAUCGGUGGCUAUAGUUUCUUCGCCUUCAGUGGGUUCAUGUAAAUCUUUUAUGUACAAUAAAUCUUCUAUUCUAGACUUUUAAAUACUAUAAUUCUAUGACUUUAAUUUAAUCAUGCAAGCCGAAGAUGCAUCCAUCUCAACCACAUAAGUAAAAAAAGGGACUAACACAAGCAGUUGCAAAUUAAGCGGAAACAAAACAUUUUUCCUCUUUAUGUGAUUAAAAUAGAAUGUGUAACACAGAUUAAUAAAUAGUAAAUAAAUCAACACAAUCCAAAACAAUAAACUAACCACAAGAGCACAUAUUUUUACGUGGAAACCCAAAACGCAAAAAACCACAGGACUGCAAUAUGAUAUAAUCUUCCACUAUAUUAUUGGGAUUACAACACAAAUUCUUCUCCAGAUAACACUAGAGGCUAACAACAUCAAGAAUUUCAACAAUCUUAGCUUACAGUAACAGCCUAAUAUAUGUCUCUUUAACAAGUAGAUAUCCCAAAUAACAACCAAUGAGAGGAUAAAAUAAAAAUCAAGAUCAAUAGGAUUGUAGAAGGCGAUACCAAGAACUUAUUUUCAAAAUUUAAGAGAAAACAUGGUUAAAAUUGUCUUUCAAUCGUCCAAUCAAAGAUUGAAAUUUCUAUUCUCAAAACCAAAAUUUCCUCUCUCUCUCUCUCUCUCUCUCUCUCCCCUUGAUAGCAAGCUGCUAUCUUUUUCAACCCUUGAUAGAGGUUUGCUAUAUUUCUUCUUUUAUAAUGCACUUUUCAAAACUUACCUUUUAAUGGUAAAUUUCAUCUGCCCCUUUAAGUUUUUCUUAAUUAUUUAAUCACCUAAACUUAUAAAGAUUUGAGCUUGCGCCACCCAAAUGAGAUAGACCCAACAUAUACAAUAUUAUUAUAAAUGAAUAGAUUAAUAAUUUUUAUGUUUAGUAUUAUUUAAUAGUACAUAAAUUAUUGAGUUAAAAAUUUAAUAUUAAUCUUAAAUUAAAUAAAAGUUAAAAAUAAAUUAUUGAUAUUAAAUUGAACUUAAAUUAAGAUAUGAGAGUGAGUCUUAUCUAAGCUCAUGAAAUAAUAGAGACUAAUAGUUCCAAAAUCUUUGGACUGAAUGUUGGAUUAAUUUGUUAAUUUUAAGCAACUAAACAUGACCUUGGAUUAGAUAAAAAAAUUUUAUUCUAAAAGUUAGUCCAAUCCUGCCUAAUUCCAGCUGCCAAACGUAGAUUAGGUGAUAUUCAAUUCAAGAAACUGAUUACAAAGUUUGGAAGCUUUUCUUUCAAGUAAUAAUCACUGUUUUUGUAACAGAAAAUCGGCUAGUGAUUGCAAAGUUUUCUACAACAAACAUUGCUGCCAAGUAACAAUUAAAAAGCAUUAAUCAUGUUAUUGAUUACUGUAAAUAAUAAGACGUACCUCAACAAGAUGAAGGUAAAGGUCCUAACAACAACACCACCAAUAACAACAACAACCUUAUUAAAAAAAAAAAAAUCAUCAUUAAUGUACGAUUUUUUUUCCCUCUAUGGUGCACCACCAAUAACAACAACAACCUUAUUAAGACGUACCUCAACAAGAUGAAGGUAAAGGUCCUAACAACAACACCACCAAUAACAACAACAACCUUAUUAAAAAAAAAAAAAUCAUCAUUAAUGUACGAUUUUUUUUCCCUCUAUGGUGAUGAACAUAAAACUGAGCAAGUGUAGUCAGCUGGAGCUAGAUUGAGACAUUGACACAUGCACAAUGGCAUUGGGGUUCAUAGAACUAUAGAACAAGUACAGCAAUUGGUCCCUAUUUAUACAUAUUCUGCACACAUGGACUUGAUUGAAUAUUAAGCUAGCAAAGAGAAUAUCUAUUAAAAAAUUUGAAAAAUUUUGGUAGGAAAUCUUGCAGAAAAAAUGACAUCAUGAUCUUCUGCUAUAAAGUGAACUAAUUUCUUUGAAAUAUCUCUGUAGAAGUAUGCUUAGAAUUUUCCUUGAAGUGCCAUGAAUUUAUGAUAAAAAUGAUACGAAGAUGUCAUUCUUAUGUGCACAAAUCGUAGCUAGGAACCAAUAAGUGGUGGACUUAUGUGGUGGUUGGACCCGCCUCUAGCCUAGAUUAUGAUCUUCUCAUGAUUUGAUCUUCUCUUAUUUAAAUUUCACUCAUUGGUGAUUUAUAAAUUAAAAAAAAAUAUAAAUAUUCGUUUAGUCUUUAUAUUUUACUAUAAGAGUCUGUUUAGUUAUUUUAUUUUAAAAAAUAUCUUAAGACACCCCUAUUGUUAAAUAUAUUAUAUUCCCACCCUUAAUUUUUCCCUCCCUUUUACAAUGAUAUGCUUACAACAAUAUUCUUAGAAAUAUUAAUGAAAAAUAAAAGAACAUUAAUGUGUCAUAUUAACCUUAAAAGUAAAAUAAAAAUUAUUGAAAAUUUUUAUGUUACUAUUUUAUUUUUAGGAUUAAUUUGAUAAAUUAAUUUUUUAUAAAUAAUUAUAAGUAAGAUUGUAAUAAAGAUAUUAAAUAUUACUUUAAGUUGGAUGAUAUUAAUUUAUCUAUAAAUAAUUAUUAGCAACAUUGUUGCAUGGAUACAAAAAUACCAGUUCUUUCAUGCUAAUAUCUAUUAGUUAAUUUACUAAUAAAUAAUUAUUAUUUAAUUUGCUAAUUCACUUCUUUUAGAUAAACUAAUCAAUGUCAAGAAUAUUGUUGUAAGGAUAUUAUUAUAAAAACAAACAAAAAUUAGGACAAAAAUGUAAUAUACUUAAUUGCAGGAAUGUCUUGAGGCAUUUUUAAAAAUAUAAUAACUAAACAGACUCUCAAGUCAAAAUACAGGGAUUAAAUGAGUAUUUAUCCGUUAAAAAUAAAAGCAGUUAAAUCCUAAUCAUGUACUAGUAUUAAAAGAUAAGAGUUACGAGAUCUUUGAAAACUUAUGAGAACUUAGAUCACCACAAAAAAAGUCAUUAAAACCUUUAAUUUUUUUUAUAUAUAAAAAUGGUGUUUUUAAUUUUUCUCCCAAGUGUAUUCCCAAAUAACUUUCUACCAAAAAACAAUUGAAAUACUAUUUUAUAGUUAAUUAGUUACUCUUGCAUUAAGUCCUUUAAAAUCUAAUAUUAAAUAAGUAAUUUACCAUUUUAAUUGCAGUUAGUGAAUUAUUUCAUUAAAAAAAGUAUUUUAUUUAUAGAGAGGUUCUUAAUGUCGCAUUACUUGAUGUAUAUAUUUUUUAUUCUUUUAUGUACCAAUAUUCACGCAUACAAAUACAAUAACUUUAUAAUUUAGCAUGGGUAAUUAAAGACCCUAGGUGUUCGCCUCUGGAAUCAAUAUGAUUGUAUGAUGCACAUAUGGUAAGGAUCAAUAUUAUUAUAUGAUGCAUAUAUGGUAAAGAUCAAGACCAUCAUGACCAAUGUUAGUGCUAGGAAUUCAAUUUAGUAGGAGCUAAUUUCAAAGAAUAAUAUAAUUUAAUAUGGUCAAAAAUAAAAUAGAAAUUCAUUAACAUAUUCAAUUCAAUACAUUUAUAAUUGUUCUCGACGUAUUUUCAUAUGUUGAAAAUAUUGAAGAAUAAUCUCAUCAUCGAGAUCAGAAAAUAUAUCAUUUUCUAUGUAUGCAAUUAAUUUCUCCCAUCCGAUUUGAUUCUCGAUUCACAAAAGCAUAGUUGAAAAUGCCAUUUCUACUAUAGUUGUGGCAAUGGGUAAAACCAAUACUAAUGUCACUAAUAGAUAAAUUAAUAAGUACAAUUUAUCUUUCUUAAUAUCAUCUAUUUUUCUUGUUAGCUCACCAAUCCCUUUCAAUCUCAAAAAUAUAUUAUCAGACCCACAUCCAUAAUUUAAACAUCAAGUUGAAUUUAAAGUCCCAUAAGAUCCAUUGAAGAAAAAUUAAUUAGAUAAAACUCAGUAAGAUGAGUAACUUUUUAUUAUUUUGUGUGAGGAGGAUUAGGGCCCUACAGAUGUCAAAAUAAUAAUAUUUCUUUGUGGGUUGAAGAUGUAAAACUAAAAAUUUAAUAUUUUAGUUAUUUUUAUAUUUUUACGAGAACAUUUAUUGUAAAUUAAAUUAAAAACAAGACAAAUAUCAAAGUAAAUUUUACAAUUUUUGAAAAGUCAAGCCCUGCUAACUCUAAUGUGGCACCGCCACAGUUGAUGACAUGCACAAAUGGAAAGAAUGAACAUCAUAAUAUACACAUGGCAAGAAUCAAUGCCAUAAUGUCACACAUAUAUGAAAAAAUAAAUAAAUCAAGACCAUUAUGGGCAUGUAGAUAUGGAAGAUCAAUCCUUAUUUAUAAUGUUUGAUUCUUUUCCUUUUAUGUUAUUGAAUAUAUUUAUAGUAAAACCUUAAUAAAUGAAUUGUAUUGGGAUUUGGGUUCACAAAAAAUCUAUUAUACUAAAAUCUCGUUAAAUUAAUAGCAUUGAGACCAUGGAAAGUCUAUUAAUUUAGCGAAUAUCUUGUAAUCGAUAAAUUAAUAAAUUAUUAAUUUAUGAAGAUGUUCCUUAUUUUAGAAAAUAUGAUUGUGAUUUAGUACAUAUUACGUUUUAUUUGAAUAUUAAUUAAUCACAUUAUUUUGGUAGUAAUAAGAUUAUUUUAAAUAUCUGAGAAAAAGAUACCUUAAUCUCUAAGGUUUGAAGGAAUAGUCAUGCAGACCCCAUAUUUUCAAUAAGGGAUAACAAAACCUCUUUUUGACUAAAAUAUCCUUUACCUAUAUUAACUAAAAAAAAGACUUUAAUGUUUUAUAAUAAAUAGAAGUAUAAUAUUAAAAUAUGUAUAACAAUAUAUAUAUUUUAAAAUAAUUUCAAUAUUUAAAAAAUAGGGAAAAGGACAAACACACUCCCAACGUUUAGGUAAAAGGACAAAAACCAGCCUAACGUUUCAAAAAAGAUAUUUAUACCUCAAUUUAUUAUAAUUUUACCAUUAUACCCUUCUAGCAUAUAAAAAAAAUUAUUAGUUAUCUAAUUUGUCUAUAGAUUGUUAAUAAAAUUAUAAAUAUACCCUCAUUGCCUCAUUCUUCUAUUUAAAUUUUUAUCAAUAACCAAUUUUCAAAAUUGACAUCUACACACUUAAAAAAAAUUGUAAAUAAAUUAUAAUUUUAAAAAUAAAAUUGGUUAUUAAUANNNNNNNNNNNNNNNNNNNNNNNNNNNNNNNNNNNNNNNNNNNNNNNNNNNNNNNNNNNNNNNNNNNNNNNNNNNNNNNNNNNNNNNNNNNNNNNNNNNNNNNNNNNNNNNNNNNNNNNNNNNNNNNNNNNNNNNNNNNNNNNNNNNNNNNNNNNNNNNNNNNNNNNNNNNNNNNNNNNNCAGAAAUUUUAAAUUAUUUUCAAUAUUAUAUAAAAUAAUUUUAAUAUUGCUACUGCAAGAGAUAUUUUAUUAAUUGUAAAAUCUAUAUUUUAUUAAUAAUCUAGAUUAAACAAUAGAAUCUUUAGUCUAGACUUGGACCAAUGCACUAAAUUAAUUCUUAACCUGAAGGGUUUUAAAUGCAUAAGAUAAUAAUUUUUUUUAAUGCUGUAAGGCUUAAUAAAAAUAUAAAUUAAUAAUUAGUCAAAUAUAAAAGAUACUAAUCAUAAAUAACAUUUAAAAUUCGUAAUUAAUAAUUAGUCAAAUAUAAAAUAUACUAAUAAUAAAUAACAUAUAAAAUUGGUAAUAUUAGGAAGCUUUUCUUGAUAGUUUUAAUUUUCUCAAUUCAACUCUUUUCUAAAAUAUGCAUUUAAAUUUGAGAUUAAAAAUAAAACUAAUGACCGAUGUAUGUAUAGAGUUUAUGUUCUAUGUACUUUAAACAUCUGAAACAUUUUAUAUUCUAGGGUAUUAAAUUUAAACAGUAUGUAUAUCAUUUUUUGUCUAUGGAUAAUGUAUUUACAUUACUGUUUGAGCUUCUGUGUACAUGUUUGUGGCAUUUUUAAAUUUUUUUUAGUACACAUGCUAACUUUUGAAUUUCAUAUAUAUGAAAAUCUUGGUAAAAGGAAUACUGCACAUGUCAAGAUAACCCAGGCAAUUAAAAUACAAAAUUCUUCUUUAGUAAAUAAAUAUUCAUUUACUGACAAAUUAGUAAACUAUUACUUUAUUGAUAAAUAAAUAAUUUCGUUAAAAUAAUAUUUUUUUAAUCUCAACAAUAUUAUUGUAUAAAAAUUUUGGUCUUUAUUUUUUAUAAAUAGAUAGAAAAAGGACACCUACACCUCUAAAAUUUGGAAAAAUGGUGACAAAAACUCCCAAAUUUUCAAAAAGAGAUACUAAAAUCCCUUUUUGACCAUAAUACCUUUUGAAUAUAGCAAUUAAAAAAAUUGACUUUGAAGGUUUUUAAUUAAUACAAAUUUAAAAUAAAUAAUACAAUCUACCUAGUAGACUAAUAAUAUUAAAUUAUUUUUAACAUUUAAAAUACUAUUAAAUUAUUAAAUUAUUUUUUUUUCUGCUGUACGGCCAAGGCGGAUGUACGGUACAGCAGUAUAUUUUUAUUUAUUAUAAAAUUUUGAGGUCAUUUUUUUUUUAAAUUUAUGGAGUCAAAAUGGGGUCCCAAUGUUCCUUAUUUAAAAAUUAGGAGUUUUUAUUAUCAUUUUUCUAAAUCUUAGGGUGCAAGUGUCUUUUUUCCUAGAUAAAUUUAUUUUAAGUCCCAAAUGAAUGGAGUCGGACGAGCGCCCUCGACAAUUUGAGUGCACCACCGCAAGUCCCCCUACUAACAAGCCUUGGCCACUAGUUGAUGUUUAUUGAACAUUAUCAAGUCAUUUGGUAGUUGGUAGUAAGCUAUCUUUAUAAAGAGUGUGAAAUAGAAUAAAGCUGUAUUGAGCAAUUUAGGCAAAAUUAUCAUGAGAUUUUAGCUCAAGUUGGAAGACAUACAAUAAAUGGAAAUAAAUUAUCCAUCAAUAAAGGCCGGCUGUACAUACUUUUUCUUUUUCGUAGUGAUCUCUCAACUUUUAGUUUGUGGGUCAACAAAAAAGGAGAAAUUCCGAAAGACAACGUGAUGUUGGUGACGGCUCAUGUUUGCCCAUAUUUGGUGAUUUUCAUAUUCACACGUAAUAGAAAAAGAGCUUGACACGCAUGGUUUUAUUAUUAAGUGAUGCGGGGUCACUUCUGCUAACUCAAAAGGAAAAAUAACAAACACACCCCCAACAUUUAGGUAAAGGGACACAAUUUUUUUUAAUGUUUCAAAAAAAAUAUUUACACUCAAAUUUAUUAUAAUUUUACUAUUAUACCCUUCUAGCAUAUAAAAAAAAUUAUUAGAUUAUCCAAUUUGUCUAUAUAUUGUUAAUAAAAUUAUAAAUAGACAAGUUGAAUAUUAUAAAAAAAAUUAUAAAUAUACCCUCAUUGCCCAAUUCCUCUAUUUAAAUUUUUAUCAAUAACCAAUUUUUUAAAAAAAAAUUAUACACCUAAAAAAAUUGUAAAUAAAUUAUAAUUUUAAAAAUAAAAUUAGUUAUUAAUAAGCCAUGUUAGAUUUCUGCGUGCUUUAUUUUCUAGAACAACUGUUCAUCCACAGCAAAAUUAUUAGUUUUUGUUAAAAUUGAAACAAUAUUGACUUAUGGCCCAUUUGAGAUUUGCUUUUGAGAAAUUCAGAAGUGAUUUUGAAAAAUUAAAAAUUAAUUUUGUUGUUCGAUAAAUUUUUUUAAAACUCACAUUUGGUAAAAUCACCUUAUCUUAUAGCAGAUUUUGAGAGCAUUAAAAAAUAUUAUAUGUACAUGUUUAUAUAUGUAUAAAUAGAUUUUAUUCAACAUUAUAUUUAUUUCAAUUAUUUACAUUCCUACAAUAGUUUAAUAGUAAGAUUUAUAAAAUAAAUUUUAUCAAACAUUUAAAUAAUUCUUUUAUAGCUAAUUAUUUCUACAAAACAACUAAUAGAAAUAGUUUUAAAAACUACAACAUUAUCAAACUAGCCCUUACUAAUUCUAGAAAAAAUUAAUAAUUUUGAUACGGAUGAACAAUAAUGUUGACAGUGAUAUUAAACAGUAACUAUGUGAAUGCUAUGCAAAUAGUUUUUUUUGGAAGACAAGAACCAGUAACUAUGUUAACAGUUCUUUAAAAGAAUUAAUUUAGUUAAAUAUUCCUAAAUAAAAUUUAAUAAUUAGCCUGCUGUACCGUACAUCCGCCUGCCCAAUUCCUCUAUUUAAAUUUUUAUCAAUAACCAAUUUUUUAAAAAAAAAUCUACACACUUAAAAAAAAUUGUAAAUAAAUUAUAAUUUUAAAAAUAAAAUUGGUUAUUAAUACCAUAAUAAAUAAGAUAGAUUUAAACUUGUAUAUUUAACAAUUCUCCACAUGUCAAUCAUUUAAACUUAUAUAUUUAUAACUAAUUUUCUAUGUUAUUUAUUAUGGUAUUAAUAACCCAUUUUAUUUUUAUAGGGUGCAAGUGUCUUUUUUCCUAGAUAAAUUUAUUUUAAGUCCCAAAUGAAUGGAGUCGGACGAGCGCCCUCGACAAUUUGAGUGCACCACCGCAAGUCCCCCUACUAACAAGCCUUGGCCACUAGUUGAUGUUUAUUGAACAUUAUCAAGUCAUUUGGUAGUUGGUAGUAAGCUAUCUUUAUAAAGAGUGUGAAAUAGAAUAAAGCUGUAUUGAGCAAUUUAGGCAAAAUUAUCAUGAGAUUUUAGCUCAAGUUGGAAGACAUACAAUAAAUGGAAAUAAAUUAUCCAUCAAUAAAGGCCGGCUGUACAUACUUUUUCUUUUUCGUAGUGAUCUCUCAACUUUUAGUUUGUGGGUCAACAAAAAAGGAGAAAUUCCGAAAGACAACGUGAUGUUGGUGACGGCUCAUGUUUGCCCAUAUUUGGUGAUUUUCAUAUUCACACGUAAUAGAAAAAGAGCUUGACACGCAUGGUUUUAUUAUUAAGUGAUGCGGGGUCACUUCUGCUAACUCAAAAGGAAAAAUAACAAACACACCCCCAACAUUUAGGUAAAGGGACACAAUUUUUUUUAAUGUUUCAAAAAAAAUAUUUACACUCAAAUUUAUUAUAAUUUUACUAUUAUACCCUUCUAGCAUAUAAAAAAAAUUAUUAGAUUAUCCAAUUUGUCUAUAUAUUGUUAAUAAAAUUAUAAAUAGACAAGUUGAAUAUUAUAAAAAAAAUUAUAAAUAUACCCUCAUUGCCCAAUUCCUCUAUUUAAAUUUUUAUCAAUAACCAAUUUUUUAAAAAAAAAUUAUACACCUAAAAAAAUUGUAAAUAAAUUAUAAUUUUAAAAAUAAAAUUAGUUAUUAAUAACCAAUUUUAUUUAAAUUUUAAACUUGUAUAUUUAACAAUUCUCCACAUGUCAAUCAUUUAAACUUAUAUAUUUAUAACUAAUUUUCUAUGUUAUUUAUUAUGGUAUUAAUAACCCAUUUUAUUUUUAAAAAUUAUAAUUUAUUUACAAUUUUUUUAAGUGUGUAGAUGUCUUUUUUGAAAAUUAGUUAUUGAUAAAAAUUUAAAUAGAAGAAUGAGGCAAUGAAGGUAUAUUUAUAAUUUUAUUAACAAUAUAUAGACAAAUUAGAUAAAUAAUAAUUUUUUUUUAUAUGCUAGAAGGAUAUAAUGGUAAAAUUAUAAUAAAUUGAGGUGUAAAUAUCUUUUUUGAAACGUUAGGGGGGUUUUUGUCCCUUUAUCUAAACAUUGGGGGUGUGUUUGUCCUUUUUCCAACUCAAAAUUUCUAACUAGUAAAUGGAAGAAAGACAUUUAGUCCCUAAUAUUUCUCAUAUUUACCACUCAGGUCCUUAAUUAAUUUUGUAUUACCCAUUAUAUCACAGAUGUUAUAAAAUCCACAAUUGAACAUUACCGUUUAAUGAUAAAAAUGACCUAUGCAAAAUAUGUACUUUUUGAAGAAUAAAUCACAUUAGAUUGAUAGGAAGGUUAUAAUAUUAAAGAAAUAAAAAAAUAUUUUCUUUUUCAACUGUAGUUUUGACGUCAGAGAAAUAAUAGACAAUUAAAAUAAAUUGGGGACCUAAAUGAUAAAUAUGACAAAUAAGAAGGUUCUAACUGUCCUUCUCCCCAAAAUAAAAUAAAUGUCGUUUCCAACCCCAAUAUUAAUGUUUAGUAAUAUUUUACCUAAAGUUUAAGUUUUUGAGUCAAAAGAGUAAUUAAUCCGGCACCUUUCCAUUUCAAUGUCAUAAUUUUUCUUUUCAGUAAUAUUAUGUUUAUUAAGUUAGAAUACUUAGGGGUUGUUUGUUUGUAUUAUUAUUUUUUGACUUAGUGACUUAAUUGACUUAAUUUUAUUUAUUUAAGUCAUUAAGGUGACGUUUGUUUUUUAACUUAAUGACUUAAAGUGACUUAACUUAAUUAAUUAAGUUAAUUAGAGGUGUUUGUUUUUAUAACUUAAUGAGACUUUUUAGAUAAUUUUGACUUAAUAAAAUAAGACAAUUUUUUUAGCUUUUUACUUAAUGGAGAAAUUUGAAUUAAGUCAAUUACUUACUAAUGUAAAAAAUAUCCAUGUUUUAUAAUUUAUUUUUCAUGUCUAUCCCAAAACUCACCCAUAGACAUUUACCCCACAUAAAAAUAUCCCGGUUUUUUCUUUCUUAUAUUAUAUACGAUAAAAUUUAAAAUUUAUGGUAUUUUAUAUAUUAAAAUUAUAAAAUAAUUAUGUAUUUACUUAAAUAUAGUUUUAUUUAUAAACGUUAAAAUAUUGUGGUAUUUAAUAUAUUAUUUAUUUGACAUUCAAAUUUAAGAAGGAUACAAAUGUAAAAGUACAUAAUUUCAGUUUUUUCAGUUGAAAAAAACAAACAAUUUAAUACUUGUUUUCCGAGAUUCAGACGAAAAAACAAACAUAUUAUUCAGAUUCAGACAUUCAAAUCUAUUCAGAAUUCAGACUAAUUCAGGUCUAUUCAGAUUUCAGACAAAAAAACAAACGCCGCCUAAGUCUAUUUAUUUUUUCAACUUAAUGAAAAAUUUCAACCAUUAAGUUAUUAAGAUUAUUUUUUUAACGUUUUGCUUAAUCUAAAAUGCAUGAAUGAUAUCAUUAAAAGAUUUUUUCGUACCGUACAUCCGCCUUGGCCGUACAGCAGUAUAUAUAACUUGUGAUAAUAUAUAUUGGUAGACUACUAUUAUUUUUAUCUUUUUAUUUUCUUCAAAUUGGCAUUAUUUAUCUUUAUAAUUUUUUAUGAAUAUUUUUCAUAUAAAAACAUCACAGACCAUAAUAAAAUUGAUUAACACAUACAAUAUAAAAUAUUAAAGAGUUGUAUUCAAUUGGAUAUGAUUUAUGUUAUGAUAAUUUAUUAUCUUAUAUUCUUUUAUGUUAUGAUAAUUUAUUAUUUUAUUUAUAUUCUUUGAGAUGUUUAUCAUUUGUUUAACAUUAUAAUUUGUAAGGGUAUAAAUGUAAAAAUAUGAGUUUUCAAAAUUUUUAAGUUAAAAAAAAACAAACAACUUAAUAUUUAUUUUUAGCGAUUUAAACAAAAAAACAAACAUAUCAUUCAGAUUCAGAUAAUCAGUUUUAUUCAGAAUUCAGACUAAUUCAGGUCUAUUCAAAUUUCAAAUAAAAAAAAAAUGCUACCUUAGUGUAUAUCUCAAUUGACGUAAUAUCAAUCACUUACUACAAUGUACAUGGUAUUAAUUGAUUUUAUUAUUGACCAUUUAUUGUCAAACUUAAUUAAUAGGAUAACAUAUAAAAUGACAUAUUAGUUGGUUACAAACUAAGCAUCCCAACUAAGUAAGCAUGACGUUACUUUUAAGGGUAAAAGCUCAUUUAGUUCUUUUAUUUUAAUAUUAGUGUCCAUUAGUCCUUGUAUUUUUUAAAAUGUCUCGAAACAUCCCUGUCGUUAAAGUAUUGAUACCCCUACCGUUACUUUUUAUUUCUUUUGGCUUACUUUUAUAAUAUUACCCUUUUAUAAUAAUUUUUUUGGAUAUUAAUAAAAAGAAAAUAAUUAAAUUACCAAUUUAACCCUAGAAAAUAAAAAGAUUAUAUUAUUUUUUUGCAAGCACCAUUUGCACACUUGGUAGUUUGCAUACAAUUUUUGACAAUUUAAUUUUUGAUAAUUAAAAAUUAAUAUAAUUUUUUUAAUUUUUAGGGUUAAAUUGGUAAUUUAAUUAUUUUCUAUUUAUUAAUGUCCAAACAAAAAAUUAUUAUAAAAGGGUAAUAUUGUAAAAAUAAGCUAAAAGAAAUAAAAAGUAACGGUAGGGGUAUUAAUACUUUAACGGCAGGGAUAUUUCCAGGUAUUUUUAAAAAUAUAGGAACUAAAUAGAUACUAAUCUUAAAAUAUAGGAAUUAAAUGGAUUUUUACCCUACUUUUAAUUUUUAAUCUGAUUUGAUUCAAAUAUGUUAAUAACCUAAUAAAUCUUUUGUUAGACCAAAUGCAUAACAUAUUAAGAUUGGAACUUUAUCUAAUAGCUUAAUUUUUGGGCAGUAAGUGGUUACUGAACAAUAUGUCAUUCAUUAUUAGUUAUACAAAAUUUAUAUAGAUUAUGUCAACCCAAAAGUCAAGUGUAGAAUUGAUUUUCAAAUUCUCUGGAACAUAGGGUAGCAUUUUUGGGUUUUUAUUUAAGUUACAUAAAAUAUAAAAUAUAACUUACCUACACUCUUAAAAUUUACAUUUCAUUGUAGAUCAUAUUCUUAUAAGAAGUUUUUGAAGAAAUAUUUUUUAUCUGAAAUUUAAAUAAACCUGAAUUUGUCUGGGUUUUGAAUAGAGCUCAAUAUCUGAAUUUAAAUGACAUGUUUUCUUUCUUUUUUAUUUAUUUAUCUAAAUCACUAAAAAUAAGUACUAAGUUAUUUUUAAUUUAAAAUAUCUGAAAACCAGUAUAUAAAUAUUAUACGCUUACAAAUUAUAAAUAUUAAACAAAUAACAAACAUCUCAUAGAAUAUAAAUAAGAUUAUAUACUAACAUAAAAUAAAUCGUGUUCAAUUGAAUACAACCCUUUAAUAUUCUAAAUUAAUAUAUGUUAAUUAAUUUUGUUGUGGUUUAUGAUGUUUUUAUAUGAAAAGUAUUGAUAGAAAAUUAUAAAGAUGAAUAAUGCUAUUUUGAAGAAAAUUAAAAGCCAAAAGUAUUAAUAGUCUAUCACUACAUUAUCAUAAGAUAUAAAGAUGUGUAAAAAUGCUAAUUAGUAAAUUUUAUAUAGGAAAGGAUGAAAAUUAAUGAAUUAGAUAGGGGCAUUUUUGAGAAUAUAUUUUAAUGAUGUCAUUUAGACUUUUUAGAUUAGGGAAAAAAAGGUUAAAUAAAUUCUUUUAAUAAUUUGAUGACUAAAAUUUUUCAUUAAGUUAAAAAAAAGACUUAAUAAAUUAACUAAUUAAAAUUAAGCCAAUUAAGUCAAUAAAUUAAAAAACAAUAGCGAUCUAAAUUAAUGAUAGUACUCAACUUCAUAUAUAUAGAUUUUUUUUUUUUUGGGAUAAAUUUCAUAUAAAUACAAUAAAUAUCUGUUGUUUGUUUCAAUCAGAAUAUAGAAAGGAUAAACAGGUCCACUUCACUUUAUGUUUGAGGUAUCAACAUUCGAUCCAGCUAGGAAUCAAAGGUAGGAAACUUACAAGCAAGAAAAAAGAACUAAUCAAAAUAAAGUGGGAUUCUAUGAGUGGUGCUAAAAUUAAGAGCGGCACCACAGAAAAGUUAUAUAAAUAGCUUCACACAACUCGUAAUUCAUCAUCCAACCUACCAACAAAAUUUCAUCACUUGAAUAGUCUUACUACUUUUGUAGGUUGUUUGUGUAUUUGUUUGUGCUUAGUGUUGUUGAGUGUUUGUUUGUGUUUAGUGUUGUUGAUAUGUCUAGCAGGGAGAGAGACCCUCUUAUUGUUGGCCGCGUUGUUGGUGAUGUUCUUGACAAUUUUACAAGAACAAUUCCAAUGAGGAUUACCUAUUCAAACAAGGAUGUUAAUAAUGGCCGUGAGCUCAAACCUUCUGAAGUUCUGAACCAGCCUAGGGUUGAAAUUGGUGGUGAUGAUCUUAGGACAUUUUAUACUUUGGUAAUAAUUAAAUAAGCCUUUGCUUUUGCCUUUUGCUUCUGCUUCUGCUUUUGCUUCUACUUGUGCUACUGCUUUCUAGGUCUUUUAUACGGUGAGCAUUUGCUGCCACUGUUUCAGGUAAUGGUUGAUCCUGAUGCACCAAGCCCAAGUGACCCCAGCCUUAGGGAGUAUUUGCAUUGGUAAGUGCUCUUUUCUAGAUCUCAAAAACACACACAUUAAAACAUACAUAUACUCUGCUGUACCGUACAUCCGCCUUGGCCGUACAGCAGAUAUUAUUNNNNNNNNNNNNNNNNNNNNNNNNNNNNNNNNNNNNNNNNNNNNNNNNNNNNNNNNNNNNNNNNNNNNNNNNNNNNNNNNNNNNNNNNNNNNNNNNNNNNNNNNNNNNNNNNNNNNNNNNNNNNNNNNNNNNNNNNNNNNNNNNNNNNNNNNNNNNNNNNNNNNNNNNNNNNNNNNNNNNNNNNNNNNNNNNNNNNNNNNNNNNNNNNNNNNNNNNNNNNNNNNNNNNNNNNNNNNNNNNNNNNNNNNNNNNNNNNNNNNNNNNNNNNNNNNNNNNNNNNNNNNNNNNNNNNNNNNNNNNNNNNNNNNNNNNNNNNNNNNNNNNNNNNNNNNNNNNNNNNNNNNNNNNNNNNNNNNNNNNNNNNNNNNNNNNNNNNNNNNNNNNNNNNNNNNNNNNNNNNNNNNNNNNNNNNNNNNNNNNNNNNNNGGGUUGGACAACAACAACGAAAUUUUAUUACAUAAAAAAAUACGACAUUUAGAAGGAACCUAAUUAAGCUUACCUCCAAAAAAAAAAAAGGAAAAAACGCUAAAAAACAUCACGAACUUAUCAUCUUUUUUCUAUUGUUUUCAAAUAAUAAUUUUAUUUUAUAUCUACUUGGCGGUGAAUCCAUCAUCAAUUUUGUCCUCUUAUUUCCCAUAAAUUCCACCUCCCUCAUUUAUGCUUACCUCUGGUUUUCUUGAUUGUGAUGAUUACAACUUGCAAGUACAUGUGUUCGCGGUAAGUGAUCACCUUUUUUCUUUGGAUUAAUUAGAAAUUUGCUGCUUUUUGAAAAUGAAAUUUCAGGUUGGUGACUGAUAUUCCAGCAACCACAGGGGCCAGCUUUGGUGAGUGCCAGACUUUAUAUUAAAUCAAACAAUAUUGCACGGUCCUUUCUACUUGUGAAUGAGUUGUUUCAUGUUUCAGCUUUUACACUGUAGCUAUAGCUUUUGGUCUUUUUUCUAGCCCUUGUGGACAAAGCAAGAGAUCUUGUCGUUAGUUUUCAAGUUUUUUACUUAAAACAAUUACCCUCCAUUUCCUUUCCUUAUUUCCCUUCUUUGCUUACAGAGUAAGAGCGCCAUCUCUUUCAUCCACUUCCACACUCGAUCUGUCAAUUGGCUGUGGCCAGUGAUUUUUUCUUUUUCCCUCCUUAAUUAAACAAAAUUUCAUUAAAACCACAACCAAAAUAAAUACAUUUUAUUAAAUCUUUUUGGAUUUCUGUACGACUGAGCCAUUCUUAGUUAGGUUUCACACAGAAUAUUAUUCGUUAAGCAAGAAGCAAAAUAUUUCAUUAUCACUUGACCAACUAGUCAAUUAUACAUGUUCGCUAAUUUGUUUCAUUUGCAUAUAUUGUUACAUAUGCAUGCAGGCCAAGAGAUUGUGAACUAUGAAAGCCCUAGUCCAACGAUGGGGAUUCACAGGUUUGUCUUUGUGUUGUUCCGGCAACUUGGGAGGCAGACUGUUUAUGCACCAGGGUGGCGUCAGAACUUCAGCACGAGGGAUUUUGCUGAGCUUUACAAUCUGGGACCUCCGGUGGCCGCUGUCUACUUCAACUGCCAGAGGGAGAGCGGAUCCGGCGGAAGGCCUGUCAGACGAUGAUCCAUACAUGCUUAAUUUGAUAUCAAAUUACACACAAACACACACACACACACACACUAUAUAUAUAUAUAUAUCCAAAAUUAAGAGCUAGCUAGUGUUAACAUUAUUAUGUCAUGGUUAAUCUUCCUCUCUGGCUUUCUCACAUUUUAUUGUAACGUACUCUGAAGAUGAAGUUAAAUACUUCAAACAGUGAGAAAGGAAGAUUGUUGUACUGUGUAUACAAUUAAUUAGAUUGUAAUAAAAAGAGAUGGAUUUUUUUUUUUUUUUUUGGAAAAAAAUAAUUGUAUGCAUGUUAUUUGGCGAUGCUGUCCAUAUUGAAUCGAAGACAUGAAUGAACGUUUUGGUAUUUGUGUUAUUUAAUUAUAUAUUUUUAAAAAUUUUUGUAUCCAAUAAUAUUAUUCCAUUUAAACUGUGCAAGGAAAUAGCAAUAAUAAUGAAUUUGUAAGUAAAAUAAUUUAACCUAUUUUUAUUCAUUAUGUUCACUUUUAGGGAGAUCACUAGUUUUCUCUUUCUGAAACAAUAUAUACCAUUUACUCUCUUAAUAUUUUUUAUAAUAACUAAUAACUAGGUGGCACCAUAAUUUUAUAGUAUUAUUUUUAUUUUUAAAUACACUUUUAUUCAUAUUUAUUAUUAAAAAAAUUAAGUACUAAAAAUAAGAAAUAUGUGUUUCGAUGUGAAUAAAAAAUUAAUAAUAAUAUAUUUUUCUUGUACUUUUUUUAUGUUUUAAGUACUUUUCUUAUAAUAAAUUUAUAUUUUAUAUUUUCAAGAUAAAUUAUCAAGUCUUUAAAUUGUGGUGCUAGGGAGUCUUUGGGUAUUAUGAUAACAAUAGAAGAAUAAAUGAUACAAAUUAAUGUCAAUAAAGAAUAAAUUGACAAUCUCCCUAAGCAAAAGGUAUAAUUAUACUCUCUAGCUAAUGUAUGGAUAUGUGUGAUUGAGUUUUUAUGGACAUUUAUGUCUCUGUAUGUGGAUUUGUUAGAAGAUUUCUGUUUGGCUGAUUAACUAGAUUGUAUGUGGCAUGCAUGCCCACGAUUAAAUACUAUUUCUGUAGUAUUUUUUUGUUAUUUAAUUCUUUGUAAUCAAGUCUUUAAAUUGUGGUGCUAGGGAGUCUUUGGGUAUUAUGAUAACAAUAGAAGAAUAAAUGAUACAAAUUAAUGUCAAUAAAGAAUAAAUUGACAAUCUCCCUAAGCAAAAGGUAUAAUUAUACUCUCUAGCUAAUGUAUGGAUAUGUGUGAUUGAGUUUUUAUGGACAUUUAUGUGUCUGUAUGUGGAUUUGUUAGAAGAUUUCUGUUUGGCUGAUUAACUAGAUUGUACGUGGCAUGCAUGCCCACGAUUAAAUUCUACUUCUGUAGUAUUUAUUUGUUAUUUAAUUCUUUUAAAGUCUGGAUUAUUAAAAAAAAAAAAAUAAUACUCUUUCAAGUAAAUCUUGUAUAAGAAAUCAAUCCCUUAUCAGAAAGGAUUUCCUAUUGCUAUAUUUACUCCACGAUUCUCUCUACAGUGUUCUUCAAGGAUGCUAUUUUGUUCAGCGUAAGUUUAGGAGCCAACAAAUUCUUUCCUUCUUUGUUCUCUUUAACUAAAAACAAACUGAAACAUGUUGGACAAACAUUAGAACUGAAAAAAAUUACUGUUAAAGGAUUUGUAUCAACUACGAAUGGAAUAUUCGUAAUGCCUUUGAUUCUCGUAAUUAUUUUUCAAAGAUGAUAGGAGAUAUAUAGAAAAUAAAAAGGGCAGGACAUAUUUAAGAGGUGAGCUGAAGUUUGACAGACUUUUAAAGGAACUAUUGUUAAAUGUAAGGGUAAUAUUUUCUGGGUCCCUGAUCUUUUAUAGUUUCUCAAGUAAGGGUAUAAUUUUUCACUGGGCCUAAUUCUCAGCUGUAACCCAUGCCUGAAAAUACUUGAAGGCAUGAGUUUGACACCUCGUAGGCGAUGAUUCUACCUUCUAUUCUAUAAGUAUGGAUUAGGAGUAUAUUUCUCCUGGCUUAUUUGUGGGAUAAAUUUUCAAAUAAUCUUUGACCGAUUUUGAAUUAAGCUAUAAGUGAAUGUAUUUAAAAUCUCAACAGAAUUCAUAUUGUGAUAUAUUUAUAAAUUGUAACAAGCUCGUAAAAAAAAAGGCAAGGGCAUAAUUUAUUCAGUUAUACUAAUAAGUGCAUAAUUUUAUUUUAUUUAUUUUUAAAUUUUGCUUUUAUAUUAUUAGCUUAAUUGAGUUGGUCGGCGUUGGUUAGAAGUUGUCAACAAUUAACUUUUUCUUAUAAAUGAAUAAAUUAGAAAAAUAACCGUUCAGUAUUAAGUUUCGGACGGUUAUUUCGUUUGAAGUCCAAUAUUAACUAUUUCUUUUUGCUUCAAAAACAAGUCCAAUUGCAACUUGUUAUUUGUCAAUCAAACAUUUUAGGGUGUUCAUUGUUUUUGUCGGAGUACGUUUUCAUCUUAACGGACAGAGUUAGAAAAACAAUUUUUUAACACACACACACACACACACACACACACAUAUAUAUCCUUUAAUCAUAUUAUAAUUAUGUGUUUGGUUUCCCCCCUUUCUUUGUUUCUGUACAAACUUCUUCCUUCCAUGGGUAUGGAUGUGGAACCUCCGAUAUCACACCUGAGGAUGCUCAGAUUCUAUGGUUCUAUCACUAUCUUCAUAUAUAUUGAAAAAUCAGUAACUUUAAGGUUUCAUUUGGAAUUGUUGUUGAAACGCCAAGAGUAGCAGAGUUCAAAAUUUUUAUUAAAAAUUUUUUUGAUAAUUUUUUUAAAUCUUCAUAUAUUAAAAAUUUCUUCAUUUUAACAUCAGUCUUAAAAGGAUGUUGGGAGUUAUUUUUUUGAAGUAGAUUAUAAAAGAAUCCCCACAUAAUAACACUUUUAGAUUACUUCUACGAUCACCUUAUUAAUUAUUAUUUUUUUAUAGGAAGCUUACUAAUUAGUUCAUUUAACAGAAAAACCAUGGAGAUAGGGCCUAGCUCCACCUGCUAGUGGAUAGUUUUACCAAGAUUUAAGUUUUUGGUUUGAAUCUUAUGUAGCGUGCAUGUAUGUUUAAUUAAUAAAUUAAAAAAAACAACCAUCAUAUCUUAAUUUCCCAUGGCUACUAUGAAAUUAUAGUCUCAUUAAAUUAUAUUGCCACAAUUACUAUCUUUCACAUAUUUACCACAAUUAAAAUUUUUUAUUUGGUAAGCUCAUUUAUUUUUAUAUAGUACUUUUAUCUUCAAAUAGUUUAUUAUUGAGUUUAAAGAAGAAGCACUGCAACUGAUAUUUCAUUACUUGAUUGUAAUUAUAUAAUGGAUAAAUGCUUGUUUAUUCCCUAUAUUUUAAUUUAAGAGUCAAUUAGUUCCUAUAUUUUGUAGGGGUGUUCACAUAUCGGAUUUUACGCAUUAGACAUCAAUCCAUAUCCGAUCCAUGAUUUUGUGGAUUAUAAUUUUUCAAUCCAAUCCAAUCCACGGAUUGAAUAAAUUCAAUCCAAAUCCAAUCCAUACAUCUACGGAUUGGAUGCGGAUUUAACUCAAUCCAUAUCUAAUCCAUACGUCUGAGGAUCGGAUGCAGAUUUAACUUAAUCUCAAAAGAGAUGGGAUCAUGUGGGAUCCUGUCCCAAAAGAGAUGGGAUCAUGUGGGAUCCCAUCACAAUUGAAAAUAUUAUCAUUCUUAGUCGGCAAUGAGACGGAUGGGACGGAAUUUGUCAAUCUCACUCUCGUCUCGUGUAUGCAAGUGGGAUAAAAAAAGGUCCCAGUCCCGUUCCUAAAUUUUUUUAUGGGACAAAAAUAUGUCUCAAUCCCAUCCCAAAUUGCCAUCCCUACCAUGAACUAAUGAAAUAAAAAAAUCUAAUAUAAAAAUAAAUUCACUACUGAUUAAAUUAAAAAUUGAAUAAAAUUUAAAUAAAUUAACUGUUUAAAUAAAAAUAAAAUAAUACAUUCAUAAUUUUAAAAUAUAACACAUCGAGAUUAAUUGUUCAAAUAAAACUAUAAUAAUAUGUUCAAAGUUUCAAAAUAUAACACUAAGAUUAAUUGUUUAAAUAAAGUAACAAUAGUAUAUUAAUAUAACACUGAAAUUAAUUGUUCAAAUAAAGCCACAAUUAAUUGAAAUGGCGAAGUUUCUGAAACCAAACACAGUCUGAUCCUUCACCAGGGCUGUUGUGCUUGUCGAAAAGUGGUGAUUACGGAGCCGUCAACGAUGGGAACCAGGAGAAGCCAUAUGGGUGGCGAUCUUGAAGGUUGUGAUAGUGCAAUUGUUCGGCUGGAACCAAUGAUUAUGAAGUGGCUCGAUGGACUCGGGGAAGAAGAUGGCUUGCUCUAGCUGGAAUCGCGUGGCCGACGUCCUUCAAAUCGGUGUUGAGAGUGUAUCGAACCAGUAUUGGGUGUUGCUAGUACGUGUGACGGCAGGGAAGCUUAGGGUUUUUUGUUUGCAAAUUGUUGGUGACUUGCAUUAUGUUACUUUGCUUUUUUUAUUUUGUUUUACAAUUUUUACAAGUUAUAUUUGUAUAUUUGAUUAUUUAAUUAUUUUUUAUUUUUUAUUAUUAUUGGGUAAUGGCUAAGAUAUAUUAUAGUGUUUAUGCAAUAUUUUUUAAAUUAAAUUUAUAAUAUUUUUUAAAUUAAAUUUAUAAUAUUUUUUUAACUAAAUAAAUAAAUAAUUUUUUUUGUGCGAAUUCACGAAUUUUUGUGGAUUUACAGAAGUAAAUCCAUAUCCAAUCCAUCGAUUGCGGAUUUUUAAAUUUCCAAUCCAUAUCCAAUCCAUCAAUCCACUGAUCGGAUUUAUACGGACCGGAUUUUCACGGAUCAGACGGAUUGAGCGGAUCGGAUUAGAUUCUGAACACCCCUAAUAUUUUGAAAAGUACCUCAAAACACCCAUAUUGCUAAAUAUAUUUGUUCCUACUCAUAAUUCUUCUUCUUCUUCUUCUUUUUACAAUGAUACCCUUACGACAAUAUUCUUGAGGAUAUUAAUAAAAAGAAAAAAAUGUUAAUUCCUCUAACUGACCUUAAACAAAAAAAAAAUUAAUGUAAAUUGUUAUGUUAUGUAUUUAUUUUUAGGAUUAAUUUGGUAAAUUAAAUUUGUAUGUAUAAUUAUUAGUGAGAUUGUUGUAAGGAUGUUAACGUUACUUUAAGUUGGCUGAUAUAAUUUAUUUAUAAAUAAUUAGUAGCAAGAUUGUUACAAAGUUAUAAAAAAAACUAGAUCUUUUAUACUGAUAUUUAUUGAUUAAUUUACUACUGAAUAAUUAUUAUUUAAUUUUCUAAUUAACUUUUUAAUCGAUCAAUUAAUUAAUUUGAAGACUAUUGUUGCUAGGGCAUUGUUGUAAAAGUAAACAAAAAAGUGAGGGAAAGAAUGUAACAUAUUCAAUAACAACGUUAUAUUAAGGUAAGUAAAAAUACAAGGGCCAAACAAGCAUUUAUCCUUAUAUAUUAUUAUAGUUCAGAAUAUGGUUUUGAAAAAAUCAUAUGAAAAAAUCAAAGGCCAUAUUUUUAUACAUAUGUUGAAAAAAUCAAAGGCCAUUAUGUGCAUCUAGAUUUAGAAGACAAUUUCUCAUGUGUAGUGCUUGAUUAUUUUCCAUUUAUGUUAUUGAAUACUGAAUAUAUUGCAUAAAUAUUUCUUUGAGCAACUGAGAAAUUAUAUGAAGGAAGUUUUAUUUAUUUCUUGAAAUCGCUCAAUAUAUCCCCACAAUACAAAACAGCAGGCCAUUUAUAAUGAAACUUUAUCUACAAUGUACAUGUCUCUCGCAAUCUUCUAGAGUGAUCUAGAUGGAUUAAGCCUUCAUUGGUGGGUGGGGUCCUAAGUGUUUGAUCAAAUGCUGUAAUGCACUGUCAAGAAAUAUGUGAGGCGUGAUACAAAGUUUAGCAAACGUACAUGUAGCUUGAAAAUCUGGAUCCAUUAAAAGCCAGACAUUUCCCAUUCUCCUAAAUUAAUAUUUGGACCUACUCCGCCUAUAUUUUUUGUAAAUAGAUCUAUGAUGUAUACCCCUAUGAAUGGUGUGGAGCGAGCGCCUUGAACAAUUUGAUGGCACCACGCCACCACCCCUCUAACAAGCCUUGGUGGCAACUAGUUGAUAUUUAUUGAACAUUAUGAAAAGUUUGAAAUAGAAUAAAGUUGUAUUGAGCAAUUCAGGCAAAACUAUCAUGUGAUUCCUUUCAAUUUAAGUUGGAUGACUGACUAUAAAUGGUAUACGAUCAAUUAUCCAUUAAUAUAUCAAAGGCCGCUGUAUUUACAUUUUUCUUUUUCUUAUUGAUCUCUCAACUUCUAAUUUGCGUAUCAACAAUAAGAUAAAAUUUCCAAAGACAAUGUGAAGUGGGCGAUGGCUAAUGUUUGCUCAUAUUUGGUGAUUUCAUUCAAACACGUAAUAGAAAAUGAACUUGGAGUAUAUGGUUAUAUUAUUAAGUAAAUACGUGGUCAAUUUGAUAACUGAAUAUCCGACACCAAAAUAAAAUUAACGUUGUUCCCCACCGUGAUAUUAGUGUUAAGCAAAAUUUUACCUAAAGCUUAACUUUUGAGACAGGAGAGUAAUUAAUAAGGCAUUUUCCGUUUCAAAGCCUUUACUUUAUCUUUAUUAUUAUUUUUUAGAUUGGGAUUAUUGGCACCCCUCCAAAUAUCUUUUACCAUCCUUUUUCCUAAUUAACCCCAUUAAAAUAUUUUAAAAAAUUAUAAAAUUCUUUUAAUACCUUCAUCAAUGACAAAAAUACUCUUAAUUAAAAUUAUUAGUGUAAACCCAAUUCUCUGAUUUUUAUUUAUUUUAAUUAUUGUUGGGUGAUUUCUAUUGCAAUAGGUGUCAAUGUGCAAGUGUACAUAACAAAUAAUAUACUGAUGAGUAUUCAGAUUGUCUCUACAAGGAUUGAUGUUAUCAGAUUUGCUACAGCAAUUUUAACAGUGUAAUUUCAGUCUAGAUUAAAAUAAAAUAAUUAAUAAGACUAAUGAACUAACUAAAUUAAAGUAAAUGCAAUAAAUAAAAUAUUGUAAGAAAAAUUCUCAAACCAAACACAAGGACGAACUCAAUGGGAAAAAAGUAGUUGAGUGAUUAAACUCACUUAAUGGCAUUGACAAUUUUUUUUUUCAAUUUCAGUACCGUUGCUACAGCAUCUACUACAGUACUGGGUAGAAUCCCUCAUGUAUCCUCAAAUGUUGCAUGUUGGAUAUCUUAUACCUAAUGCAACAUAACAGUGAAAAAUUGUUAAACUAACAUUAGAUACAACAUUAAACGUUAUAGGUUCCAUUUACCCUAUGAGGUGAAUCUCUAUGUCUAAUUCUUCACUAAUUUUAGAUCAAGCAUGACCCUAUUCAAAUUGAGAUUAACUCAAUUUGAGAAACACAAUCUAAAACCAAGUAUUGUCUUAAUUUGUUCCACUAAGUCACACAUUUUUUAGGCUCUUUUUUAGCUAGUAUCCACUAAAUGUGUGGUCGACCGAAAUGCGAAUUGCAAUGAGUGAAAUUAAGACAAAAUGCUGCAGCAAGUUCAGAGUAAUACGCAUAUAACAAUCAAUUAACCAUUAAGCUUGUUCAUCACCCAACCACAAUAAUAUUUAGUUCAUGAUUUGCGAUAGAACAGUAACAAAAAUUGUUUUAGCCAUCAAAUACAUUCGCACAAAUAAAUAAAAACAAGAAACUAAGAUAAAGAGUUGAAGUUCACUUGAUCUUGCAAUCUCUCCUUCUUAUUCUCUGUGAAUCCUCUGUUGCAGCCCUCAAUUCUCUCUUAAUUUAUGUUUUCUUGUUGUUUUUCUCUGCUAUUUUCCUUGAGUGACAACUCUCCCUCUUUUUCUUUUCAUGCGUGCUCCUUUUAUAACUUGGAAUUAGAGCAACCAAAAGCAUGUGGACGCGUAUCUCCCAUUUUUGGAAACUUCAUAUCACAAUCUUUCAGUUAACGCGCUUGAAAUCCAGUCUAUCGUUGCUACAGAAUUGCUGCAGCAACAACUACAACAUCUUCACUAUUUCAUACUUGUUUUAACUCAUCUACAGUCAAGUUCUUUUGUCAUCUUUGCAAGUCUAUUGCAGUAGUAUUCCAUCCAUGAAACUUGAGCUUUUGGGUCUCCUACAAUCAUGCACACAUUCUAAGCACCAAAUGAUCUAAAAUAAGAUUGAUUUAUCAAAAUUAAACUUAAAUAAAUAUUUAUGCAAAAUAUAACUAAAAUGAAACAAAACACAUCAUUUACUCUCUAAAUAAUAUUGAUUUAAGCCUAAAAGUACCCUGAUAACUCUCAUGUUAUAAAGUUAUCAAUUAUUAAACCCCUUUUCAAUAAUAAUUUCUUCCAUUCAAAAGAAAAAAAAAACAACAAGUUUUUAUUCUUCCCAUUAUAGCCACCGGUGGUAAAUUCUUCACCCAAAAAUUAGAGGAAAAAAGCAAACUUCUUAAUUUAUAAAAUGUUAGAUUUUUUAAAGAGAAAAAAAUUAUUUGACUUUUACGUGGGGGCUUAAUUAGAAAUUAUCCUAUUAAGUAAUUUUAAAUAAAAGUUAAAAUUGUAUAAUAAUUAAAUGGGUUUUAAGAGAUAUUUGGACGGAUGCCAAUAGUCCCACUCUUUUUUUUUGUCUCAUAUGAUUCAUAAAUCCUAAUUCUUGUGUUCGACCUGACCAAUUACCUAUCAAGUUGGAAUCCUUAUCUAUAAUUUUAUGCCUCAUUGCACAUGCCAACAACAUCAAAGUAUUGUUCUAGCCUAAAUAGGAAGCUGUCUAAGACUAUGGCGUUGCUUGUGCCAUCAUAGGUGUCAAGGCUCGGCACAUCAAUGCGGCGAGCAUUCACUUUAGAUUGUGGAAGCUAGGUUAUCAUAGAGUGUGCGCUUGUGCUAGGACUAAUCCGAGCAAAUUUCCUCCACUUCCAGACGGAUUGCUCGUAGCUCGUUUUACACGAAGCUACAAAGUUUAAGCAACUCAUCAUGGAAGGCUCGAAAUGCCCCUUGAAGGGUGUUGGCUUGGUUUUGGAUGAGGGCCUUAGUGGCUAUUGUAAAGUCAGCAUACUCGCCCUUAAGACCAUCUACGCUUUCCUCUAAGCUUUUGAAGGUGUCCUGGGUCGUGGAUAUUGAUGUUUCGAGCAUGGCAACGUGAGGUUCCAAGGCAUCAAUGGAGGUGGCCUUGGACUUUCCACAGGACUUGUCCUACGUGCGUCCCUCCUCGUAGCAACCGGUUCUUUAUGGUGGCUCCACACGAACAAUGCCCUCUUAUGAUGUGCUAGGAGUCAAAGGGUUGGCCAUUGCUCAUAAGCUAGAUUGUGUGGAUGCAAACCUCAGCUCCAAUACCAUUUGUCACGGGGUGAGUAUGUUGCACAACAAUUCAAGUGAUACUUAGACAGUUUCUAGCACAAAAGUUUCUAAAUAAGCCUAUCAAAUUUCUCAAGCUAGCUAAGCAAGAUGCUUGCGAGAAAGAUAGAGAGAAGAAAGCAAUAUAGCCAAAGAGAAUUUUAUUACUCAAAAGAGAGAAUACAAGAAAGCUUUACAAGUGUGCUUGAGUUGCUUGCUUGUUGUGUGGUGUGUCGUGUGUGGUGUGGUGUUGAGCAAAAUGGCAAGUGUCAUGCUUAUUUAUAGGGAGCCUUACCUUGAUCAAGAGAGUUCUAUACAACUUGUGCAACUUGCCAAAAAAUCUAAGGCCUAGGAAAUUCUACAAGUCAUGUAAUUAAUCUAGAAAAUAUUUAGAUAUGUACAAGAAUGGAGUGUUGUAGAAAUUUCUAGAAUCGGAUUGGACUUGUGAAUUUAGGAUGUCUGCUACUAAGCACACCACAAGCUGCAAAUGUAUUAGGCGGCCUAUUGCUAAGCGCAUCUUGUUGCUUAGCACAGUCUACCUUUGGGACGUCCUUUAUUGAAUGCAUCUUGGCAUGCUAAUUUAGCCUCUUUUGGUGGUAAAUUUAAGCAGCCCGUGACAGUGUAACUCUUAAAUUAAUUUUUUGUUGGACAAUUAGACUUCUAUACUUGUAACAAAUUUUUAAACAAAUAAGUCAACAAAAUGUUCAUGUAACUGAAAUUCGGUGGUGACUGCACUCAGGUAUCUAUCUCUCAGUUUCAAAAUAUAUCUCUUCCUUUUUCUUUAUUUAUUUAUUCAUUUUUAAUCAUCAAACUGAAUGAUAUGAUUUAGACAUGUAAUACAAGGACACGAUGCUCUGGACCGACUACCUAGAUUACAACUUGAUUCAAUCAGAAUAUAUAUAAGAUAAAUAGGUCCACUUCACUUUAUAAUUUUUUAGGUAUCCAACAUUUUGAUCAAGUUAGGAGGAAUCAGAGGUGAGAAAAUGUGAAAAGAAAAAUAAAUAAAUAAUCAAAAUAAAGUCAGAUUCUAUUGGUGGUACUAAAGAGUAAAGCAGCACCACAGAAAAAAUUAUAUAAAUAGCUCCAAGAUCCUUGUAAUUCAUCAACCAACCAAGAAAAUUUCAUCACUUGAAUGUUUAUACUGCUUUUGUAGCUUAUUCUGUGCGUGUUUGCUUAGCGUUGAUGAUAAUAUGUCUGGUGACAGAGACCCUCUUGUUAUUGGCCGUGUGGUUGGUGAUGUUCUUGACAAUUUUACAAGAACAAUUCCUCUGAUGGUUACCUAUUCAGGCAAGGACGUCAAGAAUGGCUGUGAGCUCAAACCUUCUGCAGUUAUCAACCAGCCUAGGGUUGAAAUUGGUGGUGAUGAUCUUAGGACAUUUUACACUUUGGUAAU
rnacentral:lncRNA from 1 species